AAGUGGUCUUGGCCCAAGAAGUGAAUAAAAUGGUCCAAGUGGCCUGAUCCAUUAAGAAACCAGAAAAUGCAUUUUGCAUAUCAGUCCCUGAAUUUCCCCUUGACUGUACUGUGGCCCUGGAUAUUUUUAACUUCUUUCGAUUAUGUCCCUAGCUUAAUUGCAAAUAGGUCCCUAAACUUUAUUUUUCUUUGAUUUUGACCUCAAAGCUUUGUUAAUUUUUGCAAUCAAGUCCUUUCUUCUUUUGGCUUCUUAAAUGUAGGUUGUCUACAUGAUUUAAUUGAUUCAAAUUCAUGUUUGUUUUUGUCAUUUGUGAUUAUUUGUCAAAUAAAUUGGCACCUUGACUCCUUUAUUAUUUUGGAGGGUAAAUAAGUUGAUUUCGCUCCAUUAGAGCUUCAUUUCAAGGGAGGUAUAAUUUCUUUUAUCCCUUUUGUGUCUCCUAUGUGAUCCAAUGUGCUAAGUGUGAAUCGCAUGCCUAAUUUGCUUUCAUUACCAUUCUUUAGUUUCCAUUAUUUCAUUCAUUCUUGCUUUUAUUAAAUUAUUCUUUUAAAUGGGGUAUGUGUACACCUCUUGGCUUGUAAUAGAUAGGGUUGUGGCGAGCAAUUUGAUCCAUUUUCCUUUUCCCCUUUUGUUUUAGUUAGCAAAUGUAAUAAGUUCAUUGCUUGCUUUCGUUGCUACGUGUUUAAUCGCUUUAUUAGGUCCUUGCAUCUAGUCAAGCAUGCUAAGUGUUAUGUGCUACGUGUUUAUAAGUGAUUCGCAUGUCUACUCGCUUUUUAUAGUCAUGAAUGAAUGUGAUGGAUGAAUGGACGUCACCACACUAGUCCAAUGCUAGUUGUGGCCCCCUUUCCCGUCACCACACUAGUCCAACGCUAGUUGUGGUCCCUUGUUACGUUCCACUAGUCCAACGCUAGUAGGAACUCAUAGAAAGGGCUAGUCCAACACUAGACCCAAUAGGUCCAUUUCCUUUUCAUUCGUGCAUAGUUUGCAUGUUCACUACAUAUCAUGCAAUUUUCCUUAGUUUUAUCAUUUGGCAUGCUCCUCUAAACCUUUCCCCUUCACUUUAGGUCUUGCAUUUCAUGCUAGUUAGGGUACAUUUGCUUGAAGUGUCCCCUCCGAUUAGGGAAACGAGCGAGUGUGGCUACUCGAUAGCCUUAGCACGCUAGUUUUGCCUUCUAAUCAAAGGAAAAAUCGAAGUCGAAAAAGUUAGGAGUCAUUCCCAUACCCGACCUGAUGCAUUCCUUUAGACUCAUUCAUUCUCAAUUUUUCACUUACUCACUUUUUCAAUUCACAUUACUUUUUCCUUUCCUUAUUGUUUAAUUUGAUUUCUACUUCACAAAACUGCACUUAAUUACACCUAUAUGCACUUAUCACUAUAUUUCAUACACUUGCACACAGACACUUGGAUUUUUCAUACAAUUUCACACAUGCACCUUUUCAUACACUUGCACACAAACACUUGGAUUUUUCAUACAAUUUCACACGUUCACCUUUUUAUACACUUGCACACUUGCACUUUAGCCAUCAUUUGCAUUAAUCGACCUCUAUAAGGUUUUCCUUUAUUGGCCGCCACAAUUCAUGUGGUUGGGACCAAGAACCUUACAAGAGACAUUUUAGAAUUUAGGUUUGCAUUUUUCCUUCAUUUUGCAUUCAUGUAGUGCAUCCAAAUGUAAUAAAUUCUUUGGUUAAAAUAAGAAAAACUUUGAUUGAAUCACGCAACUAGCUUUGGCUAGGUCGGAGGGGUGCCUUGGAUUUUUAUCCUUGCCUUCCCCUUCGUCAAAUGUGACUCCCGAACCUUUUUCAUUGGUUUACGUGGACUAGGAGUCGUUUAAAAGGGGUUUCUUACAACUUUUUUCCUAAAAAAUUCAUUUUUGGGUGACUUGGUACACCCUAACUCUAUACCAAGUGGCGACUCCAUUUCUCAUAUAAAACCCUUUUUGAACUAUUUUUCUUGGGUCAAAUCGUCGCAUUUUCAAAAGUCCCAUUUAGACCCACUUUUUCUUUUAAAUCACAAUUCAUUUUUCAAUCAUAAAUUGAAUCAAAAAAUACAUCUUUCUCAAACCAUUUUAUUUAUUUUAUCAAAAAAUGGGGCGCGACAGGCAGGCUCGGGUUUUAUCCCACUGACCGCUUUCAUUUUCGUUGGGCACGGGUUUUAUCCCUCCGACCUCGGCAGGCUCGGGUUUUAUCCCACUGGCCGCUUUCAUUUUCGUUGGGCAUGGGUUUUAUCCCUCCGAUCUCGGCAGGCUCGGGUUUUAUCCCACUGACCGCUUUUACUUUCGUUGGGCACGGGUUUUAUCCCUCCGACCUCGGCAGGCUCGGGUUUGAUCCUACUGUCCGAUUGUCAAAAGCAUUUUAUUGCUACUGGAGCUGGGUUUGUCCCGCCAGUAAGCAUCUCAUUCUCAUUGCUAUUGGAGCUGGGUUUGUCCCGCCAGUAAGCAUUUCAUUUGCAUCACUAACAAACAUGGGUCAGUUCCAUUAACACUUCAUUUCACUUCUUUCAUUUGUAUCACUAACAAACAUGGGUCAGUCCCAUUAACACUUCAUUUCACUUCUUUCAUUUGCAUCACUAACAAACAUGGGUCAGUUCCAUUAACACUUCAUUUCACUUCUUUCAUUUGUAUCACUAACAAACAUGGGUCAGUCACAUUAACACUUCAUUUCACUUCUUUCAUUUGCAUCACCAAUAAACAUGGGUCAAUCCCACCAACACUCCAUCUCACUUCAAUUCAUCUGAUUUUAAUUUCUGUUCGGGUCAGUCCCGUUUAAAUUUCUGUUCGGGUCAGUCCCGUUUAAAUUCUUGUUCGAGUCAGUCCCGUUUAAAUUCUGUUCGGGUCAGUCCCGUUUCAAUUCCUGUUCGGGUCAGUCCCGUUUAAAUUCUUUUUGUUCGGGUCAGUCCCGUUUAAAUUCUGUUCGGGUCAGUCCCGUUUAAUUCCUGUUCGGGUCAGUCCCGUUUAAAUUUCUGUCUCGAGUCAGUCCCGAUUUUAAAAUUUCCUGUCAGGGGUCAGUCCCCAUCAUUUGAGUAAUUCGCAGCCGAAUAACGCAGGUAAGUAUUUGGUGUCUACUUCUUUGUCUCAAGUUUUUUCAAAACUCAGACAAAGAGGGGCAAACUGUAGACACCAAAUUUUUGGUGUAAUUUCAUUUGUUGUUUUUUAUUUGUCGUGUUCGUUUUUUAGUUUUUAGUUUCUAGUUUUAUUUUUUAUUUUUAAGUUUUAGCAUAGAAUUUCUUGAAAAAAAAAGGAAAAAGAAAAAGGAAAAACAUUCAAAAAAUAUGCUUUAGUCGUUUUCUUUCUUAUUUAAAUUCAAUGUUUUCUUGAAAAAUAAAAAAAAAGAGAGGAAAAAGAGGAAAAAGAGAAAAUUGUUCACAAAAUAUGUUUAUUUCUUUUAAAUUCAACCUUUUGUCAUUUUAUUUAUUUUUAUUAAGUUAUUUUGAAAAAAAGAGAGAAAAAAGAGAAAAAUGAUGAAAAAUGAAAAAUGAAAGAAAAAUUGAAAAAUGACCAUUUUUGUUGUUUCCAUUUGUUUAGUUUUUUAAUUAAUUAGUUUUUAUUAUUAUUACCUGGUUUUUGUCAUUUUGUUAUUAUUAUUAUAUUCUGUAAUUAUCAGGUAAAAAAAAAACAAAAAACAAAAAAAAACGCAGCAUGCAAGCUGCAUUUUGUUGCAGCUUGCAAAGAAAGGUUGAGAUGGCUCCUUUGGCUGCAAAUAUGGAAAGAUGAUGAGUUGGUUUAGGGAUUGGAGAGGCCUCAUAUAAAUAGAUAAAGGAAAGGCAGCCGGCAGAGGGGGAGGAGAUGAAAAGCAACGGCUGGAAAAAGAAACUAAUGAGAGGGGUUUUCUGGAGAGAGCUAGUGGAGAUGAAAAGUGACGGCUAAGGGGGGUUGGGAAGAGAAAACCAGAGAGAGCUGGAGUUGGUGGCUGAAUGAAAGAAAGGCUAAGAGAGAGUGAAAGAGAGGGGACAGCCGCAAAGGAGAGAGAGAGCAAGGGGGGUGGCGGCUGAGAUUGUGAGGAAAAGAAAAGGAGAGGUAGAGAAACGGCAAGAAAAGAAAAAGUUUGAGAGGGGGCGGCUGUAAAAAUCUGGAAAACGGCAAAAGAAAGAAACAGAGCAAGAGUGAAGUAGAGAAAGGAAACUUACGGUAAAGGAAAAAGAAGAGGGGAGCGGCAGCUGAACAAGAAGAAACGUUGCUGAGUUCCAGAAAUUUCUUCACCAGAAAUCUGUGGCGUUGAAGUCGACAUCCUCACGCAAGUUCUUCGAUUUAUGCUUGGUUCACGGGAUCCCAUACGGUGCUAAAGGUAAUCCCUUUACUUCAUAUCUUCUAGCAAGCCCAGCAGAUUGUAUAGUCUUUCUUUUUUCCAUUAGAUUUUCACGAUCUUUAAUCUGAUCCGCAAGAUCACGGUAGGAAGUUGCAGGUUUGACAUGUUUUGAUAUGAUGUGUUUAUCUUGUUUUGAUGUUCUGGGUUUGCUUUCUGGAAGUUGGGAUUGAAGAUUUAGAGAUUGUUUGUCGGAAAAAUUAGACUUGUUUGAGUGUUUUUUUUUUGAUCAUACACGCCUGGUAUUCUAUUCCUUCAUGGCUGUUUUGACGAAUAAAGUUGCUGAAGAAGUAUGGAAUUUCUGGAAUGGAUUUUUGUAUGUUGAAAUAUUGGAUGUUGUUUUCUUGCUAGCAAUCUAAAAGCUUAUGAUGUUGGUUCUUGUGAUGUUGGUUAAAUGGUGCUCAAGGUUUGUGAUUGAGGCUGAAGCCUGCGCACGAAAAUGAAGAGUCUUUGCUGCAUUAUCAUGUUUCGAGACCUUGUUGAACCUUCCCACUCCCUUUUGUCCCAGAUUCAUGUGUAUCAAUAAGUCAUGGCAUGUUUUGGGUUAUUUUGUUUUUCUUUUCAUGGUUUCUAGUUAAAAAUAUUAGCAUCAAUCUGAGCAACUAAAAAUGUUGCAGCAAUGCUGAUAGCUCACGUUACUUGUCGCGUUCCAGGCCUGCAACUUUUUGUUAUACUGUCUUCCUUCCCAUCAUUCCUGUUUGUCCAUUUGCUUAAGUAGCUGUUGUCUUGAGAGGUUGUCUUGGCCAGCAUUGGUUGUUUGAGAUAUGUUCUUGCAUUUUAAGUGGUGUGUUAUGAUAUGCUUGCUGGCAUUUAAAAGAAGAAACAAGGGGCACAAUGCCAGGCUGCAAUACUAGCCGCAAUACUGGUUUUUGUUUUGCAGCUAUAGCUACUUUGGUUUUGUUUUGUUUUUCUGUUUGGCCGCAAGUUUUGAUUUGCAGAAAUUUGAGGUUCACAAGCGAUAGUUUAGGGUGCAACAUUGAUUUCAUGUUCUAGGUUCGAUUUUGGGUAAAGAGUAAGCACUAGGAUGUUUCAUUGUAAAUGUUAACAUGUUUUUUUCCUCAUUAUUUGUUUCUUUCCUGCUCCACAGAAGUUUUGUUGGCAAGAGUUGGGUAGUCUAGUUCAUUUUCUUGAUGUCCGUUCAUGCUAAAAGGAUACGUAAGAAAUCUUGUUGUUUGGUUUAAGUUGAGUUGUUGGAUCCUUUGGGUUACUCUGUACAAGUACAUCUCGGCUGAAUGAGCUGCAAAAUUGCAGAAAGAAGAAAUCAGCAGAAACAAAGAAAGUGCCGUAUGCAUGCAUGUAAGUUUUCAUAAACAUUGCACUUUGAUCCCCCAAGUCCCCCUUUGUUCCACUGUGGCCCAAAUAAUUGGAAAAACUAAUCAAUUUGGUCCUUGUAAUUUUGCAGCAAUGCUAUAAAGACUCAAUUGAGUUCUAGUAGCUUGUAAUUAGGUCCUAAGGUAUUUGCAUUUCAAUCAUUAUUUGGCUCUUUUAUUAUUUUUGGGACCUUUGAAGUUCUUGAAUGUUUCGAUUGGACUCGAAUGAUUGAUUAAUAUUUGCAAUUGGGUCCUAAAAAUGCAUUUUUGAGCCAUAACUUGACUUUUUCUUUGCCCUUGGACCUUUGAAACUCUUAAAAAUGUUUAAUUAGGCUUGAGUGCUUGGCUAAUGUUCGCAAUUGAGUCCUUGGUAGCUUUAAUUUUUCAACUUGAUUGUUUGUUUGCUUUCAUUAAUUACCAUGUUUUGUUAGGUUGUAUUUAAUACAUGAAUUGGUGAACUUUGAAUCUAAAUGAGCUUUGUUUUGCACAUUUUCUUUAAUUUUCCCAAAUAAAUUGGUACCUUGACCAUUUCUUUUAUUUUGGAGGAUAAAUAAGCCAUUUUUUCUUUCAUUUGGGUACCAUUCCAAGGGAGGUAUAACUUCUUUUAUCUUUUUGUUUCUCUCCUAUGUGAUCCAACGUGCUAAGUGAGAAUGGCAUGUCUAAAUUGCUUUCCUUGCCUUUCUUUAGUUCCUUUAUUUCAUUUACUCUUACUUUUUGUUAAGUUAUUCUUUUAUGGGGUAUGUGUACACCUCUUGGCUUGUAAUAGAUAGGGCUUGGAGGAGCAUUUGAUGAAGACCUAUUGAAGACGUGUGCCUAGCUAGCAAAUGUAAUAGAUUUAUUAGUUUGGUUGCUUACCUUUGUUGCUAUGUGUUAUUUGCUUUAUUAGGCUCUUGCAUCUAGUCGAGCAUGCUAAGUGUUAUGUGCUAUGUGUUUAUGAGUGUUUGGCAUGUCUACUUGGUUUCUAUAGCCAUGAAUGAAUGUGAUGGAUGAAUGUACGUUUCCACUAGUCCAACGCUAGUCGGAAUUCAUAGAAUGGGCUAGUCCAACGCUAGACCCUUAGGGAUUUCCCCUCGUUAGUACAUAUUUGCAUGUUCAUUACAUGUCAUGCAUUCUUUUUAGUUUUAUCAUUUUGCAUGCCCCUCGAACCCAUUUUCCCUCCAUUUUAGGAUUUUUGCAUUUCAUGCUAGUUAUAGGGUUCAUUUGCUUGAGAGUCCCCUUAAAUAUAGGAUAUAGACGAGUGUGGCUUUUUUUAAGCCUUAGCACGCUUGUAUCCUCUCUAUAAAAAGGGCAAAUUGAGUCACGAUUUAGGUCUCCCCGUACCCAAUAUGCCUAAAUUCCCUAGGCUCAUGCAUUUUUAAAUCCACUCUACCAUUUUAUACCUUCAUCACACUUUCAUUUUUCCUCCCAUUUUUCACACGUGCACCUUUAUGUUUCUUCAUUUGCACACGAACACUUUUAUCAUCACUUGCACACAUGUACUUCAUAUUAUCAUUUCACAUACCGUAUCUUCCCCACUCAUGUGCACAUUUUCAUUUACAUAUUUAUUGUCUUUUAUUACUUUUUCAAACUCAAGCCCUCACAUUGCAUACAUGCAUUCCAUUCAUUUGCAUCCCACUCGCAUUAUUCGUGACUUCUUCAAAGGAUCGUUAUUGGGCUUCACAAUUAAUGUGAUUGGCACCACUCAACCUUUGAAGAGAAAUUUCCCCCAAUACCCCUAGGUCUAGGUUUUGCAUUCAUGUAGUGCAUCCAAAUGUAAUAAAUUCUUUGGUUAAAACAGGAAAAUCUUUGAUUAAAUCAUGCAACUAGCCCUGGCUAGGUCAAAGGGGUGCCUUGGAUUUUAUCCUUGCCUUCCCCUUUGUCAAAUGUGACUCCCGAACCUUUUUCUUUGGUUUACGUGGACUAGGAGUCGUUUAAAAGGGGUUUCUUACUACUUUUUCCUAUUCUUUAAAAGUUCAUUUUUAGGUGACUUGGUACACCUUAACUCAUUAUCAAGUGGCGACUCCGAUUUUUAUUUCAAAAAACCCUUUUUAAACUAUAAUUUUGGGUCAAAUCGUCGCAUUCUCAAAACCCCAUUGAGGCCCACUUUUCUUUUAAAUCAAAAUUCAUUUUCCAACCACAAAUUGAAUCAAAAAACUACAUUUUCUCAAAUCAUUUAUUUAUUUAUUCAAAAAUGGGGCGCGACAGACACUUGUCACCUCCAUAAAUGCAUUCUUAUCUUUCUUUUCUCUCUCACAUCAAUCAUUUCACACACUCUACUUAUCUCUUAACACCCGAUAAAUUUUACACAGUAUCCGAAACUUAACCUUAUUGGCCGAAUUUUUUCGAACUUUUCGUACUAGUGGGUCCCACGUCCAAUAUAUAUUCUUAAUUUUCUAAAAUUUCUCCAAUACUAGAAAAAUCAUCUAAAAACUAUAAUUACUCAUAAAAUCCACCAAGAAAAUAUUUCUAAGCCACAAAAUGCAGAAAACAUGCAAUUAAGGGAACUAAAACCCUAGGGAAAAUGAUUAGGGUUUUUUUUUUUUUUUUUACGGGUUCUCACACUCUUUCCCCCUUAAAAGAAUUUCGUCCUCGAAAUUCCUUAUCAUUGCCUACUCCGGGAUCAAAUUGAGCACUAUACUUAGCUAACAGAUCGGUACCCCUUCACUGGCCAGGUUCAGUAAAUUAUUACCUUCCACGUCCUCUUCACUGGCCAGAUUCAGUAAAUUAUUACCUUCCACGUCCUCUAAGGGGUCAAAGACUUGAUGUUGUUCUAAGGAGUACACCCGAGAGGACACUUUCGAUCCAUCCUUGUCCCCCUUCGGCUGGGCAGGGUUGGUCGUAGUUGGUGGCAAAGUCCCUUGCCGCUCGCGCAGGCGAGCUGGACAAUUAGCAAUUUGAUGGUCGGCACUCCCACAGAGCAAGCAUUUUCCUCCUUUCCUCCAGCAGUUAUCCUCCGAGUGGUUUAAUUUUCCGCAAUACCCGCAGGGUCCGCGUGCUGUAGAAGCCGAGCCUCCUCUUGACGGCCUCUCCGGUGACACUCCCGGCAUCCUUACUCCUCCCGUUCCUCGUCCAAACUUGGGAAGGGUACUUUCAUCUCCCUGCCCCGAACUAUUUCCAGGAAAUCCACGCUUCUUAGCCUGGAAGUUUCGAAACUGCAUUCGUGCACUUUCAACUCGUUGGGCUUUUUCCAUUGCCUCGCUAAACGUAGUGAUUUGAGCCGCCGCGAGGUCUUUCUGGAUCUCAACGUUCAAACCCUGAAUAAAGCGCCUAACCCGUCGUUGCUCAGUCAUGAUUAGUUCAGGCGCAAACUUGGACAGGCGGGUAAAUUGACUCUCAUAUUCCGCCACAGUCUGAGCCCCUUGCCGGAGCCGGAUAAACCCAUCCUCCUUCCUCUCCUGGACUAGAGGAGGGAAAAACUUGGCAUUAAAUUCUCGGAUGAAGUUCACCCAAGUCCUAGGCGUCUGCUCCCGCUCUCAUUUCUGUCUAAUUACGUUCCACCAGGAACGGGCUGCUCCCUCAAGUUGAAACACGGCAAAAGUCACCUGCCGUUCGUCUGGGUAGUGUAGAGCGGCAAAUAUAUCUACCAUCUUCUCAAGCCAUUUCUCAGCAACGUCAGGGUCGGGUCCCCCAACAAACUUUGGCGGGGAAAACUUUUGAAAACGUUCGAGAGCUCUAUCCUCGCUCUCGAUAUGGUUACCGGGGUUUCCGAGAUUAGGGUUUGGGUUCUGGCCCUGUUGUUGCACUACUUGUGCUAGUAAAUUGGUCAUUUGCUGCAUAGCAACAGCUAUUUGAACAGUGGGGUCGGCUUGUGGUUCAGGAUUGGGCCCAGUAGAGGUUUCCCCCGUACCCCUAAUCGGUGUGGGUUGUCUACCCCUGCGUCCACGGCCUCGACCACUUCGGGUGCCUUCCAUCAAUCUAAGUCAAUCUAGGUCAUCAAAUAAAUACACUGUUAAAGGGCACCUAACCCUUCCUUCCGUAGCACCAGACAGGAACAAUGAAACAAGAAUAAGCAACUCAAACAUUUACUGCGAAGAGCAUUUAAACACAUAACACGUAUACAUAGAUCACAUAACCAGGUUAAGCAAUCAUACGGAACAGUCAGUCAAUUACAUACGAAGUCAUUGCAUGAAACAAUAGGGUCCUCAACAAAUACUAUGAACAACUAGGUCACAAGUACAAAAGAACUCACGAAAAGCUUUUCCCCUUUUAGGGCUUCGUCCAAAUAUUUAUGUCUUAAUCAAGGUCGAUCACGCUUAACCACACCCAAACAAACCACACGAAGUUCCAUAGAAUUGCCUUUCUAGUUCACCAAAUCCUUUCUAACCUAGGCCUUCAUAUCUUUCGUAUUCGAGCGCAAGAAUCUCGUCUAAGAUAAUUCACAUCUCGAGCUGACCGGUCCCAAGAGUAAACCAUCCUUAUUAAAGAUUCCUACCCGACAUACAUGCCUAUCUUCCUCGAGUCCCAUAAUAAUGAUUCGUACACUUAUCACAUGCCCGGUUCAUAACUUACGCUCAAACGAGCACUUAGACAUAUUCAUGAAAUUAGGACCACAACACCACUUGGCCCAGUCUCACUUCGCGCAGAGACCACGCGAAGUGGCUCUGAUACCACUUGUAACAGCCCCACCUUCCCCUAAGGCGAACCAAAGGGGUUAGCGGACUGCCUGCCCAGCUCUCGCCAGGACUAACGGUUCGGUUUACGUCGAUCUAUUACGUUCCGGAACAUCCCAUUGCGCGUAAACAAGUGAAAAUCACGAAAAUAAAAAAAACGAAGAUCGAAGCCGAAGAUGAAUAGUGCAUGACCCGUCGGAAUCCGGCCGGAAUCUGGCCGGAUGUCCGGCCAUAUUCCUGGCCGGAUACCAGGCAGAGAGUUGCCAAUUUUUUUUCAAAUUCUCCAAGCAAUCCGGCCGGCAAUCCGGCCAGUUUCUGGUCGGAUUCUGUCCAGUGCCUUUCGUUCAAAAUUUUCCUUUGGCCGUUUGAAACGUGAAUCAGUCCGAAGUUCAACCAAACAUCAAUUUAACAUACACAUAUUGAAAUUCAACAUUUACAACCACAUUGGCAUGCCAAAUACCAUUCAUCAUGAAUGUACAAUAUCGAUUCGCCAAUCAAAAGAAAACGAACCCAUGACACAUUAGGGUUUCAUUAGAGGGCUAUACAAAAGACAUGUACAUGAGCUCAACUUGUCAUUCAAUUAUCACAACCUUUUCCAAAAGUGUUCAUUUGCCUGUAAGGAAAACAAAUGGAACGGAAUGAGCUAAAGCUCAGUGAGCAACUAUCACGUAAGCAUCUAAAAUCACAUAAGUGUAACCUUUCAGUUCAAGUAUACAAUUAAGAGUAAAUCACACCAGUAAAAGGAUACGGAUGGCUCUCAGGAGCCUGUUUCCUCGCUUGUAGUCUUGUUCCAACCUCAUAGACCCUCCGUCAAUGUUAAAGAAUAACCAACCGUAGACAACUCUUUACUUCCAUUCCUUCCACCCAACAUCCCCCAACCGGGCCCGCACUCCAUUCAGUCAUUUUGGUAAUACUCGAGUAUACCGGAACCAAGAGUCUCAUUACUACAAGGUUCCCCAGUACAGUCCCCAUGGCAAGUCAAUUUUUCACGACCAAGCCCUCGCCGGCUCGAUCCAAUCGAUUACCAAACGGGGUUGAGCUUAGUGAUACAGUAAAGCCGUUGGAUAUUCGCCCAUACGACACCAAAUCAGUUUUCAUGUAAGAAAUUCAAUAUCUAAUAUCUCAAUUGCAGUAUUUCAGUAAACAGUACACCGUCAUGAAUAUUAUCACAAGGGGUGAGGGCGGUCAAGUACACCCUCACCUCUAUCAAUUCCAAUAGCCAAGUAAGCCUUUAAGGCAUCAAAUUCACAUAUAGCAAAGCCACAUUGUAACAAUUAAGUGAGUAGUAUACUCACAAAGCAAUUAAGUGCUAUGUCAUGCACUUCCGUCAGGGGAAUGUCGUGAACCGCCGUCACGCCCUAGAACACAUAAGCAAGUACAAUGAGACACGAUAACGAGUCGCAAAACAAUGCUAAACACAACCCCAAUAGGGUUUUCAUAAACAUAUACAAGCAUGGUAGCAAACCAGAAAUUAAGAAAGGGCUUUAACUUAGGCCUUAAUAAGAAAACCGGAUUUGACCUCAUAAUGCGGUAAUGGCACAACUCUCACUACAAUUAUCGGAUGGGGGUGUAAGACCCACCGUUUCGAACCCAAUAAGCAGGGCUACAACAAUGUAGAAGGCCCCUCAAUCCAGUUCCUAGCUUAACUAGGUCAAAAAUGCCAAAUCCUAUACCAGAAUUACCAAAACAGGUUUGCAAAUCGCACAAAACUGUAAUUACUAUAACUCAGUCUAUAUAGGUCCAAAUGCCGAAAUUCCAAAGGCAUAUGGUAGCUAAGACAUCCAGCUACAUUUCAUCAGAAGACACCAACUUCAAAAUCCAAACCAAUUCUAGCCAAAAUAGCCAAAUACAAGUACAGUUUUCGCAUUCUGUCCAAAGCAGAACAGCUACAGUAAUUACGCCAUAACUCACUCUACACUAAUCCAAUUGCCCUGAAAUUUUGGAGGCACCUCAAACACAUCAAUACCUACAACUUUCAUGUUUUGAGCAAAGUCAAAUUCGACUUCUAAACCUAUGAUCCAAAACCGGACAGAAUUAGGGAUUUUCAAACCCUAACUUUUCACAAUGCACUCCAAAUCCAAAAUUAGUUGUAUUUAUCCACAUUUCACACCCACUAGAGUCAUUAUAGGCCAUUUCCAAUCAUCAUAAACAACCACACCAUCAUAAUCCAAUUAAACCAGAAAAAUCAUCAAUAAAAUAAAAACUUCACCAAAUCACUUCAAACCAAGAUAAAAACCAGAAAUUUCAGCACUCUAAUCACUAAUAAGCAUAACAUAAGCAUCAUUAGGCGUAGUAGGGUGUUUCAAGCCUCACUUACCAAGAAACAAGAGAGAGGAAGAUGUUGGACACCUUAGCUCUUCAAACAAACUUCACCAAACAACUCACUAGCACUAGCACUAGAAGGAAAGAUUUUAUGGAGUGGAAUCUAGUGUAGGCUUUUGUUCUUGGAAGAUUGAGUGAAAUGGAAGCUUGAAAGUUGGAGAAAUUCCUUUCUUCUUUGCAAGGAGAGGGCCGGCCAUAAGAGGUAAGAAAAUGGUGAUUUUUGUGCAUUUUUUUUUUAUAUUUAAUCCUUUGGUCAAAAAAGUCAAGAAAAUGAAUAGUGUUUCUUAAAGUCCAACAAAUGAGAAGGUGACACUUGUCACCUCCAUAAAUGCAUUCUUAUCUUUCUUUUCUCUCUCACAUCAAUCAUUUCACACACUCUACUUAUCUCUUAACACCCGAUAAAUUUUACACAGUAUCCGAAACUUAAUCUUAUUGGCCGAAUUUUUCCGAACUUUUCGCACUAGUGGGUCCCACGUCCAAUAUAUAUUCUUAAUUUUCUAAAAUUUCUCCAAUACUAGAAAAAUCAUCUAAAAACUAUAAUUACUCAUAAAAUCCACCAAGAAAAUAUUUCUAAGCCAGAAAACGCAGAAAACAUGCAAUUAAGGGAACUAAAACCCUAGGGAAAAUGAUUAGGGUUUUUUUUUUUUUUUUUUUUUACGGGUUCUCACAGGGGACGCCCCAACCCAUUGGUUAGCCUUGUAACUCGAGUCGGCAAGGGCUUGGUCGAGAAACUUGGUGAACCUUGGGAAGUGUUAUAGCUUGAUCCAAAUAAGGGGUCUUGCUAGGUAUACUUGUUAAGUGAUACCACCUACAUGCUUGUUUGGUUACUGAUCCUAGAGGGUGUCAUGGUGGCUGGAGGUAGUAAGUGGAGUUCUACAUGGAUAACUAUGAAAGUUGACGGAGGGUCAACUACUUGAGCUUGGAUCGCGCGUGGAUUAGCUCCUGAGAGCUCCCGUAUCCUUUUAUUGUGAUUAAAUUCCCUAGUUGCUUAAUGUUUCGUAAUUACUUGUUACUCGAGUUAUUGCUUUAUAUUGUGUCUUUGCUAGCAUGCUUGCAUGUUUUUCCCUUGGCCUCUGUUAUUCUUGGUUUUGAUGAUCACAAAAGUUUGUUUAUACAGACCAAGAAAGUGAACACUUUGAUCAGGUCUGUUGGAACAAAGAAAGCAUAUGUUCGUUUAUCUCCUGACUACGUUGCUUUGGAUGUGGCAAACAAGAUUGGAAUAAUAUGAAUGAAUUUAGUCAUUGUUUUGUUUUCGAUCAAAGAUAUUGUCUUUUAAGUAUGUCUAGUUUGUCAUUCUUGGUACUUUGAAAUAUUUGUCUAACCUUUCUCAAAUACAAGUGUUUUUUGUCUAUCCAAGAAUCAGGUUCAAAUAUGUCAUGAAAUGUAAAACAACCAAAAUGAGAAGCAAAAACAGGACAAUCAGGUCGGACGGCCGAAAGGAAACUGUCGGACGUCCGAAAAGAUAAAGAACAUCAGGAAGGAAGCACCGUCGGACGCUCACAUGGAAGCAUCGGACGUCCGGAAGGAUCGGACGCUUUCCAUCGGACGCUAAUCAACCGCAUCGGACGUCCGAAAAAUUCCAAGAUAACUUGCUAGCUCUCGGCCCAAGGUCGGACGCUGUGCUGUCGGACGACAAAGAACUUAUCGGACGUCCGAACCUCAACUUGGCUAUCAUCGGACGAUUGGUUCGGACGAUGAUUCGAUCGUCGGACGUCCGACAGCCCCAACGGCUAGUUGACUUUUCAGCUGCCUUCUAUCCGUUGGAAGCAUUGAUGAAACCCAUUUCUGGAUCCCUUUAAAAUCAAACUGGUCUGAACGAAGUAGGGAAUUUUGCUCACUUUGUUUACAAGUUCUCAAGAGAUAUUUUAGCUAGAAAAUAGUCUCCAAAGCAGAUUUGUAUUAAAGUGGUGUGAAUUUCUGUUGAGCAUUUCUUUUGUGGUUGAAAGGAUCUUUAGUGUAGCUUUGUUGAGGGUUUUCUGAGUGAUUGUAAAACUUCCUAGCUUGACUAAGUGAGGCUUAGGGCAAGGAGGAAGAGCUCCCUCCAUUGUACAUCUAGUUGAUCUUCGUUCAUCAAAGAGAAGUUGCUCUUCCUAGUGUUUGGUCUUCAAGUUUGGGUAAAGCUUGGUAGACACUUGGUUUGUUUCUCUAUUUUAUAUUUCUGUUUAAUAAAAUCUUCAUUGCUUAUCUAUACUUGCUUCUCUGAUUAAUAUUGCUAUUGUCUUCUAAUCUACUUGGCUGAUCAUUACUAAAAAGGAAGGUAAAUUUUCAUUAAAGAAAAAGUGCAUAAACUUGGUUAAGAUUUUAAUCAACCAAUUCACCCCCCCUCUUGGUUGUCUGUGGGACUUACAAUUGGUAUCAGAGCUUGGUCUCCUUGAGAUUAAGCUCUAACGGCUUGGAGUAAAGAUGACAACCAGUCAUGCUAUGUUUGUUGAGGGGCAAUCUGUUACUAGGCCUCCCAUGUUCAGUGGCUCUAACUAUGUUAGCUGGAAAGAACGAAUGAUUAUCUUUUUGCAAUCUAUCGAUAUUGAACUAUGGUUUAUUGUGAGUGAAGGACCGCAUGAAGCUAACUUUCUUGAUGCAGAUACAGGGUUGCUUCGGCCAAAAAUAAGAGUUGAAAUGAAUGCUCAAGAUAGGACUAACCUCACAUUGAAUGCCAAGGCCAUGAAUGUUAUUUAUAGUGCCCUAGAUUCAAAUGAAUCAAUCAGAGUAAAAGGCUGCAAAUCGGCUAAAGAAAUGUGGGAUAAACUAAGAGAAAUCCAUGAGGGUGGUGACAAUGUGAAAGAACAGAAAAAAGCCAUCUUGGUCACGAAAUAUGAAUCAUUUAAAAUUGAACCUCUUGAGGAUAUUGACAAAAUGUAUUGCAGGUUCACUGACUUGAUCAAAGAUCUCGAGGCGUUGGGCAAAGAGUACACCUUGGGAGAGAAGAACAGGAAAAUUCUCAAUGCCUUGGGCAAAGAAUGGGAAAAUAAAGUGACAGCAAUAGAGGAGGCCAAGGAUUUAAGUUCUGUGCCUAUUGAAUCUAUCAUUAACUCACUAACCACUUAUGAGUUGAAACUGAAAUCUAAAGUGCAGGAGGAAGAGGAUGCUAGAGCAAAGAGAAACAUUGCUCUAAAGACUACUCAAGGUGAAGAUGAUUCUGCUCAUCUGGAUGAUGAAGACUCGGAUGGUGAUGAUAAUGAUCUUGCUCUCAUCACCAGAGGCUUCAAAAGAAUCCUAAAUAAAAGAAAGUUUAGAAGGGGAGGACCUAGCAAUCAAUUCCAGAAUCAGCCAUCUAUCGCAAAGUAUAAAGGUAAACAAGAUUUCAACAAGAAACAGUUGGACAAAUGCUUCGAAUGUGGACAGAUUGGACAUUAUGCAAACGAAUGCCCCAUGAAGAAGAUGAAAGAUGGAAAAGCUGAUCGAAAGCCAAGAUUCAACAAUUUUCAGAUUACUUGGAAUGAAUGCAACUCCGAAGGAGAAGUUGAAGAAGAAGAAGAAUCUGCUCAAAUGGCCUUCAUGGCUAUUGGAAAUAAUGAGGUAACCUCCACACACUCUCAAUCUGAAAGUGAUAAUGAUGAAGAUGAUGAUCUUGAAUCUUUUGUUGAAAAACUGCAUAAUGCCUUGAAGGAAUCCUAUGAUAAAAACAAGCAGUUAAAACAGAAAAUGGCUUUUCUCAUUCAAGAAAAUGCAAGUCUUUUUCAACAAAAUAAAAAACUAAAGACCGACAAUGAAAGUCUAGUAAGAGCUGGAUGUAAUGUUCAAGAUGAGCUUGAUAGAAAGACAAAUAUUUGUGAAAUGCUGAAGGAAAGACAUGGUGAUUUGAAAAAAAGGAUGGACAGCUUGGAUGAGAAUUUGAAAGCAAGAAAGCAGGAGUUUAACAAAAGGAACAUGUUAUCUACACAUCCUACUACUUUUCAAAGAACAUUUGCACACAACAAAAUUGCACAUGGUUUCACAACAUAUAGAAGAGGUGAAUUAAGAUAUGUCAAACCAGUACAUGUUAAGGACUCUUCCAUUAUGUGUGUUUUUUGUUGUCAAAGAGGGCAUUUGAAAAGUAAUUGCUAUGUGAAAAGAAAUCUGAACAAAGGGAUGAAGUGCAUGUGGUUAGUUAGAUACAAUGCUAACUAUUAUGGACCCAAAAAUUAAAAAGGGUACCAAACACGUUAUCUUUUCAGGAUAAAGGAUCAAACAAGUCAAAAUGGUUUAUUGAUAGCAGCUGCUCAAGGCACAUGACCGGUGAUCCUUCCUUGUUCAUAAAGCUGAAAUCAAAAUCAAGUGGAAAGGUAACAUUUGGUGAUGAUGUGAAAGCUAAGACAAUUGGAAUAGGUGAUGUUGGUAAGGAUGGUGAAACUUUUGUUCAUAAUGUGCUCUUGGUUGAUAACUUAGGUUAUAACUUGCUCAGUGUUAGUCAACUGUGUGAUAAAAACUUGUAUGUGUUAUUUAAAAAGCAUGAAUGCAUUGUACUUGAUUCCAAAUAUAAUGUUGUGUUCAAAGGUAAGAGGUUUAAUGACAUAUAUAUUGUGAUUCUUGAUAAAGUUGAUUCUUCUAACUUAAAAUGUCUUAAAGCUUCAAAUGAAGAUUCUUGGUUGUGGCAUAGAAGACUUUGUCAUUUUAACAUGGAUUUACUAAAGGAAAUUUCGAAAAAGGAGUUGGUUAGAGGCUUGCCAAAAAUUAGUUUUGAUAAGGACAAAAUAUGUGAUGCAUGUCAAUUUGGGAAGCAAACUAAAAUUUCUUUUAAACCAAAAAUGUGUGUAUCUACUUCAAAACCUUUCGAACUCUUGCAUCUUGAUUUAUUUGGUCCCACUCAAAUCACUAGCUUGGGAGGUAAAAAAUAUUGUUUUGUAAUUGUUGAUGAUUAUUCCAGAUACACUUGGGUGAUAUUUCUUGCUCAUAAAGAUGAUGCCUUCAAGAAUUUUACUUCAAUGUUUGCUAAAGUGCAAAAUCUGCUUGGGUUAAAAAUUGUUAGGAUUAGAAGUGAUAAUGGGACGGAAUUCAAGUAUUGUGGUUUUCCAGAAUUUUGUGAUCAUAAUGGUAUAACACAUGAGUUUUCUAUUGCAAGAAUUCCACAACAAAAUGGUGUUGUAGAAAGGAAAAACAGGACUCUCCAAGAGGCUGCUAGAACUAUGUUGAAUGAAUGUAGGUUGCCUAAAUAUCUUUGGGCGGAAGCGGUAAACACUGCAUGUUAUGUGAUGAAUAGAAUACUCUUGAGACCUAUUUUAAAGAAAACUCCUUAUGAGCUGAUUUUUGAUAAGAAACCUACGGUUGGUUAUUUCAAAGUAUUUGGUUGUAAAUGUUUUAUUUUGAAUCUAAAGGAACAUCUUGGUAAGUUUGACAAAAAAUCUGAUGAAGGAAUAUUUUUGGGGUAUUGUGAGAAUAAAAGAGGAUAUAGAGUUUUUAAUAGAAGGACACUUGUGAUUGAAGAAGCUAUACAUAUAACAUUUGAUGAAGCCAAUGAUGAUAAUUCCAAAAGUUUGUGUGAGGAUGAUGAUGUAGGUGUUCGAGAAGGAAUGGAAAAGCUAUCAAUUGGAAAUGAAGGAAGUUCUGAACCAGCAGCAACUGAAAUGGAAAAUGAAGUUCAUAAUGAUCAAGAAGAGGAAGAUGAAGACAAAAAUGAUGAUCCACUCAAAGAUCUUCCCAAGGCUUGGAAAUUCAACCAAAAUCAUCCAAAAGAGCUUAUAAUUGGUGAUCCAUCCGAGAAGGUAAACACUCGUUCCUCAUCUAGAAAAUUGAUUGAUAAUUUUGCUUUAGUUUCUCUUUUUGAACCCAAAAAUAUCAAUGAUGCUUUAAAGGAUGAAAAUUGGAUUUUGGCUAUGCAAGAGGAACUUAAUCAAUUUGAGAGAAAUGAAGUUUGGACACUUGUUGAUAGACCUCAAAAUCAACCUAUCAUUGGCACAAAGUGGAUUUUUAGAAAUAAGUUGGAUGAUAAAGGUGAUGUUGUAAGAAAUAAAGCCAGAUUAGUUGCUAAAGGAUAUGCACAAGAAGAAGGAAUAGAUUUUGAUGAAACAUUUGCUCCCGUAGCAAGAUUAGAAUCUAUUAGAAUGCUUCUUGCUUUUGCUUGCUUCAAAGGUUUCAAAUUGUUUCAAAUGGAUGUUAAAAGUGCCUUUUUAAAUGAUUUUAUUGAUCAAGAAGUGUAUGUGGAUCAACCCCCUGGUUUUGAAAAUACAAAAUUUCCAAGUCAUGUGUUUAAACUUUCUAAAGCUUUAUAUGGUUUAAAACAGGCUCCAAGAGCUUGGUAUGAAAGAUUAAGUGGGUUCUUGAUUGAAAAAGGUUUCAAAAGAGGUAUUGUGGACACCACACUUUUUACUAAGCAUGUGUUGAAUGACCUUCUCAUUGUGCAAAUAUAUGUUGAUGAUAUUAUCUUUGGUGCUACUAAUGAGUAUCUAUGUAAGGAGUUUUCCACCACUAUGCAAAAUGAAUUUGAAAUGAGUAUGAUGGGAGAAUUAAAUUUCUUCCUUGGACUUCAAAUACAUCAAACUCUUGAGGGAAUCUUUAUCAAUCAAGCAAAGUAUACCAAGGAAUUACUGAAAAGGUUUGGCAUGGAGGACUCAAAGCAAGUUGGAACUCCAAUGUGCACUUCUACAAAGCUUGACAAAGAUGAAGAAGGUAAUCAUGUGGAUGAAAAGCAUUAUAGAGGUAUGAUCGGAAGCUUACUCUAUUUAACUGCAAGUAGACCUGAUAUUAUGUUUGCAGUUUGCUUGUGUGCUAGAUUUCAAUCGUGUCCAAAAGAAUCACAUUUGAAUGCUGUAAAAAGAAUUUUUAGGUAUUUGAAAGGUACAUUAGACUAUGGUCUUUGGUAUGCUAAAUCCAGUGAGUUUGCACUAUAUGGUUAUUCGGAUGCUGAUUUUGGAGGGUGUCGUGUAGAUAGAAAGAGUACUAGUGGAUCUUGUCACUUUCUUGGAAAUUCUUUAGUCUCUUGGUUUAGCAAGAAACAAAAUGCAAUCUCAUUGUCUACAACCGAAGCAGAAUAUAUUGCCGCUAGUGCAUGUUGUGCUCAACUUUUAUGGAUGAAACAUACCCUGAAUGACUAUGGAUUGUUGUAUGACUGCAUGCCUGUAUUCUGUGAUAAUACUAGUGCUAUAAAUUUGACCAAAAAUCCUAUUCAGCAUUCUAGGACAAAGCAUAUUGAAAUAAAGCACCACUUUAUUCGUGAUCUUGUUCAAAAAGGUGAAAUUUGUGUAAAUUAUGUUAGUUCUAAAGAUCAAUUUGCUGAUAUUUUUACAAAAACUUUGCCAUUAGAUCAAUUCAUUCAUCUAAGAUCAAAAUUAGGAAUGUUCGAAAAAUCAUCAUAAAUUUUUCAUUGCCUUCGGACGUCCGAAAGAGGAUGAACGGACGUCCGAUGAUGUUCUUCAGCCAUUUUCCAGAUUGCACCUGUUCGGACGCAGCUGUCGGACGCACAACUUCGUUCGGCCGUCCGACAGUGCAACGGCUCAUUUUUUAAAAUAACUUUCUUCCUUAUUUGCUUCAGUCUCUUCCUAUUCUAUCUCCUCUCGGACGAAAACCCUCUCUUCUCUCACUCUCAAAUUCGUACCAUUCUGUAGCUACCAUUCCCAAAUUGACUCAACCAAAACAUUUCCCCAUCGUUUGCGUUUCAUUUCUCCUGAUCAUUUCACCAAACUGAGUAACACUUCGCAAAUCCCCAAAUUUUCCUCACAACCCUACUCUUGCAUAACCGCUCUGUCAAAUCUCGUUCAAGGUGUUUUUGUCCCAAAAUUUCUGUGCGAUUCACUUCCCUACUGUUGUGUGCAUCAUUUGCAUCCUCCAUUCCACACAUUUAGAACAAUGGUGAAUCUAAGGGGAGGAAAAGUUACUGCCGGACGCAAGCAUCCACUCAGGGAUGAGGAUGAGAAUCUUCCUACUGUCAAACGGACAUCCAAACGCUUCAAAAGGGGAGCUAUCAAGGGUCAAAUGUCACGACCUACUCCACAACCCACUUCUCAACCAGAAUCUGGACAGGGGACCUCUUCUCAACCGCCUCCUAAAUCAGUCCCUCUCCCUCCAUUCUUUGAUGAUGCUGCGAAAGACAAAUACGCCUGGAUAUCUCAGAAGGGUGUCAUCCCUCAAAGAACUGUAAACCCCUCUGAAUUUCGUUCCAUAGGUUUAGAAUCCAUUCUAAGUCUAUUUGAUUUCCAGAAAUGGUCGCAUCUCAUUUCCAUGCCCAAUGUCUACUAUCCUGAUAUGCUGCAUCAAUUUUUUGCUAACCUUAGGAAAGGAACUGACCAAACUGAGAUCAUGUCUAGGGUAAAUGGGGUAGACCUAAUCUUUGAUUCUGAUACUGUGAAUUCCAUUUUAAAGACUACCAUUGAACGUUUGUGCAAAGAUAAGGUUGCUAAUUUCUUUUCUUAUGAAGAGCUUCCUACUGCUGCAAAUCAUUUUGAUGGGACAAAAAUGUUAACUUAUUUCAAAAGAAGUUUUUCUUCACCUGCUGAUGCUAAGUUGAAUGAUUUGGCUCCUGUGAAUUUGAUUGCCUUUUCUAUCAUUUCAAACUUGCUUGUGCCCACUGAUGGCCAUAGAACUGAUGCAAACAAAAUGGAGCUGUAUCUUUUUUACUGUUUUCGAGAAAAAAUUCGGAUUGAUUUUGGCUUUGUCAUGUGCAAGUUUUUACUUCGCUAUGCUACUGACUCUCGAAGAAAACUAUCCUAUGGGAAGUUUCUUCAAAAGAUUUUUGAAUUUUACAAAGUUCCAAUUCUAGGUGUUUGUCCCAAAGAAGCAUCUUCUUAUGCUUUUACCAGAGCAUAUUUUGAAAGGAAAAAUCUUAUUUUUAAAGAUAAUCUGUGGGCAUAUAAGGGGGCAUCAUCUAGUGAACAAAGAUCUAAGACUGUACAUGAUUCUUCACCCAUUUCACUCACUCCCAUUCACCCUAGGAAGUCUACCACUAAAGCAUCUUCCUCUUCCAGUAAUGAGGUAAUUGAGCUUCUUCAUGAACUCAAACAGCAUGUUCUUCUUCUAGAACAUGGCCUAAUGCUCACCAUGUCUUCUGAGCAACAAGCUGCCUUUCUUGAUAAAAAGAACCUUCUUUUUCCUCCACCUGUGGUUGAGGAAGUCUCACAUGACAAAGAACCUCGAACCACUGAUCCAGGUUCAUCAGUUCCAGAUCCGAAUCCAUCAACUCCUGUGACUCCUCAUGGCCCUUCCACAUCAGACAAAGGCAAGGCACCAAUUGAAGAAGCUACUGAAGAUGAUGAAGAAACUGAUGAGGAAGACCUCUCUCAAUAUCAGCUCUCUCGGAGGACUCCUGGAUCCACUUAGUUCAUCAUUUAGGACAUUUGCAUUCUGUUUGUCUCUUUUAUGUGUUUGUGGUAUUCAACAAUGAAUAUGUAUUGUAAUGGAUAUUUUAAGUUUCUUUUGGUAUGAUCUGGUGGAUGUUUAAGUACUGUUUUGAUGAAUGUCUAAAUAUUUUGAUGAAUGAUUGUCUAUUCUGCUUGUGUGAAUGUAAUGAAUUUAUGGAUUGUAUGAUUGUCUAUUGAAUAUGAUUGUUUAUUUUAAGUACUGUUUUGAUGGAUGUGUUGGAUGGUGUCACCAGGAUGUUGAUUUGUGAACUUGUGUAAAUUUGUGACUGUGUGGAUGACAAAAAGGGAUGUUGAUGUUGAUGUGAUUGGUUGCCCUUUUGUGAUGACAAAAAGGGGGAGAUGGUAUAAUGAUUGGAUUGAGUGAUGAUUGGUGAUUGAUGAAUGAUUGGAUUGAGUGAUGAUUGGUGAUUGAUGAUUAGUGAUGUUAGGAUAUGUUGGAUUGAUUGUUUAAAUUUGGAUUGGCUGAUAUGCUUAAUUGUUUGUUGAUGUUGAUGUGAUUGGUUGCCCUUUUGUGAUGACAAAAAGGGGGAGAUGGUAUAAUGAUUGGAUUGAGUGAUGAUUGGUGAUUGAUGAAUGAUUGGAUUGAGUGAUGAUUGGUGAUUGAUGAUUAGUGAUGUUAGGAUAUGUUGGAUUGAUUGUUUAAAUUUGGAUUGGCUGAUAUGCUUAAUUGUUUAAUGUUUAAUUGUUUAACUCGGAUGGGCAGCCAAGUGAGGGGGAGGUUUUCAAAAUUUUUAAAUUUUAGGAUUCACUAAGACAGGGGGAGUUUUCAUUUCAAUCAUCAAUUUCAUUUCAAACUUUUGUUUUGUCAUCAUCAAAAAGGGGGAGAAUGUUAUUCUUGGUUUUGAUGAUCACAAAAGUUUGUUUAUACAGACCAAGAAAGUGAACACUUUGAUCAGGUCUGUUGGAACAAAGAAAGCAUAUGUUCGUUUAUCUCCUGACUACGUUGCUUUGGAUGUGGCAAACAAGAUUGGAAUAAUAUGAAUGAAUUUAGUCAUUGUUUUGUUUUCGAUCAAAGAUAUUGUCUUUUAAGUAUGUCUAGUUUGUCAUUCUUGGUACUUUGAAAUAUUUGUCUAACCUUCCUCAAAUACAAGUGUUUUUUUGUCUAUCCAAGAAUCAGGUUCAAAUAUGUCAUGAAAUGUAAAACAACCAAAAUGAGAAGCAAAAACAGGACAAUCAGGUCGGACGGCCGAAAGGAAACUGUCGGACGUCCGAAAAGAUAAAGAACAUCAGGAAGGAAGCACCGUCGGACGCUCACAUGGAAGCAUCGGACGUCCGGAAGGAUCGGACGCUUGCCAUCGGACGCUAAUCAACCGCAUCGGACGUCCGAAAAAUUCCAAGAUAACUUGCUAGCUCUCGGCCCAAGGUCGGACGCUGUGCUGUCGGACGACAAAGAACUUAUCGGACGUCCGAACCUCAACUUGGCUAUCAUCGGACGAUUGGUUCGGACGAUGAUUCGAUCGUCGGACGUCCGACAGCCCCAACGGCUAGUUGACUCUUCAGCUGCCUUCUAUCCGUUGGAAGCAUUGAUGAAGCCCAUUUCUGGAUCCCUUUAAAAUCAAACUGGUCUGAACGAAGUAGGAACUUUUGCUCACUUUGUUUACAAGUUCUCAAGAGAUAUUUUAGCUAGAAAAUAGUCUCCAAAGCAGAUUUGUAUUAAAGUGGUGUGAAUUUCUGUUGAGCAUUUCUUUUGUGGUUGAAAGGAUCUUUAGUGUAGCUUUGUUGAGGGUUUUCUGAGUGAUUGUAAAACUUCCUAGCUUGACUAAGUGAGGCUUAGGGCAAGGAGGAAGAGCUCCCUCCAUUGUACAUCUAGUUGAUCUUCGUUCUUCAAAGAGAAGUUGCUCUUCCUAGUGUUUGGUCUUCAAGUUUGGGUAAAGCUUGGUAGACACUUGGUUUGUUUCUCUAUUUUAUAUUUCUGUUUAAUAAAAUCUUCAUUGCUUAUCUAUACUUGCUUCUCUGAUUAAUAUUGCUAUUGUCUUCUAAUCUACUUGGUUGAUCAUUACUAAAAAGGAAGGUAAAUUUUCAUUAAAGAAAAAAAGUGCAUAAACUUGGUUAAGAUUUUAAUCAACCAAUUCACCCCCCCUCUUGGUUGUCUAUGGGACUUACAGCCUCACUGAGCGUUAGCUCACCCCAAUUUGUUUUCCUUUACAGGUUUGGAAGUGGAAGUUUUGAGGCUUAAUUAGUGACCCCAAAAAUAAUUUUUCCCCACAGGGCUCGAGGCCAAAGAAAGCGCUUGUAUUGAGUUAUUAGUGCCUGAAGGGAUAUCUCAUAUAUAAUUUGAAUUCGAUUCACUUGAUAAGUAUUUGAGUACUGAGGACUUUUGUCUUAUUCGGGGAAUGAUACCCUUACUUGAGAUUUGUAAUGUAUCUUAUCUCGUUCUAAGUUUGAAAAGUGUUAUUUCGUUUAUUCUUGAGGUUGUACCCUAUAUUAUUGGAUGUGAGUGAUGUAUUUUAAUUGAGGACUGUAGUGAAUCCCGGCGAGAGCUGGGCAAGCGGUCCGCCGAGCCCUUUGGUUUGCCUUAGGGGGAGGUAGGGCUGUCACAGUUGGUAUCAGAGGUUAGGCUCUAGAUCUUGUAGUGUAUCCUCGGCUUAAAGUUUAGGAUGCUUAACUGUGGGAUUAAUUUGAAUAUUAUGUGAAUGGGGACCUAUUGUAUCCUAGGGUUUAAAGAAAUUGAUUAUUUGAGAGUUUCUUACUUGGGACUUGUAGAAAUAAAAAAAAUUGAGGAAUUAGGUGAUGUUAUAUUGAAGGAAAAUAUGGGAUGAGGAUUAGUAGUGAAAGAUUGGAUGAAUUUGAAUUAUUAUUAUACUUGUAAGUGUGGGAAGAAUUGAGGCAAUUAUUAGUACUGGCUAUAGAGGAUAAGAGACCAGGAUUUGAUGGCCAAACUCCAUGUUUGGUGGUUUUGAACCAAGAUAAAAGAGUUUCAAAGGAAUAAAAUGUAUUUUCCCGCCCAUUUACCUCCUACAGAAUUUCUGCUUUGAAAUUCUAAAGAAAAACGAUGAUGUACUAGUUUUAUUUUCAAACGAUGAUUGAAAAUGAUAUAUAUGCUUAAGUAUGUAUAAUUUUCGAUUUUGGUAAAUAUGUGAAUUUUACUUGAAUUUCAAUCUGAAAAUUUGUGAAUAACUGAUGAGUUUGUUGAAUUUUGUAUAUGAUGGGCUGAUACAAGGUUAAAAUUUUCUAAACUAAGUUUUCCCCCUUGAUUGUAUACUGGUGUAUUCUCACACUUGAAUUUGUCUAUGCUUUACAAAAAAAAAAAAAAUCUUGAGUUUUCGGAAGAAUGGCGAACUUAUGUUUUUAUAAUGUAAAUCUUGAACUUGAUAAGAUUUUUGGUUACUUUAAAUACUCUUCUUAUGUUUUAAAAAUCUUGGUUUUCAAGAAUAGUGAGCCUAUCUUUAGGUGUACGAACUGAGGAAACUUUGAGAUAUAGAGUAACCGCAUUCAAGAGCCCAAAGUUAGUGUGAAUUGACUUGGUUUCCAUUUGACACGUAAGUUAGCAGGUUGUACCUAUUUCUUGGGUUUGAACUUGGAGCUUGAGGCUUUAACUAUAAAACCCUAAGACUGGUUAUUCUUGGAGAUGAUGGUGCUUUGGCUGGUGGCUUGCUUAUUAAAGAUUUUGAAUUUCGAAUGGAUAACCUUUGGUUUUAGCUUGUGUUAUGGUUUGAUUGGAUCUAAUUUCGUAAAAGCAUGUGAUCUGAUUGAAAUUAGUGAUAUUUGGACCCUUUGGUUUAACUAUGGACUUAGGAAGGGUGGUGCACGCCGUGAGGCCUUUUGUAUCCUGCUUGCAUAUACUUCUAUAUGUGGCAUUUAAUUGCCUUUAUGCAGUAUUUGACAUAUUGGGUUUGUUUUGUGACUUCUAACUCGUGCUAUAACUUUUGAUACAAGUAAAGAAGCAUGUUUUGAUUCUAAAUAUUUUUGCAACUUGUAUAUGCAUUAAGUUCUUUUAUGGUUAAUUAUUCUUUUUCUUGUGCUUAUAGACUUCUAUUAAGUAUGGCAGCAGGAAUGGGAAAAAGGGGUCGUGGCCUAGGGCUUAGACAACCCCGUACUCAUGAGAGAAAUUGAUGGGUAGUCCUAUAUAAUAUAAUGGGGGCGACGCCCUAACCCAUUGGCUAGCCUUGUAACUCGAGCCGGCAAGGGCUUGGUCAAGAAACUUGGUGAACCUUGGGAAGUGUUAUAGCUUGAUCCAAAUAAGGGGUCUUGCUAGGUAUACUUGUUAAGUGAUACCACCUACAUGCUUGUUUGGUUACGGAUCCAAGAGGGUGUCAUGGUGGCUGGAGGUAGUAAGUGGAGUUCUACAUGGAUAACUGUGAAAGUUGACGGAGGGUCAACUACUUGAGCUUGGAUCGCGCGUGGAUUAGCUCCUGAGAGCUUCCGUAUCCUUUUAUUGUGAUUAAAUUCCCUAGUUGCUUAACGUUUCGUAGUUACUUGUUACUCGAGUUAUUGCUUUAUAUUGUGUCUUUGCUAGCAUGCUUGCAUGUUUUUCCCUUGGCCUCACUGAGCGUUAGCUCACCUCAAUUUGUUUUCCUUAACAGGUUUGGAAGUGGAAGUUUUGAGGCUUAAUUAGUGACCCCAAAAAUAAUUUUUCCCCACAGGGCUCGAGGCCAAAGAAAGCGCUUGUAUUGAGUUAUUAGUGCCUGAAGGGAUAUCUCAUAUAUAAUUUGAAUUCGAUUCACUUGAUAAGUAUUUGAGUACUGAGGACUUUUGUCUUAUUUGGGGAAUGAUACCCUUACUUGAGAUUUAUAAUGUAUCUUAUCUCGUUCUAAGUUUGAAAAAUGUUAUUUCGUUUAUUCUUGAGGUUGUACCCUAUGUUAUUGGAUGUGAUUGAUGUAUUUUAAUUGAGGACUGUAGUGAGUCCCGGCGAGAGCUGGGCAGGCAGUUCGCCGAGCCCUUUGGUUUGCCUUAGGGGGAGGUGGGGCUGUCAUAACUCAUCCCACGUUUUGGGUUUCUUUAACAGGGUUCGAGACCAAGAGUGCUCGUGAAUAGUACUAGAUUGCUAUCUUUUGAAGACUUUAAGUUGUAUUACAGCAGAUGGCUGUAGUAAAUAUUCUUUUGGGUUGUAUUAAGUUUGAGAACUGAUUAAUUGUAAGUGUGAGAUAUUUUGGAGUACUUUAAUUAUGUAUUGAAGUUAUUUGAAGUAUUCCGAACUUUUGAAUUAAGGAUUGUAGUGAGUCCUGGCGAGAGCUAGGCAGGUGUUCCGCGAAUACCCUUUGGUUCGUCUUAAGGAGAAGUGGGGGCGUCACAGGUUGCCAUAGGCACCCUGACCAGCACAGUGAGUGCCACCGCCAGGAACACGAGAGAUACGAGAAACAGCACGACCAGUACCCCAAGACUCAGCCGAGGUCUGGUGGCCGGCAGACCUAGAGACGGCGUACGGUUGGCGAGAGUUCUUGGAGAUGUGAUACCCUAACUUUUAGGAUACUAUUGUUGUUUAGUUUCAAAGAGGAUAUUAUGAUUUCUUUAUUUAAGACAUUGUUUUGCUUUAAACAUGACAAACGCUAAAUUCUAGAAACCAUAAAGUCUAAUAAAAAAACCCUAGUUUACUUGUGACUAACCGAUUUUCUUAAAUCUCUCAUUUUGAAUCAAAACCCUAAUUGUAAUCACUGGAAUUGUAAAAUCCCUCAUAUUUUCUUAAAAUUCCUUUUUAUUUGGCAUUUAUUCCCUUAUAAUAGCUAUACUACUCAUUUUACAUCCCCAAUGUUUAGAAUAAAGAAUAGAAUUAAGAGUUUUCCCUUUUGCAUUCAUCGUUAGGGUAAACUAAGAUUUUUACGCCUAUCCGUAAUGUGACUGUGACGACCCCACUUCUCCCAAGGGCGGAUCCAAGGGUAUCGGCGGGCCGCCUGCCUAGCUCACGCCAGGACUCAAAACUUAAAGUUCGAAAGAGCACUAAAUACAAUAUAUACAAUCCAAAAGUUAUAUUUACAUCUUCAUAAGUCUCGAGUCAAACCACUCUAAUAUACUACAACCACAACCAGCAGAAGAUAGACCCUAAGAAGGGUCCUUAUACAAAUCACCAAAACAAAAACAAACAUCCUAACUGUCCAACUAUUACAAACAAACUUAACUACACUAGUGUAAGUGCCAAAAUCCCCGCGUCGGCCCCUGCUAAGGAAAACAAAAGGAAUGGGGUAAGCUAAAUGCUUAGUAAGUAAACAGGGGCGAAAGCAUAAAUUCACGUAGCAACAAUUACACAAUAAGAGUAAAGCAAAAGCAGAAAAGUAACAUCACAUAAUAAGGAUACAGGUGGUUCCAAAGCCAAUUCAUAUGCCAUGCGUGAUCUCCUACCGACACUCCGUCGACCACACUUAAUAGUCCGUAGAACUUCACUUGUACACCCACCGACACCUUAUCACCCUCACUGGCCAAUCACCUCACAAACUUGCCCGGGCGAACGAAAUCACAAACUUGAGCUUGAGUCACAAGUUCGGGUCACAAACUUGGUCACCUUCUCGGUGAACCGGAUUCACAAAAUUGGUUCAUAACAUGAACCUACAAACUUGGUGACCUCAGACUAAGUUGGACUGACUUCGACCAAGCCCUAACCGGCUCGAAUAGUCCAAAUAGGUCUUAGAUCGGGCCCACGAACUCACAAACUUUACAAACUUCACAAACUUUACUCGAAAGUCGCCCCGAGCCACAAGCUCAAGGGUUUUGGUUCCAAAAGGUUCAUAUACAUAUGCCAAGUACAAUUAUACAUUCAAAUUAGGGUUUAGGUCGAGUGCGAUAAAGUACACCCUCGCCUAAGUACCCUUUUCACAUAUCUCAAACACAUAGCAAAGAAAACACAUCAAACUGGCCUGAAUACUUACUCAGAAACUGAAAUAGCAAAAGUACGAAGUCGGAUCGAAAUGAACAGCUAGUAGUGGGCCCCACCAGUUCCGCCCAGCUCACCACCGUCUGAAAUAGAAGAUUGUGUCACAUAAUAUCGCAAACGGCUACUAUCGUGCCUAAAACAAGCAAAACGGCAAACGACACGCGCGCACGUAAAUAUGACGAACGGAAACGGAAACGGCCGUUAGCGGAAACGGCAGAUUUGACACUCGUUUCUAGUUUACUCAUAAGUUGAGCUACGAAUAUCGGAUUAAGGCGUAUGAGAUGCCAUAUCGAAGCUUAAAGGAUGAACAACAACUGUUAUGAAGACAUCCAGAACUGAAACUGGAGGCUUCAGUCCCAAAUGAACCAAACACAAUCACUUACGAAAUCUGGCCAAUGCACAAAUGGUCAGUUUUGAGUGCAAACUGUUUUCUAUGCUACACAUGGUCAAAAGAGCUGAAAAUUGGCAGUUAGAUAGUUCAUUCCAAAUGGAACAACUUUCAUGAAGGUCGGCAAUCCAAAUUCGGAACGGAAAUUGGUCAUCAGGACCAAAACAGAUCUGACCAGAAAAUGGUCAUCUUCACGGCCAGGCCUUAUUUGCUCGGCUAUAUCUCAGGUUUUAUAAAUCCGAUUCAUGAAAUUCCAAGGGCGUUAGAAAGCUCUGAUAUAAGGCUAUAAGUUUGGUGUUUUGGUCGCAAGCCCAAACAGCUUGUAACCCAGUCAAAUGUGAAGCCAAAGUUCCAGUCGUAAACUUUCCAAAAACGUAACAGAAUUUGACGGUCAAAACAGGUCUGAGUAUUUCGUUUAUAGCUCAGGAUAUACUAAUCCGUUUAACCUGAAAAUUUACAGGAAUAUCCAGGACUUAAGGGGCUACAAUGUUGAAGAAGGAAACUUUGUCCAAUUUUGAAUGUAACAAGGUCAAAAAUGCAAGACACUAUACCAGAAUCGCAAAACAGGAUCACAAACCGUAUUUGACCUCAAUAUGCGGUAAUGGCACCAAAUUCACUACGGUUAUCGGAUGGGGGUGUAAGACCCACCGUUUCGAAGCUAAGAAACAGGGCUACAACAAUGUAGAAGGCCACUCAGUCCAAAUCCUAGCACAACUAGGUCAAAUAUGCAAAAUACGAAACCAGAAUUACCAAAACAGGUUUGCAAAUCACAUAAUGCUGUAAUGAGUCCAACUCAGUCUAUACAAGUCCAAAUGCAUUGAUUCCAAAGGCAUAUGGUAGCUAAGACAUUCCUCUAUAUUUCAUCAGAAGACACCAACAUCUAAAACCAAAGCAAUUCCAGUCAAAAUGGCCAAUUACAAGUGCAGUUUUCGCAUUCUGAUCAACCCAGAACAGCAACAGUAAAAUCGACAUAUCUCACUCUACACUAAUCCAAAUGACCUGAAAUUUUACAGGCACCUCAAACACAUCAAUACCUACAAGUUUCAUGUUUUAAUCAAAGUCCAAUUCGGCCUCUAACCCUAUGAUCCAAAACCGGACAGAAUUAGGGGUUUUGAAACCCUAACAUUUCACAUUUCAAUCCAAAUCCAAAAUUGGUUGCAAUUAUCAACAAUUCACAUCCACUAGAGUCAUAACCCCUCAUUAUCAACCAUCAUAAAUGACCACAACAUCACACUCAUAUUAAACCAGAAAAUUCCUCAAAAAUAUAAAAACUUCACCAAGUCACUUCAAAUCAAGAAAUAAAUCACAAAUAUCAUCACUUUAUCCACUACUAAGCAUAACUUAAGCAUCAUUAGGUGUAGGAGUAUGUUCAAUCAUCACUUACCUAGUAUACAAGAGAAGAGGAGUUGUAGACCACCUUAGCUCUUCCAAACAAAUCCACAAAACAACUCACAACCACCACUUGAAGGUGUUUUAUGGAGCAAAAUCAAGGUUGGAUGGUUGGUUUUGAUGAUUUGGAACAAGAUUGAAGUGUUUCUUCCUUGUACUUGGAGUAAGAGAGAGAGAAAGAGAGGAAGAGAGGGCCAGCCACAAGGUGAAAGAAAAUGGUGAUUUUUGGUUAAUUUUUUAGAUAUUUAACCAAUUUGGUCAAAAGUCAAAAAAUGAAAUAGUAAUUCAUAAGUCUUCUCCAAUGAAAUGGUGACACUUGUCACCACCAUUAAUGCAUUCCUAUCCUUUCUUUUCUCUCUCACAUCAAUCAUUUCACACACUCUACUUAUCUCUUAACACCCGAUAAAUUUUACACAGUAUCCGAAACUUAACCUAAUUGGCCGAAUUUUCCGAACUUUUCGCACUAGUGGGCCCCACGUCCAAUAUAUAUUCUUAAUUUUCUAAAAAAUUCUCCAAUACUAGAAAAUCAUCUAAAAACUAUAAUUACUCAUAAAAUUCACCAGGAAAAUAUUCCUAAGCCCGAAAAUGCAGAAAACCUGCCAUUAAAGGGUUUAACCCUAGGAAAAUUUAUUAGGGUUUUACGGGUUCUCACAGUGACUCUCCGGUAUGGAGAGUGGAUCAAAUUUGGUGAUUAAGAGUGAGUUUUAGAUAAUAUUAAGUGUAUGAUGAGAAGUGAUAAUAAUAAGUUAGUGAAUUAUAAGUUAAAACCCUAGUAUACGCGAUUUAAAGAAAAUCGGCUCGAACCGAUGGGUACCGUUCACUACCAAUUGAACACACCAUUUGACCACCAUUUUUAUCAAGUUAAUCUUCUUGAUAUUAGAGCUUAAAUAUCAGCUCAAAAUCUGAUCUUGAGGGCCGAAAUUUUUUACUUGGAAAACAAGAGAAAAGAAAAAAUUUUGGAUUAACCAAAGUGUGACACUUGUUGGUUACUUAGAGACCUUUGACCAAGCCAAUUUUCUUUACUUCUUAUCUUCACUUUGGCUCCAUUUCUUCACCAUUUUUCCUUGGAUUGGCUGAGAGCAAGAGAGGGAGAAAGAGUGAAGAGAGCUUUCCAUUUCAACCUUGAAUCAAGCCUUGUGAGUGAAAACAAGAACAAAUAAACCGAUUAACUUGUAAUUGGAAGCUUGGGAAGCUUAGGGAACUAAAAAUUUCAAGGGGAAGUGAAGAAGAACACUAGAAAGCUCUGGUUUUGAGGUAAAAUAGCUGACUACUCUUUUCUUUUCCCUUAAUCAUGUUGGAGUUGUUUAGUAACUUGUAUUUGUGAUUGUGAUGCUUAAAUGAAGGGAAUUUGGAUGAUUGGGGUGAUGCAUUUGAGUUAGGAUUUGAAUGAUUCCCUUAUCAUACUUGUUGUAUGGAUAGUAUAUGAUGUAUAUAAGCUUGUAUAUGAGGUGGUAGUGAUGGUUUUAUGUGACGCCCCGAAAAGUAGGGUUUUCAUUUUAUGGAUAUUUUCGUUGGACGAGCGAAGGAGCACAACUUUUAAAUUUGGAAAAAAAGAAAAAAUUUUGGAAAAGUGAAAGGGGCCAAAUCCGGCCGGGAAUCCGGCCAGUUUCUGGCCGGAUAGUUGGCCGGAUAGCUGGCCGGAUUGCCUUGCCAUUUUGAAAAAAAAAUUGGUUUCGUCUCUGCCUCGAAUCCGGCCAAGAAUCCGGCCAGAUUCCGGCCGGAAUCUGGAGUGGCAUGUCGGCCAACAGCUUUGACCAGCUGAUUUCUCUGUCUUUUUAUACUGUUUUGCACCCCAAAAAUAUCUCAUUUUUGCUUCAGCUCAACCGAGCUCUUGAGAAAAGAAAAACUCUUCCAUUUUCUAGUUUUAAUUUCUACCAAAAUCUUGAGUUUUCACCAAUGAUUUUGGACAAUACUUCAUACAAGGGCUCACUAUGGUGGACUAAGGCUCUUGAUGGAUUGGAUUUGGAUGGGGUGCUCCAUGUUGAUAGCUUCUUGAAUUUGUGAGGUAAGAUGUUUAAGAAAGGUCUUUCUUGUUUGGAUAAUGCUAUAUUAGUAACUUGUAGAGGUUGAAUGUGUUAUAUUGUGGAGUAUUUCAUGGGUUUAAGGAAACUAUGGUGAAUUUCUAAUUUAUUGGGUAUUUUUCUGAUUUUAUAUGAAAGGCAUGAUUAGUGUUGGAUUGAUGGUUUGAAAUGGUGUUAAAUGGAACCGUUAUAUGUUAAUUACGGUUGUUUACGGAAAAUUUCCGCUUGUGAUGUGAUUUCCGGUUUCUAGGGUUUAAAUUGGGGAUUUUCUUAGGAUUGGUUUAUAUGGCUUUAAUUGAAGGGGCAUUGUGGCUCUAAUUGAGUGUAUUUGCUGGUCUAUAAUUGUAUGUAAAAUUGGGGAUUGAAUUGAGGUACACUUGGUAUUGAAUGGUAGGUUGGAAAUGUGUAUAUUUUAGGGGUUAUGCCGUCCAAGUUUUGAGAGUAUGUGUUUGUUUUGAAUUUGAAUUGAUCUUGAUUCGUUUUAUGGAAAUUCUUGUGAUUUGGAAAUUGGGAGGAUUAAGUUCCAUAUUAGUGACAUUUCUACAUUUUGUUUAAGGUAGUUCAUCAUUGUUUUGCCCUGUACAUGAUUGGUAUAGGCUAGUCUCAUGAUUACGUGGGAAUUUCUAGCCCUUAAUUGUGAUUAGUGAUAGUUAUAUGCAAAGGUCGGUUCAAGAAGAGUAAUUUCAGUUUUUUCCCUGUUUUGGACUGAACUUGGACUGCCAUUUUCUCUAUACUGUGGAUCGAAUCAACUUUUACUCAAAACAUGAAACUUGUAGAUAUAUGAGUUGACUACUUGCCUACAAAAUUUCAGAUUGAUUGGAGUACUGUAGCUUGUGAAUUGACCGAAACACCCAUCACUGCCCUAUAACCCCUGUUUCAUGACAGUUUUCAUUCUUUCUCUAAAAUUUGACUUUUGACCCUGAAAAUGUAUUAUUUGUGUCGCGCCCCAUUUUUUGAUAAAUAAAUAAAUGGUUUAAAAAUGUAUUUUGAUUUAAUUUAUGAUUGGAAAAUGAAUUGUGAUUUAAAAGAAAAAUGGGUCUAAAUGGGGGUUUGAAAAUGCGACGAUUUGACCCAAAAUUAUAGUUUAAAAAGGGUUUUUGAAAAAAAUGGGAGUCGCCACUUGGUAAUGAGUUAAGGUGUACCAAGUCACCUAAAAAUGGAUUUUUUAGGAAAAAGUUGUAAGAAACCCCUUUUAAACGACUCCUAAUCCACGUAAACCAAAAAAAAAGGUUCGGGAGUCCAUUUGACGAAGGGGAAGACAAGGAUAAAAAUCCAAGGCAUCCCUUCGACCUAGCCAAGGCUAGUUGCGUGAUUUAAUCAAAGUCUUUCUUAUUUUAACCAAAGAAUUUAUUACAUUUGGAUGCACUACAUGAAUGCAAAAGGAAAGAAAAAAUGCAAACCUAAAUUCUAAAAUGUCUCUUGUAAGGUUUUUGGUCCCAACCACAUGAAUUGUGGCGGCCAAUAAAGGAAAACCUUAUAGAGGUCGAUUAAUGCAAAUGAUGGCUAAAGUGCAAGUGUGCAAGUGUAUAAAAAGGCGCACGUGUGAAAUUGUAUGAAAAGUCCAAGUGUUUGUGUGCAAGUGUAUGGAAAGGUGCAUGUGUGAAUUUGUAUGAAAAAUCCAAGUGUUUGUGUGCAAGUGUAUAAAAUAUAGUGAUAAGUGCAUAUAGGUGUAAUUAAGUGCAAUUUUGUGAAGUAGAAAUCAAAAUGAACAAUAAGGAAAGGAAAAGUGAUGAGGAAAUGUGAAUUGAAAAAAAUGAGUAAGUGAUAAAUGAGAAUGAAUGAACCUAAAGGAAUGCAUCAGGUCGGGUGUGGAAAUGACUCCUAACUUUUUCGACUUCGAUUUUCCCUUUGAUUAGAAGGCAAAACUAGCGUGCUAAGGCUAUCGAGUAGCCACACUCGCUCGUUUCCCUUAUCGGAAGGGACUCUCACGCAAGUGUACCCUAUAACUAGUAUGAAAUGCAAAAUCCUAAAAUGAGGGGAAAAGGGGUUCGAGGAGCAUGCAAAAAUGAUAAAACUAAAAAGAAUGCAUGACAUGUAAUGAACAUGCAAACAUGUACUAACGAGGGGAAAUCCCUAAGGGUCUAGCGUUGGACUAGCCCAUUCUAUGAAUUCCGACUAGCGUUGGACUAGCGGAAACGUACAUUCAUCCAUCAUAUUCAUUCAUGGCUAUGGAAAGCGAGUAGACAUGCCAAACACUCAUAAACACAUAGCACAUAACAUUUAGCAUGCUCGACUAGAUGCAAGGCCCUAACAAAGCAAAUUAACACUUAACACGUAGGCAUGCAACCAAGCUAAUGAACCUAUUACAUUCACUAACUAAAACAAAAAGGGGAAAGGGAAAAUGGACCAAAUUGCUCGCCACAGCCCUAUCUAUUACAAGCCAAGAGGUGUACACAUACCCCAUUAAAAGAAUAACUUAAUGAAAACAAAAAGUAAAUGACAUAAGUAAAAGGAAUUAAAGAAAAGCUAGGAAAGCAAAGUAGACAUGCAAUUCACUUAGCACGUUGAGUCACAUAGGAGAGAUACAAAGAGGGAUAAAAGAAAUUAUACCGCCCCCUUGAAUUGAUGCUCUAAAUGGAGUGAAAUCACUUAUUUAUCCUCCAAAAUAAAAGAAAUGGUCAAGGUACCAAUUUAUUUGGGGAAAAUUAAAGAAAAUUGGCAAACACAAGCUCACUUGGUCAUAAAGCCCUUAAACUCUUGCAUUAAGUAUCACCUUAGCAAAACAUGAUAACCAAUGAAGGCAAACAAGCAAUUGAAUUGAAACAUUAAUGCUACCAAAGACUCAAAUGUGAACACUAGCCAAGCAUUCAAGCUUAAUCAAACAUUUUUAAAAGCUUCAAGGGUCCAAAGGCAAAGAAAAAGUCAAGUAAUGGCUUAAAAUGCAGUAUUCUAAAACCCAUUUGCAAGAAGUUGGAACAUGCUUGGGCUUUUGUGGAACAUGGAGAAACUUGAGGGAUCGAAUUGAUUAAGUGUUCCAAUUACUUGGGCCAUAGUGAGUCAAGAGGGGACUUGGUGGUCAAAGUGCAAUUAUUCUAGGACUUAAUUGCAAGAAAUUAAAACAUAAUUGGGCCACAGUGCAACAAAGGGGAACUUGGGGAUCAAAAGGCAAAAUUCAGAAAACAUUUUCAUGCAGCUCAUGCAACAUACGCAGAAUCUUUUCUUCUGCAACAACCUUGCUGCAUUUUUCUAACGCAAAUUUUGGACUUCAGCAAACCAUCUUUAACCAAACUUUUCACCCAAACAAAAUCAUUACUUCAACACAUAUUAAUACCAUAAUCCAAUGAGCAAUGAACUUGGAAAGAAACCACGCAACUUAUUAAACUUUUCAUGCAGAUUUGCGGAUGAAGCUACUAAGACAGAAAGGGAGAGUUUGCUGCAAUUUUCAUCUUCAAUCAGAUUUCAGAAGAAACUAACACAAACUUUGGACAAAUUCUCUCAAACCCAUGUCCAAACUUUGAGUCAAGCCACACAACACACAACUUCAGCAUUCAAACAAACCAAAGCAUAGAAGGAAAAACAUGCAAAUGCUGGAAAAUUUUAUGCAAAAAGGUUCAGCAAUCCUGAUCUCGUUCAAAUUCCAGCAAGGUUUUUGAUUAUGGUUCAAAUGCUUCAAGGACUCAAACAUACAAACUUCAGCAAUUUUUCAGCAGCAAAUACACCCAUUUCAUCAUACAAACAAAUUCAUCAAACCAGAAAUUAUUGACCCAAAUUAAAACAUGAAAUUUUGUUUGCAGGAUUAAGAUGGCAAAUCUGGUUUUGAUCGACAACAAAAGAAAUAAAGAAAACUGCAGCAAGGUUUUCCUUUCAGCAACUACAAAUCAAGCGAACUACAAGCCUCCACUACUAAGCUCCCAACCAUUCUCAUGACAUCUCAGGCAAAUGGCAAGCAGAUCAGACAUGUUAAGCAAAGCUAAAGCUUCAGGAAACCAAGAAAAAAGAAAGGGUCUGUCCAUGCUGCUGCAACAAGCCGAGAGCUUCGAGCUUGUUGCAGCAGAAAAUUAUGCAUCGAAUCUCAGCUGGACAAAAAUUCAAGAAAGCGACAACAGCAACAUCAAGCAAUCUGCAUUCUUUUCAACAUGAGAUUAAACAGCAAAUUGAAUGACAAAACCCUGUUUAGCUCUUCCUAAUGGUAAUCAAGAUGACGGGCUAACAAGGCCUUCCCAGCUCUAAAUUUACUCCCAACCAAAAAGCAAAGAACCGACAUACAGGAAGCAUUGACAGCAAGCUUUCCUCGCAACAAAAAAAAAAACUUUUCAACCCCUGAUGCCUUGAGUUUUUUUAGCAACCUUACGUGACAGGUAUGUACUAAGUCAUAAUCCGACACAAAAGACAGCAAAAAGAUGAAAGGAAACAAGCAUGUAAAGAUCAAAGCUGCAAACUUUCUACUGGGAAUCUCGAGGCUCCUCUCAUGCGUAUGUUUUCAUAAAAAACCCGAAUGGAACCUUCAUUUCAUUAGCCCCCAAACUUCAGAUUCUUCAUUACCCAAAUAAGAACUAUCAAUCAUAUUGCAUCCGAAACUGAACCAGUAAACGGCAAAGAGAUGCCAACGACCAAUUAAAACAAGCAACUUUCAACUAUAAAAGGGUGAACACAAUACCUUGAUCAAGGAAGGGAACGUGGGAUGACCAGAAAAGGGCUCAAGUGAUUCUUUUAGACGCUCAAAGGAACGUGAGACUUUGAUGAAUGAAAACCCAGUCGCCGUCUUCCUGCAACCUCCAACCGCAGCUACCCUUUCCCUCUCUGGAGCUUUUCUUUUACCGUUUGUUCCAGCAGCCGCCGACCUCUCUCAAGCCUGUCGGUUUUUCUUUUCUCGUUUCUGAUGUUUCCUUUUUUUUUGAAGAUCCUCCCUUUUUGCUCUCUCUCUAUCAUUCUCUCGUUCGCCCUCUCCUUCACAUCCAAGAACCUCCUGUCGUUACUCCCUCACUCUUGCUCCCAGUUUUCUGUUUUGCUCCCCUCUCUUAUUUUUCUCUUCCGGCUGCUGCUCUAUCCUUUUUCCCCCUCCACUCUCUCAAAGCUGACCUUUUUCUUCACUGCUCAACCCCAGCCGUUGUUUCCUCCUUCUCUCGCCCUCUCUCACGAAGCUCUCAAACUCUCAGCCGCCCACUCUGUCCGGUUCCUCUAGUUUUCCAGAAUUUUUUUUUCAGCCGUCAAACCUCUCGUAUCUUUUCUUCCUCUUGCGGCUGCCUUUUCUUUUUGCUAUUUAUACCAGGAACCCCCCUCCUAAACCCUCAGCUAUACUCUCCAAAAUUUGCAGCUAAGGGGCUGCUAAGAGCCCCUCCUUGCAAACUGCUGAAAUACGCAGCUUCAUGCCACGUUUUCUCUCUUCUUUUUUUUUUUUUUAAAUAAACCAAACAAAAAUAAAAGAUAAAUUAAGUAGAAAUGACAAAAAUAGAUAAAUAAAACAAAAUUGCUAUUUUCUUUUUCUUUUUCUCUAUUUUUUCAUUUUUUCAUGAUUUUCCUUUUUCUCUUUUUUUUAUUCAUUUUUCCUUUUUCUCUUUUUUUUUUCAAGAAAUUCUAUGCUAAAAACUUAAAAAUAAAAAUAAAACUAUAAACUAAAAACUAAAAAUUGAAUAAAACUAACACGACAAAUAAAAAACUAAAAAUAAACAGUAAAUGAAAUUACACCAAAAAUUUGGUGUCUACAGUUUGUCUCUCUUUGUCUGAGUUUUGGAAAAACUUGAGACAAAGAAGUAGACACCAAAUACUUACCUGCGUUAUUCGGCUGCGAAUUACUCAAACGAUGGGGACUGACCCCUGACAGGAAAUUUUAAAAUCGGGACUGACCCGAGACAGGAUUUAAACGGGACUGACCCAAACAGAAAUAUAAAAUUGGGAUAGACCCACGGGAUAGACCCGAACAGAAAUUUAAAUUUGGGAUAGACCCCCGGGAUAGAUGGGAUAGACCCGGACAGAAAUGAAAUGCUUACUGGCGGGACAAAUCCAGCUCCAAUAGCAAUGAAAAUGAAAUGUCUUGACCAUCGGACAGUGGGAUCAAACCCGAGCCUGCCGUGAUGAACUUGAUUUGAUUUUUGACUUUUUUGAUUUUUUGAUUUUUCUUUUUUUUUUUUUAAAUAAACCAAACAAAAAUAAAAGAUAAAUUAAGUAGAAAUGACUAAAAUAGAUAAAUAAAACAAAAUUGCUAUUUUCUUUUUCUUUUUCUCUAUUUUUCAUUUUUUCAUGAUUUUCCUUUUUCUCUUUUUUUUUAUUCAUUUUUCCUUUUUCUCUUUUUUUUUUCAAGAAAUUCUAUGCUAAAAACUUAAAAAUAAAAAUAAAACUAUAAACUAAAAACUAAAAAUCGAAUAAAACUAACACGACAAAUAAAAAACUAAAAAUAAACAGUAAAUGAAAUUACACCAAAAAUUUGGUGUCUACAGUUUGCCCCUCUUUGUCUGAGUUUUGGAAAAACUUGAGACAAAGAAGUAGACACCAAAUACUUACCUGCGUUAUUCGGCUGCGAAUUACUCAAACGAUGGGGACUGACCCCUGACAGGAAAUUUUAAAAUCGGGACUGACCCGAGACAGGAUUUAAACGGGACUGACCCAAACAGAAAUAUAAAAUUGGGAUAGACCCACGGGAUAGACCCGAACAGAAAUUUAAAUUUGGGAUAGACCCCCGGGAUAGAUGGGAUAGACCCGGACAGAAAUGAAAUGCUUACUGGCGGGACAAAUCCAGCUCCAAUAGCAAUGAAAAUGAAAUGUCUUGACCAUCGGACAGUGGGAUCAAACCCGAGCCUGCCGUGAUGAACUUGAUUUGAUUUUUGACUUUUUUGAUUUUUUGGAUUUUUUGAUUUUUUGAUUUUUUUUUUUUUUGAGAAACUUUCCAAGGAUAAUUUGCCCCAGUAUAAUGAAAUGGUCAGUGGGAUUAAACCCAAGCCUGCCCAAUGGGAUGUUGGCGGCACGAAAUCCAGGCCCAACGUGAUCUUGUGAAGUUGGCGGCAUAAAGUCCAGGCCCAACGUGAUGUUCGAAUGUUGGCGGCACGAAAUCCAGGCCCAACUUGAUCUUUGGAAUGUUGGCGGCACAAAGUCCAGGCCCAACGUGAUUUUUGUGAGGUUGGCGGCACGAAAUCCAGGCCCAACAUGAUGGUGUGGCGGCACAAAGUCCAGGCCCAACGGGAUCCUUGUGAGGUUGGCGGCACGAAAUCCAGGCCCAACUUGAUCUUUGGAACGUUGGCGGCACGAAACUCAGGCCCAACGGGAUGUUUGAGAUGUUGGCGGCACCAAGUCCAGGCCCAACGUGAUUUUUGGAAUGUUUGUGAAUGGUCAGUGGGAUAAGACCCAGUCCUGCCAUCCAAUUGGUCAAGAAACUGAAUUUGAUUUUCCAAGAAACAAGAAUUUGAACUUGAUUUUUGACUUUUGAAUUUUUCUGAUUUUUUUUGUAAGAAUCUUUUUCAAAAUAAUUUGCCCCAGUGUAGGGCCCUUUUCCCUUCUUUUUCUCUUUCUUCGGCAUCGGCCUUCCACAUCACCAGAUGCUCUUUCGUCGAUUUCAACAAUGAAUAUCUGCACAGGGGCUUACCAAAAUAUGACAUGCAUUCACAUUUACAUGAAAAGAGCAGCGUGAUUGAUUCGAAAAUGUAUCAUUUUCACUUUUGGACGAAAUCCUCAAAUGUAUUGAGGAAAAUUUUGCCCCAGUGUGGGCUUAUUUUAUGAAAUCUCAUGAACAAAAUUUUGCCCCAGUGUGGGCUCCCUUGAUUGCAACAAUUUGUUCAGAUGAUUUCCCAUUUAUUUGAACAAAGAGAAACAGCACUUCUAAAAUUUAGAAAAUAGUCAUAUAUACAAUGUGAAAACACUUAACGUCGAGUUUGAACUCAUGCAAAAAUUUCAUGGUGAAUCCCUUAGAAUAACACCAAAUUCAAGAAGAUUUCUUCUUCACUUUUAGCAUCGAUGCUUAGGAUAACAGGUCACCACUUUCUGGUUGGCUCAUCUGUCAGGACCAAUCAAGUGACUUUAUUUUUGAUUUGGAAAUGGCUGAAGGAAAUGGGAGGUCAAGAUUUGUCUCUUUUUUUUUUUUGUGCUCAAAAUUGUAAUCGAUUCAACAUCACAUCUUAGUGAAAGCAGAGAGUUUGUCACCCUUAUUCCUUAAGAAAAUUGAGUCAACAUAUAAGCUUUAAACUUGCAACCAAUGGGUAGGAACGAUAGCUAAACAUGCGAAAACUGGUUAUACCCUUAUGAUCAUAAAUAAUUGAUGGAUUCCUUACGAGCAUAAUCCUCACUUUGGAUUGUCAUGAAGGAAUAAGUCAACGAUGGACUUUAUUAGCUUGUAAUGUGGCUUGAAAACGAUAGCUAAAGAAUAAAACUUUCAAGGACAUAGCACCGAAGAUCGCAUUUUUCUCAAAAUUGCCCCUAUUUUGAACCCGAAGAUUCUAAACUUUGUUUGAUCAUUCAAAAGGGACUUCACCAUCGAAUCUUUUGUAUUUCAUUUUUCCUUUUUGCUUUUCCGUUUUCUUUUCUUUGAUCUGGUGGGUUUUCACAUGGUGAGUAGCGUCAACCCCAUACCCAAGCAAUUCAGAAAUACAGCUAAAAUUUUCCGGCAUCAGAAAUUUUCUUGACAGGGCCAUUGCAAAGAACAGGAGUCAGGACUUUCAGCUUUUGUAAUGGGGUCUGGUGGGGUGUUUAGAAAAGUUAAGGCUUGAAGGCAGAUUUCAAGAAUGGUUUAAAGAAUCUGAGAUCGCAUUGUUGUGCCAACCCUAUUUUAGGGUUAAAUCAGAACUUGCCCCAGUUUAUGCUCAAUUGAGGCUUUUUCUUUUUCAUUUUCUUUCUUCUUUUGAUUUUUCGGCUUUCUGCCAUUUUUUGAAAUUUUCACAAAACUUGCCCCAGUUUAUUUGUGAACUGAGGUUCUCAUUUCUUCUUUUGUCUUUUGAUUUUGUGGCUUUUCACUUUUCACUUCUUGAAAUUUUCAUUUUCAACUCAAACUUGCCCCAGUGUGGGGUUUGCAAUUCUCAGGGGUUGCCAAACGAAAUAAUUCAUUCUGAAGGCUCAAAAGGGAUAACUAAGGAUAGAAUGUUCGCUUGGAAAAGAAGAGGGCCUGACCUUUAUCCCGUUCUUUACAUUAACUCUGAAAGGAAACUUUCAUUAAUGACGAAAUUUCUCGCAUGUAUUUGAAUUAAUUGACUGAGGAAGACGCCUGUGAAGCAUAGAUGAUCCGCCAGAUGAAAUUCUUCCUUUUCUUUUUUCAACAUUGGAACCCAAGUGGAAUCAAAUUUCCAAUUUGCGGUUCUCUCCCUUUUAGCCUUAGCAUUUUGGCUUUUCUCUCUCUUUUGGAAAAUUCUCCAAUCUUCUUCCCCAGUGUGGGGGCAAUCAUAAGUGCUUUGAAAAGAACCAGCAAUUUUGGCUCAAAUGAGGAUGCAAGGGAUAAAGCAGUGUUUAAAUGGUAGAAACGAUGGCCAAAGCAUCAUUCUUACGCUUCAUGACAAACCAAAGUAAAGAAAUGCUCAUUGAGAAUCCAUUCCCCCUUUUGAUAUUCGAAAAUUUUCCCAUGUAGGGUUGUGAUCAUCAAGGCGCUUAUUUGAAACGAAGUUAUUCUUUUAAAGGCUCAAACGGGAGAGCAAAUGAUAAAAUCUGUAUGGGUAGAGAAACGAAUGCUCAAAGUAUCAUUCCAAAUUUUCAAAACAAAUAAGAAUAAUGCACCCUUUCGCUUUCACUUAGAUAUGAUUUGAGUCUAAUUAGACACUAUGGACAUUUUUCCAAGUAAAGGUUGCCCCAAUGGGGUCAAUAGAAGUGGCAAAACAUGAAUUGUUCAGCGAAGGAGAAAAGGUAUCUCAUUGGGCCUUUUGAAGGACCUCUCUUAUUUUUGAGCACUUUUAUUGUACAGCUCGGAUCACCAACCUGGUAUGCAUGAAGAUUUUAGAGAGUAUACACUUGUGAAUCCUGAGACUGAGGUUGGAAAAAAUCUCAAUUUGGUUUUAUUUCUCAAAAUUCAUCAUGAACUCUCCAAUGAGUAAGAAUAAAGAAUGAAAUGUACAUGAAUAUAAAAAAAACAAUAAUUGUCCAAAAAUUUCUAUUGCUGAAAAAAUUUGAAACAAAAUUUCUCGUUCAAUUAUGAUACAAAUGAGAAGAAAAAAAAACUUCUAAAGAGCUCCACAUAUAUACUCUUUUUGUCUCCCUUUCUUUUCGAGCAAAAAUGUAUUAACACAUCAAAUAAACAGAAUUUUCCUUUGAAAAACAAUUAUAAAGCCUCUCAGAGAUUUUGGCCCAGAGCCUUCAGAUGGAUCUUUCAUGUCUCCGUGGCAAGAUCUACCCAAGAAUCAAAUAAUACUUGUAACCUUCAAACUUUAUUGGACCAAAAUUAUCAUCAGAUAUAGAAGAAUGUUUUCGCCUUAUUGAAACAUUUUAUGAAUGCAGGGGAGGGGAAAACAAAAGAAAAAUACCCCGAGUUAGUAGGCAAAACUGCAAAAUCGGUAUGCAUGUCCUAUGGGGAAGCCCUUUUAUGCCAAGGGUAGGCCUAGCAUGAAAAUGCAAUCCUCUAGGGUAGGCACUAUACCAUACCUGAUGGAUCCGAUCAACUUGUUGAGUGAAAAAUAAUUUGAAAAAUUUGGCCCAUUGGAAUGAGAAGAGACGUUGGUCAAAAUGAGGACCUCGUCCGAAGGGAUUGAUCACUUUUGAUCGAUACAAGAAUUUGCAAAAAACGUACGGGUUUGUCCUUGACGAACUUCCUAUCGAAGAGAUUGGAAUUCGUUUUGACAAAUUUUCUCAGUGAAGCACGGGUCAAAGCUCCAACUGAUCAAAUGGCUGGAUGCAAUGGACGGUUUUCUCAAAAUGGACUAGGUUUUCCAAUUUGAAUUUCUUCAUUGAAACCCUAAUUGGUCAAAUUGAUGGAAUGAAAUUGACCAUUUAUUUAAAAUCGACCAGAUUACCCUAAAAAGGGAAACUAGUCAAAUGAAUUGAGUGAAAUUUAAUUUAUCCAAAAUUAAUCAGAUCACCCUAAAAAGGGUAAAUUGAUCAAAUAGAUUGAACGAAACUUGAUUUAUUCAAAAUCGGCUCGGUUGCCCCAAAAAUGGGUAAAUUGGUCAAAUGAAUGAAAUUGAAUUAGUGAUUUAUUCAAAAAUCGGCCGAAUGACCCUAAAAAGGGUAAAUUUGUCAAAUGAAUUGACGAUUUAUUCAAAAUCGACCAGGUGACCCUAAAAAGGGUAAAUUGGUCAAAUGACCCUAAAAAGGGUAGAUUGGUCAAAUGAAUUGACGAUUUAUUCAAAAUCGACCGGAUGACCCUAAAAAGGAUAAAUUGGUCAAAUGACCCUAAAAAGGGUAAAUUGGUCAAAUGAAUUGAUGAUUUAUUGAAAAACGACCGGAUGACCCUAAAAAGGGUAAAUUGGUCAAAUGACCCUAAAAAGGGUAAAUUGGUCAAAUGAAUUGAUGAUUUAUUGAAUAAAUCGGCAAAAUGGAUUGAUUGAAUUGUCCGGCCAUUGGUUAUUUCAAAAUUAUUGAAGUGCAUUAGUCUAUGACCUUCUAAAAAUCAAAUUUUGGCCUCAAUUUAUUUAUCGUCUCAAAAGGAGGAAUCAUUUGUGAAUUUCUUCAAAUUAAUGUCCUUCACGCAAGGGAUUUUUACCAAUUUUUGAUAAAAUGGCCAAAAAGUGAUUAUUAGAUGCUCAUAUUCCAAAGAUCACCCUAUGAAAAUGAUCAAAACCUACCUUACCUUGUGCACUACCCCUUUGGAUGGUACAAAAUGUAAACGUGCAAGUCUCACUGGAUUAAGUAUCCGAGACACAAGGUGGCUUAUUCCUAACACGGGAUCCCCUAAAUGGCAUUUCCUUUCUAGGGUUUAUGCAUGAUGCCAUUUAUUAAAGCGAUAAAAUGUGCAAUUCGAAAUGAAACGUGACCUAAGGAACCCUUUAUUUGCCAGGGUGGGCCUAAAAUGCUAUGCAAUUACCAAAAUCUAUGAAUGCAAUAUACCAAAAUCUUUAAACGUGCAAUAACCUAUCUACGAGGGUAGGUUCUAAAAGAAAGGUCAUGCCAGACCUCUUAUUUGAUAGGGUUUGUGAAUGCAAUGGGGACAUAAAACCAAGAAAAGUUAGUUCAGCCAGAGAAAUACACAUAACACAUUGUAGCAACAAAAUAAAACAAUCAACACAAAGUAAUAAAAGGGAAAAAGGGGGUUGGAUCCCUCCCCUCGUGAAUAGUGUCCCUAACUCAGGAUAAGGCCGACUCUACCCUAAGGCAAUUCUAAUAUGGAUGCAUGAGGCUGGGGUUCGCUAAUGCAUCUAGACUCGAUAAGCUCAGGUCCCCGAGCCUUCAGACUUAGAAACCAAGGGUCAUCAAUCCCAAGGUUCUUUGUCGGUGGCUCGAGCGAUUCCCCAAACACCGCUACGCACACAUCGUGUCACGGCUACGUGUUUGAGUGAAUCUAUCAAAAUCCUCAACCUUCGACUAAAAGCUAAAGGCUAUCAACCCAUAGCUUAAAGCGGAAGAUUGAGUGACCCAUCGAACCAUGCUACACACACAUCGUGUCAUGAUCACACGUCCAAGUGGGUCGCCUAAAAUCCUAAUAGGGUGGAGUGGCGUGACAAGCCACUAAAAGAAAAAUAAAUGGGGGUUAAAAAUAAUUAAAGCGUAUGCACGUAUGCUAGUGCUCGUUUGGAGGGGAGGGAUCAAGAACCAACGUGAGGCUCUAAGGUGAAGUCCCCCUCCCAAAAUGCAAUGCAAAGCGCGGAAUCACAUACAUAAACCAUUCAUCAAUCAAAACAAUCAUACGCCAAAUGAAUAAGUGAGGGAGUUGGUACACGUGAAAUGCAAAAAUCCUAAUAAAAGGAAAAAUGCAAUCCUAAACACCCAAAUGUGAUAUAUGAAAAGAUUAAAAGAAGAAAAAGGUUGAUUAAAUCAAAUUUGCUCGGACUCUCGAAUGUCCCCAGUGGAGUCGCCAACUGUCGCGCCCCAUUUUUUGAUAAAUAAAUAAAUGGUUUAAAAAAUGUAUUUUUGUGAUUGAAAAAAUGAAUUGUGAUUUAAAAGAAAAGUGGGUCUAAAUGGGGGUUUGAGAAUGCGACGAUUUGACCCAAAAUUGUAGUUUAAAAAGGGUUUUUGAAAAAAAUGGGAGUCGCCACUUGGUAAUGAGUUAAGGUGUACCAAGUCACCUAAAAAUGGAUUUUUUAGGAAAAAGUUGUAGGAAACCCCUUUUAAACAACUCCUAAUCCACGUAAACCAAAAAAAAAGGUUCGGGAGUCCAUUUGACGAAGGGGAAGACAAGGAUAAAAAUCCAAGGCACCCCUUCGACCUAGCCAAGGCUAGUUGCGUGAUUUAAUCAAAGUUUUUCUUAUUUUAACCAAAGAAUUUAUUACAUUUGGAUGCACUACAUGAAUGCAAAAGGAAAGAAAAAAUGCAAACCUAAAUUCUAAAAUGUCUCUUGUAAGGUUUUUGGUCCCAACCACAUGAAUUGUGGCGGCCAAUAAAGGAAAACCUUAUAGAGGUCGAUUAAUGCAAAUGAUGGCUAAAGUGCAAGUGUGCAAGUGUAUAAAAAGGUGCACGUGUGAAAUUGUAUGAAAAGUCCAAGUGUUUGUGUGCAAGUGUAUGGAAAGGUGCAUGUGUGAAUUUGUAUGAAAAAUCCAAGUGUUUGUGUGCAAGUGUAUAAAAUAUAGUGAUAAGUGCAUAUAGGUGUAAUUAAGUGCAAUUUUGUGAAGUAGAAAUCAAAAUGAACAAUAAGGAAAGGAAAAGUGAUGAGGAAAUGUGAAUUGAAAAAAAUGAGUAAGUGAUAAAUGAGAAUGAAUGAACCUAAAGGAAUGCAUCAGGUCGGGUGUGGGAAUGACUCCUAACUUUUUCGACUUCGAUUUUCCCUUUGAUUAGAAGGCAAAACUAGCGUGCUAAGGCUAUCGAGUAGCCACACUCGCUCGUUUCCCUUAUCGGAGGGGACUCUCACGCAAGUGUACCCUAUAACUAGUAUAAAAUGCAAAAUCCUAAAAUGAGGGGAAAAGGGGUUCGAGGAGCAUGCAAAAAUGAUAAAACUAAAAGGAAUGCAUGACAUGUAAUGAACAUGCAAACAUGUACUAACGAGGGGAAAUCCCUAAGGGUCUAGCGUUGGACUAGCCCAUUCUAUGAAUUUCGACUAGCGUUGGACUAGCGGAAACGUACAUUCAUCCAUCAUAUUCAUUCAUGGCUAUGGAAAGCGAGUAGACAUGCCAAACACUCAUAAACACAUAGCACAUAACAUUUAGCAUGCUCGACUAGAUGCAAGGCCCUAACAAAGCAAAUUAACACUUAACACGUAGGCAUGCAACCAAGCUAAUGAACCUAUUACAUUCACUAACUAAAACAAAAAGGGGAAAGGGAAAAUGGACCAAAUUGCUCGCCACAGCCCUAUCUAUUAGAAGCCAAGAGGUGUACACAUACCCCAUUAAAAGAAUAACUUAAUGAAAACAAAAAGUAAAUGACAUAAGUAAAAGGAAUUAAAGAAAAGCUAGGAAAGCAAAGUAGACAUGCAAUUCACUUAGCACGUUGAGUCACAUAGGAGAGAUACAAAGAGGGAUAAAAGAAAUUAUACCGCCCCCUUGAAUUGAUGCUCUAAAUGGAGUGAAAUCACUUAUUUAUCUUCCAAAAUAAAAGAAAUGGUCAAGGUACCAAUUUAUUUGGGGAAAAUUAAAGAAAAUUGGCAAACACAAGCUCACUUGGUCAUAAAGCCCUUAAACUCUUGCAUUAAGUAUCACCUUAGCAAAACAUGAUAACCAAUGAAGGCAAACAAGCAAUUGAAUUGAAACAUUAAUGCUACCAAAGACUCAAAUGUGAACACUAGCCAAGCAUUCAAGCUUAAUCAAACAUUUUUAAAAGCUUCAAGGGUCCAAAGGCAAAGAAAAAGUCAAGUAAUGGCUUAAAAUGCAUUAUUCUAAAACCCAUUUGCAAGAAGUUGGAACAUGCUUGGGCUUUUGUGGAACAUGGAGAAACUUGAGGGAUCGAAUUGAUUAAGUGUUCCAAUUACUUGGGCCAUAGUGAGUCAAGAGGGGACUUGGUGGUCAAAGUGCAAUUAUUCUAGGACUUAAUUGCAAGAAAUUAAAACAUAAUUGGGCCACAGUGCAACAAAGGGGAACUUGGGGAUCAAAAGGCAAAAUUCAGAAAACAUUUUCAUGCAGCUCAUGCAACAUACGCAGAAUCUUUUCUUCUGCAACAACCUUGCUGCAUUUUUCUAACGCAAAUUUUGGACUUCAGCAAACCAUCUUUAACCAAACUUUUCACCCAAACAAAAUCAUUACUUCAACACAUAUUAAUACCAUAAUCCAAUGAGCAAUGAACUUGGAAAGAAACCACGCAACUUAUUAAACUUUUCAUGCAGAUUUGCGGAUGAAGCUACUAAGACAGAAAGGGAGAGUUUGCUGCAAUUUUCAUCUUCAAUCAGAUUUCAGAAGAAACUAACACAAACUUUGGACAAAUUCUCUCAAACCCAUGUCCAAACUUUGAGUCAAGCCACACAACACACAACUUCAGCAUUCAAACAAACCAAAGCAUAGAAGGAAAAACAUGCAAAUGCUGGAAAAUUUUAUGCAAAAAGGUUCAGCAAUCCUGAUCUCGUUCAAAUUCCAGCAAGGUUUUUGAUUAUGGUUCAAAUGCUUUAAGGACUCAAACAUACAAACUUCAGCAAUUUUUCAGCAGCAAAUACACCCAUUUCAUCAUACAAACAAAUUCAUCAAACCAGAAAUUAUUGACCCAAAUUAAAACAUGAAAUUUUGUUUGCAGGAUUAAGAUGGCAAAUCUGGUUUUGAUCGACAACAAAAGAAAUAAAGAAAACUGCAGCAAGGUUUUCCUUUCAGCAACUACAAAUCAAGCGAACUACAAGCCUCCACUACUAAGCUCCCAACCAUUCUCAUGACAUCUCAGGCAAAUGGCAAGCAGAUCAGACAUGUUAAGCAAAGCUAAAGCUUCAGGAAACCAAGAAAAAAGAAAGGGUCUGUCCAUGCUGCUGCAACAAGCCGAGAGCUUCGAGCUUGUUGCAGCAGAAAAUUAUGCAUCGAAUCUCAGCUGGACAAAAAUUCAAGAAAGCGACAACAGCAACAUCAAGCAAUCUGCAUUCUUUUCAACAUGAGAUUAAACAGCAAAUUGAAUGACAAAACCCUGUUUAGCUCUUCCUAAUGGUAAUCAAGAUGACGGGCUAACAAGGCCUUCCCAGCUCUAAAUUUACACCCAACCAAAAAGCAAAGAACCGACAUACAGGAAGCAUUGACAGCAAGCUUUCCUCGCAACAAAAAAAAAACUUUUCAACCCCUGAUACCUUGAGUUUUUUUAGCAACCUUACGUGACAGGUAUGUACUAAGUCAUAAUCCGACACAAAAGACAGCAAAAAGAUGAAGGGAAACAAGCAUGUAAAGAUCAAAGCUGCAAACUUUCUACUGGGAAUCUCGAGGCUCCUCUCAUGCGUAUGUUUUCAUAAAAAACCCAAAUGGAACCUUCAUUUCAUUAGCCCCCAAACUUCAGAUUCUUGAUCAAGGAAGGGAACGUGGGAUGACCAGAAAAGGGCUCAAGUGAUUCUUUUAGACGCUCAAAGGAACGUGAGACUUUGAUGAAUGAAAACCCAGUCGCCGUCUUCCUGCAACCUCCAACCGCAGCUACCCUUUCCCUCUCUGGAGCUUUUCUUUUACCGUUUGUUCCAGCAGCCGCCGACCUCUCUCAAGCCUGUCGGUUUUUCUUUUCUCGUUUCUGAUGUUUCCUUUUUUUUUGAAGAUCCUCCCUUUUUGCUCUCUCUCUAUCGUUCUCUCGUUCGCCCUCUCCUUCACAUCCAAGAACCUCCUGUCGUUACUCCCUCACUCUUGCUCCCAGUUUUCUGUUUUGCUCCCCUCUCUUAUUUUUCUCUUCCGGCUGCUGCUCUAUCCUUUUUCCCCCUCCACUCUCUCAAAGCUGACCUUUUUCUUCACUGCUUAACCCCAGCCAUUGUUUCCUCCUUCUCUCGCCCUCUCUCACGAAGGUCUCAAACUCUCAGCCGCCCACUCUGUCCGGUUCCUCUAGUUUUCCAGAAUUUUUUUUUCAGCCGUCAAACCUCUCGUAUCUUUUCUUCCUCUUGCAGCUGCCUUUUCUUUUUGCUAUUUAUACCAGGAACCCCCCUCCUAAACCCUCAGCUAUACUCUCCAAAAUUUGCAGCUAAGGGGCUGCUAAGAGCCCCUCCUUGCAAACUGCUGAAAUACGCAGCUUCAUGCCACGUUUUCUCUCUUCUUUUUUUUUUUUUUAAAUAAACCAAACAAAAAUAAAAGAUAAAUUAAGUAGAAAUGACUAAAAUAGAUAAAUAAAACAAAAUUGCUAUUUUCUUUUUCUUUUUCUCUAUUUUUUCAUUUUUUCAUGAUUUUCCUUUUUCUCUUUUUUUUAUUCAUUUUUCCUUUUUCUCUUUUUUUUUCAAGAAAUUCUAUGCUAAAAACUUAAAAAUAAAAAUAAAACUAUAAACUAAAAACUAAAAAUCGAAUAAAACUAACACGACAAAUAAAAAACUAAAAAUAAACAGUAAAUGAAAUUACACCAAAAAUUUGGUGUCUACAAUUUGGCCUUGGAGGUCUUCAUAAGAAAUGUUGGUAUAUGUUUUAGCUUCGUAACGCCAUAAGAUUUGUUUCAAUUGGAUAAGCGUAUUUGCAAUUGUGAUUAAAAUACCAAAAGGUGGCAGGAACUUGUUAAGUUUAGAAUUCCUCUUAUUUGACUUAAUAUUUGUAAUCUAGGAUUCUAACUUGAGCAAGGUCAUGAUGUAUGCUGGAAAAGGUUCGUGUGCCGUGGUUGGUGAGUGAACUUUAACUAUUUCUCCAAAAGUUCCUCUUAAAAUAAUUCUUGCAUUGCUUACACGAUUGCAUCUCAUUGUGUAUGUGUGUGUGCCAUAACAUUUUGGCUUUAAUGAGUUCUUGGGAAAAUCUUGUGCUUAGAACCAACCUCUCCACUACUGUGUAUGCUUUCUUUGGAGCACGAUGGCUCCUUGUUUCUGUUUAUUUGAUUACUUGAUCUAAGGGAGUGUUGGAUUUUAAGUACAAGGAUUUUCACUGGCUCUAAAGAGCAUUAUUUGCACAUUGGACCGUUAAUCCAUGAUAGCAUUGAAAUACACUACUGAUAAGUUUAUUUAAUUACUGCUUUUACUGUUCACUCGCUGAGCUUCUAGCUCACCCCAAAUGUUUUUCUUCUCCCCACAGGAAUCGAGACAAAAGGAGAGCUUGUAUUACAUUAUCUGUGUGCCUGGAUGGCAUGUAUCUUGUAUAGCUUAGAUUGGGAUUUGUUUUGUAUAAUAGUUGAGCUAGGGGGAUUGUUUGAAUUGGGAUGGACGGAUAUCUCUUGUACACUUUGAGUUUUGAUGUAACUUGUUAUAAAGUUUGGGCUUGCCUUGGUAUUUGGGUUUGAAUUUGGAUGUAAAUUUGAGUUUUAUAUUGUAAUUGAUUUGAGGACUGUAGUGAUCGACUGAGUCCUGGCGAGAGCUGGGCAGGCGGCCCGUUGACCCCUCCGGUUCGCCUUAGGGGAAAAUGGGGACGUUACAUUUUAAGCUAGAAAUGUGAAUUGUACUUUGACUUCCUAAAUUUCCAUAAUUUAAUUUCUUGCAUACCCUGUUCUGCUCGGUUCUAGUUCACCAUGAUAGAGGCCGAAUCAGGCUUGGCACAAAACAUAAAAAUUGUAUAGAAUGAUGUUUUAUAGUUUCCUGCAAAAUUUCAGCUCAAUCGGAGCAAUGUACCCUAUGAAAAGAUAAAAAUACCCUUGACUGCCAUAGGUAGAGCUUCAUGGACAGUUUUGACAUUUCACAAAUCUGAUCGCAUCUGUUCACCUUGAUUCGUAUUGAAUUAGCAUUUGGCCAAAACACAUAAGUUGUAGUGCUAUGCCUUAGCUUUCCAACACCGCUAAAAUGCCUUAAUCGGACUUCGGUAGCCUGAGUUAUUGUCGUUUACGCAUAGUGUGAUUAACUAGCCCGAAUGUGAGAUUUUGGUUUUGUAAUUUGAAAUUUUGACCUAGAUACACUACGAAUUGGACUGAGUGGUCUUCACUAAAGUUGUAGGUAUUUGUCUUAGCUUCGAAAUAGUAUCUUGUACACCUUAAACUGAUGACCACAGCUUCUAUUAUAAUUAAAACCGUAAAAGGUGUCAAAACUAUGAAAUGUCCAUUUGCGCCUUUGGGUGCGGACGCGCGACCUUUUUCAUUUCCGCGCACGCAUACGUGCAUUUCUCAACCGUUUUUUCCAUUUUGGACCGUUUAUGACUAUUUUUGUUAUUUUGUUACCAUUCCAGCCAUUUCGUCCAAUUUCGACAAUCUUUUGGCCUUAACGUCGUUUUUGACCAUUUUUGAUUAUUUUUGACCGUUUUCAACCAUUUUCAAUCGUUUAAGUUAUAAACUGCUAUUGUAUGGCUGUUUUACUUAUGUGUGUAUAUAAUCUGUCAAUACAGACUAUGAGACUUUUGACGGUGACGGUCAAGCUCAGUGAAUUGUAUCAUUUUUCGUGUCAAGCUUUAUCAAGUGAGUAAUUUGAUUGUUUAUUGAUGUGAAAUUAUUAAAGUGCUUUGUAUAUGUUAAAUGGAUACUUAAGCGAGGGUGUAGUUUAUCUCACUCGACUUAAGCCCAUCAUUUGGUUUGAUUUCAUAUGUGAGAUUGCAUGUCUUAUGUUGUGUAUCACCCUUUUGCUGAGUGCUGAUGCGGGUGAUUACAUGACUUGAAUUGAACCCUAUUUGCUGUGUACUGUUUGGGGUAAGUACUUUGUUGUAUACUUUGUUGAGAGAUAUCAUCUAUUGAGAGAUUGAAUAUCUCAGGGAUUGGUUCCAACCCGGUUCCAAGGGUAGAUGAACUAUUCGAGUCAGCCAGGGCUUGGUCGAAGUUAGUUCCAUGCUAACCUUGGGAUUUCGUUCUUUGUUAAAGCUUUGAUGAAAGCUAAGUGAUUUUGUUUCACUUGAGCUGCUGUGUACUGUUGACUGGCCAGCGGGGGUUGAUAAGGUGAACGGGAAAAGUUAAAUGGAGUCUACGGACCAUGAGUACUUUGGUUGACGGAGUGUCAACAGGCGUUCAAGCUCGAGGAAUUGAACUGGCUUUGGAGCCGUAUCCUACUACUAUGAUGUUACAUUUCUGAAUUGAUGUGAAAUAUUUGGAUUUAUAUGUUUAUCUGGAUGUGCUUUACAUUUUUACCCCAAUUAUUCACUAAACAUAUAGCUUACCCCAUUCCAUUUGUUUUCCUUAGCUGGGGACCGACGAGGGGAUUGCUCGGGAAGGUGUAUAGAAUUUUUGUUAUAGAAUAGUUGACUUUGUACCUGUUAUAAGUUGACUAGCAAGAUGUAUAGAAUUGUUGUGGUGGUUGUAGUUAUUACCUUUCUAGGGUUUACUUUCUGGUACUCGUGAUAUGUAAUUCUUGGAGACUUGGAUGUAAUAUUUGAGUUUUGUCUUGCAAUUCAUUUGAGGACUGUAGUGAAUGAGUGAGUCCCGGCGAGAGUUGGGCAGGCAACUCGCUGAACCCUGGGGUACGCCCUUGGGAGAGUGUGAGAACCUGAAAAUUAUAUUUAUAUUGAUAUUCUAAAAAAAUUAUAUAUAUAUAUUUGUAUUCUAAUCUAAUUGCCUUGAACCUUUGGUUAAUCUAACGGUUGAAUCGUGAUUUUACUCCUAUUGCCUCAUUCAAUUUAUUGCAUGUUGGUUUUCUUGGGGUAAUAUACCAAUUCGUCCAACUAGCGAGGUAGGUGCGAUAAAUUUUGUGAACUAGAGAGAGAUUUGUACAAAAGGGGUUAUUGUGCUACAAGGUGUUUUCGAAACGUAUUUGUUUUGAAAUUUUCUACUUUGAAUGAAUUAUAUUUCUUAGUAAUUGGAAAAUGAUUUAUAUAUGAUUUUAUACCUUCUUGUUUCCGUCCAAUAAUUUUGAAAACAUUUGCAAGGGUUUAAUUGAAGUAGUCAAACUUAUUUGGUUGUACAAACUCUAUUUGAGUGGAAAUGAAGGGUUAAUCUUAGCUAAUUACUUUUAGAAUUAUUGAAUUUUUGACUUUGAGGAAGACUAGUUUUAGUCUUCACCUUGGAAGCAAAAUAGACCAAGACAUUUCAUUCCUUUUCUUACCUCUUGGCCGACAAUGGAGUGGAAAAAUCAGCCAUAAUCUUCUUAUCUUGACCAAGAGCUCCCUAGACCAGUCUUCAACCGAGAGAAAGUGAGGGAUAAUUUGCUCAUUGCAUGACUAGCCACAAUUUUUGACCAAGUCCAAGUACCAUGCACAAGUUGACCAAGUUCAAUUUAUUCCCUCUUGUUUCUUUUCUUUAGUUCAACCGAGAGGGAGAAGCUUUCAUUCUUUCUUCCUCACAAACAGCCGAGAGAGAGAGCUAGAAAGAAACCCAUUUACUUCUCCUCCUUUGCUUUCUAAAAAAAAAAACCGAUGGAAAACCACAAGAUUUAACCCUAGAGCUUUCUUCAUUUUUCAACCAUUAACAUCAGUCAUGAAACAAGAAAAAUUAGCCAUAGUCUUCCUCUUGUUUUGCUCCACUUCAGCCGAGAGAGAGAAGAGUGUUGAGAGCAAGAAAACUCCAUCUUCUUCUUCCUGUCAUCAACCGAGAACCAAGGCUGAUUCAGCCAUAGAUAUUUCACAAAAUUCCGCUAUUUCUUCAAGUUUAAACCGUAAGUGAGGGAGAGUCAAGAGAGUAGAAAGGAUCCAGCUAUGUUGGAGGGGAGAAAACAGAGGAAAGCUGGUGCAUAUCACCCUUGAGGUAUCGAAGGAGAAGCAAGUGGCUAUCUGCAUUUUUUUUCAGCUUUGAUUUGUGAGGAAAAAGGGAGGUAACAAUUGCUAUAAAACCCCUCAUUUUUCUAUUACUCUUGAGUACUCUAGUUGUAUGUUAAAUUUAAGCCAAAAGGUGGGAGUUUAGUGGAAGAAAAAUAUACUUUUCUAAGUUAUAGGUUGCUGGAAUUUAGUGACAUAUGCUGAUAGUUUUGAUUUGCAGCUUUGUAUUUGGAACUUUGAUGGGUUUCCUUGCUAAGAACUUAGGUCAUAUGAUUAAUCCUAUGUUAAAAAUGAUAUAUGGUGUAUUUGCCAUGAAAAUGAGUGAGAAAUUAGUGGCUUGGAUGAAAGAAAUUUUGAAGGAACCUGGUUGGAAAAAAAAAUCUGUGGGCUGACCAAUUGCAUAAAGUUGAAUAUAUCAGUUUUACUUUAAAUUUGGAGUGAAGUUUUGCUAAGAUUUCAUGUUUUAUAUCAUGACAACCGUGUAUAUAGAAGUUAGUAUGUGUAUAUGGUUGAAUCAUAGUUGUAUGUUCAUUGAUUUGGCUGAAAAUUUGUCUAAGAGAGCUUGAGAAAAAUUGGAGGAACUUUGUUCCAUCCUUGUCACAGCCUGCUAUCUCAUCCCUUUGAGGGGUUUGUACUAGGAAGUCAUGCUCUAAAUAUUAUAUUUUGUGUUUAGUAUGCUAUAGCAUGUUGUCUUUGAAUUUGGUAGCAAAUUGCUGGCUUAAAUGUGAGUUAUUAGCAGCAAUAAAGUUGGAAUAACUCAAGUGAAAGGUUGAAUUUCGAGUGACAGUCACCCUUGGGCAGUUUUAGUAAAAUGAUCAUAACGUAGUCUAAAAAAAAUCAAAAUUAAGUGCCGUCUAUUGCGUUUGAAACUAGACUCAUAGAUCUUUCUAACGGUAUAAAAUUGGAGCUGUGGCUCAUUUUACAUAUGCACCAGAAAAUCGCCCAAGUUGACUGAAAAAUGUGCCCUGCACAAAUAAAAACUGGGAUGUUGUAGUAAAUUGUGCCUCAAUUUGGACUAAUUUAUGAACCGAAUCUCCUUGAGGUGUUUCUUUAAGAUUGUUAGUAUUUCAAGUCUAGUUUUAAAUGAGCCAAGUUGUACAAGUUUUUGACAUUUAUAACUCAAGUUAUGAUUUUUCCAAAGAAAUAAUGCUUGCUGGAAUUUCAGCUUUGAUUGCUAAAUUUUGAAGAUGAUUUUAACCUCAAUUUGCUCAAAAUACCAUAUAAGACUUUAAACUACAAGUAUGUGUUGGAAAUGAACCAAAACCAUGGACCUUAAGUGGUUUAGACUCUAUUUAUCUCACUGUUUUCAUAGCUGGAAUUCUACUCAAGGCUGACCGAAAGAGAUAGUGAUUUUGUUUAGCUUUACAAUUGGCUUUGUUUGGUGAAAUCAUCUUGUUAAUGUCUUAAACAUAUGAUUAGACAUUAAUUUUGGUAUGAGUAGUGAAUUGAAGUAGAAAAUGAAGGUUGAGAGGUGAAAAAUUCACUUUCACAUGUUUCAUGUCCCAAGCGAUAAAUUUCCAGUUUUAGUUGAGGAAAAUGAGUGUUAAUAUGUUAAUAUCAUGUUUAAUAUAAAUGUUAGCCAUGUCAUGUGAUUUUUCUAGCUUGUGCAUGUUCUAUUAGUUUGCAUUUGGAAAUUUCAGCUUGUAGAUUUGAACUUUUGCUUGAUGGCCAGCCUUGGUAUGGAGACAUGUGAGUUGAAUACUUGUCUAUUUUUGGGGGCUUUAUGGUCUGAAACUAGUAGCUUGUAUAGCCUAUCAUUUGUGGUCUUGAUUUGGAUGGCUUGGCCAUGAAAUUUUGUAUUGAAUUUGGAGAGGAAAUAUAGGAUAAAACAGGGGUUAUGCUGUCCAAAUUUUGGGGCAGCUUACUACCUUGAUUUUGGACUGAUUUGGUGAUGUACUUGCCUAAUAUGCUUAGUGAACCUUUAAGCUUUGCUUAUGUAUUGCAUUCUGGUUGAAAUGGAAGGGUUUCAUUGCGAUUUUCUUCCAAAUUGCUGGCUAAAAUUGUGCUUGUUUGUCGAUGGAGAGUGCAGCCUAUUACAUUGUUGUUUUUCUAACCUUUUAGUAAUUGGUUUUGGCCAAAACUUGUUCCAAACUUUGGAGGAGCCUUUUGUGCGUGAAUUUGAAUGAAAACUAUGAAGAUUGGGAGGUGAAAACCUCAUGAUUGUACUUGUUUCAUGGCUGCGAAAAAUUCUGAUUUGGAGAACAGUUUUGCACCUUGCUACCUUUUAGCCUCAACGUCUUUAGUUUGAAAGUCUUUUGGACACAACCUCGCUGACUUGACUUGAGAAAACCUUGUUUCUUUCAUUGGUUCGCUGCUGGAAAAUUUCCCGCCAUGAAGCGAAUAAGGAACUUGUUGGUUAUUCAUGUUUCUUGAGUCCAAAAUGCUCUUAUACGCUUCAAAACCCUACUUGAGUUUUUGCCCUAGAAUAUACUUAAAUUUUUCCUUGAUUUGCAUUCUAAAUAUGGCUGUGUAUGUUGGGUUUUGAAAAAAUUCAACUUGGAGAGGUAUACGACUCAUAGCCGAGUCUAAAUUAUGAAUUCUAUUCACUUGGCUAUUCUUAGGGCUUGUCUGAUCAAGGGGGCAAUCCAGGAGGAAACUUUUGACGCUAUUUUUGCUUGAACUAGUGAGUGUUCCAACUGCAAGUUCCAUGCUACUUGUUGCGCAAAUAUGACCUGUAUAUGACUUGUUACUUGAAUUGACUUGUUAUUACAUAGGUGAGUGUGUACUUUAUCACACUCGACCUAACUUGACUGAAUUCCUGUUUUACUACUAUAAGUUAAUUGUUUACAAGUGAAUUGAGAUUCAUGCGCAUGAGUUGAAUGUAACGGCCUGCAUCCUAAACCCUAUAGGCUAGAUAAUCGAGUCGAGCCGGCAAGGGCCUGGUCGAUUAGAUAACGAACCCUGGGUCUACUGUUUUGUCGAAUGGAGUGUUAUCUCCUCGACUAAUUGGUAUACUCGACUAUUACCACCACUGUUUAUGUUUAGAGUUCGGGCCCGGUAGGGGGUUGAUUGGUGGAUGGAGGUUGGAGUUAAGUGGUGAUCUACUGGAUUUGUUAUGAUUCCAUGGUUGACGGAGUGUCAACAGAUUUUGAACAAGUUGUCACGGACUGUUCCCGAGAACAGACUGUAUCCUUUUAUAUGCAUGUGUUAUCGGCUGUACAUAGUUAAAUGAGUUGUCUGGAUGUUAUCUUCUUUAUGGAAAAUGUGAUCAUGCUAUCAUGUGAAUGCUAAAAUCCCUAAUUGCUUCUUGUUCUCUUGGAACCUCACUGAGCUUUUAACUCAUCCCUUCAUUUGUUUUCCUUAACAGGGUACUGGGAUGACAAGGACAAGAAUAGUGCUAGUUGUAAUAGGAAAUCUUAAUCUUGUAUUUGGACGGCACUAUAUUAUGAUAUUAGUUUACAAGUUCUUAUCUUUUAGUUUGUAUUUUGGUUUGUAUAUUCAGAUGAUUGGUAGCAUAUAGAUGUUAUAUUGAAGAGUUUUAGCGUUAUUGAUUUGCUAUCCAAAGUAUAAGGAAUUCAAAAGUUGUAGUCCUUAUAUUAAGUAAUUGCAAUCCUAUUUAUACUUGGAGAAGUGAUUGAACUACUUGCAUUUCAUUUCGCUUAGUUGUACACAUAAGUAUGGAGUUUUUUGUGAAGUUGGAUGGCUUGUAAUAUCUAUUAGGGAGUUUCGUUCUUACUUUGGAGUUAAUGUUAUCUCUGAAAUUAAUGUUAGUGAACGAGUCCUAGCGAGAGUUAGGCAGGCAGUCCGCUGAACCCUUUGGUUAGCCUUAGGGGUAGGUGGGACUGUCACAGAGAGGUGGGGCCGUCACAGGUGGUAUCAGAGCCACUUCGCGUGGUCUCUGCGCGGAGUGAGCUUGGGCCAAGUGGUGUUAUGGCCCUAAUUUUGUGAAUGGGUGUAAAGGAUUAAGGACUCUUUUGAGCACAAGUUAAGAAUCCUGAAACGUUCUAGGUUUAAACCUCUAUCAUGGUACUUUGGGGACAAUAGUAAGGUAUGUCAGGUAAGAAUCUCUAAUAUGGGUGAUUUACUCUUGGGACCGUCCGGCUCGAGUUGUGAAUUGUCUUAUUGUGGAUUCUUGUACUUGGGUACCAAAUAGUGGAGAGCGCUAGAAUAAGGGUCUGCAUCUUGAUUGCACUUGAGGUGAGUUUGAUGGCAAAGGUUAAGGUGUGGAUGAUUCUAACAUUUAACCUAGUCAUUGGACUGAUGAAAGGGAUUGGAACUACUUGAACUGCCUGAGACCGACUAGGCUGCGCUCAUUUGAGACUUGAACUUGUUUUGGUGAGUAUGCUCUUACGUACACAUAAUGGACCUGAUUUGACUUUACGCAUGAGUAAUGUAGACACCAAAUUUUUGACUUCAUUUUUUUUUGUUAUUAGUUUUAUUGAUAUUUAUUUUAGUUUGGUUUUACUAAUCUCUUUUUUAGACAUUUUAGCAUUUAAAAAAAAAAAGUCAAAAGUCAAUCAAAGGGACAAAAAAUGAGACACAUAAGCCUACUUUGGGGUUUAAGAUCUUGGCCCUUGAUAUUAGGUUUAGUCUUUGGAGGGGCCUUUAAGAGGCCAAACAGCUGCAAGAAAAAAAAAACCCGAGAGGAGAAAUAGCAAAAAGAGGCACAACGGAAAAAGGGGCUGAGGAGAUAAGGAGAGUGGGACAGCAGGGGAUGACGGCCAGGUCUUGAGAGGGAGGAAAAACAACUAAAAAAGUGGGAAAAUCUGAGGAAGAGAGGCGGGUGAGCUGUAAAACAAAAAGAAAAUUGGGAGGCAUCUGAUAAAAAAGAGGAAAGAGGGCUUCAGCGGAACAAAAACGGGGGGACGAAGCAAAACAGAGAAGGAACAAUUAGAGGAAGGGCUUCAUCUGGGGGGAGAGCUAAAAAAAAAAAAAAGAAAAGAAGAAGCUAGAACAGGGGCGGCGGACAAGGCUAUUGGGGGAAGUUUUCUGGGGAAGAAGAAAAACAAGCGAGGGAGAGUAAAAAUAAGGGAAAAGGAAGAAAGUGGCGGCGAAGAUCUUUUGGGGGAAAACAAAAAUCAGAGGAGAAAGACUAGGAGGAGCCGCUACCAUCCCGCUAGAAUCAACUAUCGUCGCCGCCAUUCACCACCUGCAGAGCUUUGCUGGAUUCAGCCGCGUAUUCUCUAUCACCAACAUGCUCAAGCAAAUUGAGCCACUCGGCACCUCCAUCAUCUCCAAAUGGGUAUCCGAUGCCGCCAAGAACUCGGAGAAGCGGACCAUUUCUACUAUGCUGGGACCUUCAAUCAGGAACCACCGCCGCUCAUUCCGCCACCACCUUGCCGAACCCCCCUAUUGUCACCGGCAAAGUUUCACCUUGCGAACACGGUAAGCCAUCCUCCCUCUUUGAACUUCAGUUUGGAUAUUUUAGUUUAAACAUCGGGAAAGCAUGUCUGCCGUGCAUUUGGUCAGUGCCAAUUUCAUGUUGAUUGUUUACAAUUUUUAGUUUGUAUGCGUUUAUGUUCUAAGUUGAACUGAAACUUCUUGUUGUUUGACCAAUUUUGGGCUGAUUAUAAUCUCAAUUGAGCAACGUUCUGCUGGAAUUUUUAUGCCUAUUCAAUGUUUGAUAAAAUGCCCACCCGAGAGUUGGUUUGAGUUUGGUGUUUUUUGAGCCUGGCACGUUGUCUUAUAAACCUCUCCUUCAUCGUUUUUUUAUUUGGUUGUAUAGAGUGCUCAGCUUUGUUUCAAAAUUUCCUUUGGUUAUUCGUUGUGAGUUUGCCGGUUUGUUAUAGUAUUAAACAUUACUAGGUAAUGCUGGAACGUUAGCCGCGCCAAAUUUGGGUCAUUUUGUUGUUUUUAUGUUCAGUUUCAUUAUUGGAUUUAUUGUGAAUAAACUGUUGCAUUUGGAGGACGAUUAAUAAUACGGGUAGAACGCCGUAACAUUGAGCUUUUGGGGCAUCUUUAUGGCUUUGAUCUUGCCCAUACAAUGUUUUAUCAUUGGUUUCUUAUCAAAAAAUGGAAAUCUGGAGUCUUUGUGUGAAGUGACAAAAGCUGCAUUUUAUGCUCACGUUUGUUGUUUUCCUCUUUCCGCAAUAGCCACAAAGUUGGGUUUCAUCAUCUUGUCUGUACACUCAAACUUUGGCUUCAAUAAUGAUUAUAGAAGAUUUCAGAGCAUGUUUGCUGAUGAAUGUCCAUGUCUGCCGUCGGCAUGUUGUUUCAAACUUAGCGUCGAGUGUUUGUGGCUUUUUCUGUAUGUUAAUUAAACUGUAUUCUUUUGGGUUUGCUGUAAAUUGCAGGGCUGAAUGUAGCUUUAAUUAAGUAGAAGAUUAGUGAAAUUUUUGAUGCUCCUAACCUGUUCGACAAAAUGCCUGACUGAAAAUCCUUAUUGACAGAAGUUUCGUUUGCAUUUUUUUCUUUAUGUGAAAGAACCGGCUAAGUCAGCAGAAUCAUUUCCUUGCAUAUGAGAAAUUUCGAUGUGUUGCAGUUUUGCAUUUUUUUUCUGGAAACCAAUUUUGGAAAUCAGUCCCUGCAUUUCUCUUUAAUUGUACUAUGGCCCUGGACAUUUUCAACUUCUUUCAAUUCGGUCCUUACUUUAAUUGCAAAUGAGUCCCUGAACUUUAUUUUUCUUUAAUUUUGACCCCAAGACUUUAUUAAUUUUUGCAAUCAAGUCCUUUCUUCUUUUAACUUCUUAAAUGUGGGUUGUUGACAUGAUUUAAUUGAUUCAAAUUCAUGUUUAUUUUUUAUCCUUUGUGAUUAUUUGCCAAAUAAAUUGGUACCUUGACCAUUUCUUUUAUUUUGGAGGAUAAAUAAGUUGAUUUCACUCCAUUAGAGCUUCAUUUCAAGGGAGGUAUAAUUUCUUUUAUCUUUUUGUGUCUCUCCUAUGUGAACCAACGUGCUACGUGAGAAAUACAUGUCUACUUUGCUUUCCUAGCCUUUCUUUAAUUUCUUUUAUUUAUGUCAUUUACUUUUGCUUUUUAUUUAAGUUAUUCUUUAUGGGGUAUGUGUACACCUCUUGACUUGUAAUAGUUAGGGAUUUAAUUAUUUUAUUCCUCUUCCCCCUUUUAGAUUGUAGUAGGGUUUCCCUAAUGUAAUAGAUAGGGCAAGGAGGAGCAUUCAAUGAAGACCUAUCGAAGUCAUGUGCCUAGCUAGCAAAUGUAAUAGUUAGGGCUUUAAUUGUCUUAUGUGUCUUGCAUGCUUAGUUGCUACGUGUUAAUUUGCUUUGUUAGGGCCUUGCAUCUAGUCGAGCAUGCUAAAUGUUAUGUGCUAUGUGUUUAUAAGUGUUUGGCAUGUCUACUCGCUUUCCAUAACUUGAAUGAAUGUGAUGGAUGAAUGUACGUUUCCACUAGUCCAACGCUAGUCGGAAUUCAUUGAAUGGGCUAGUCCAACGCUAGACCCUUAGGGAUUUCCCCUCGUUAGUACAUGUUUGCAUGUUCAUUACAUGUCAUGCAUUCUUUUAGUUUUUCUAUCAUUUGGCAUGUCCCUCUAAUCCCCUUUCCCCUCACUUUAGGUCUUGCAUCUCAUGCUAGUUAGGGUACAUUUGCCUGAAGAGUCCCCUUCCGAUAAGGAAAACGAGCGAGUGUGGCUACUCGAUAGCCUUAGCACGCUAGUUUCGCCUUCUAAUCAAAGGGAAAAUCAAAGUCGAAAAGUUAGGAGUCCUUCCCGUACCCGAUUUGUUGCAUUCCUCUAGGGUCAUACUUUCAUUUUAUCACAUCCAUACACUUUUAACCACAAUUCUGCACAUUUUUCAAACCAUACUUUUCUACUACAUUUUACCUAUCGCUUGCUUAUUUUCACUUCACAAAUGAAAUUCCACUUUACCUUAUAUAUCUAUUACUCUAUUUUCAUACAUUUGCACACACAAACACUUGGAUUUUUCAUACAAUUUCACACAUGCACCUUUUCAUACACUUGCACACAAACACUUGGAUUUUUCAUACAAUUUCACAUGUGCACCUUUUUAUACACUUGCACACUUGCACUUUAGCCAUCAUUUGCAUUAAUCGACCUCUAUAAGGUUUUCCUUUAUUGGCCGCCACAAUUCAUGUGGUUGGGACCAAAAACCUUACAAGAGACAUUUUAGAAUUUAGGUUUGCAUUUUUUCCUUCUUUUUGCAUUCAUGUAGUGCAUCCAAAUGUAAUAAAUUCUUUGGUUAAAAUAAGAAAAACUUUGAUUAAAUCACGCAACUAGCCUUGGCUAGGUCGAAGGGGUGCCUUGGAUUUUUAUCCUUGCCUUCCCCUUCGUCAAAUGUGACUCCCGAACCUUUUUCGUUGGUUUACGUGGACUAGGAGUCGUUUAAAAGGGGUUUGUUACUACUCUUUCCCAUUUUUUCUUUAAAAAAUUCAUUUUAAGGUGAUUUGGUACACCUUAACUCAUUACCAAGUGGCGACUCCAUUUUUUAUUUCAAAAACCCUUUUUAAACCAUACUUUUUGGGUCAAAUCGUCGCACUCUCAAAACCCCCAUUUAGACCCAUUUUCCUUUUAAAUCACAAUUUAUUUUCCAAAUCACAAAUUGAAUAAAAAAAAAAUAUACAUUUUUUAAACCAUUUAUUUAUUUAUUUAUUAAAAAAUGGGGCGCGACAGUUGGCGACUGCACUAGGGAAUUCCUAAGUGGGUCCGAGCAUUUGAUUUAGUCAUUCUUUUCCUUUUUCUACCCUUUUUAUGCAUGGCAUGUGGAUAUUAGGGUUGCAUCUUCCAUUUUUGGGACCUUUUGUCUCACAUACGCAUCAAACUACCUCCUCGCUCACGAAUGUAUGAUUGGUUGUUUGGAUGUAUGUUUUACUUAAUUAUCUCGCGCUUGCAUUGCAUAUUGGGGGGUGUGUAUCACCUUUAGAGUCUCGCGUUGGUUCUCAAUCAUUUCCCUCAAAAUAGGGAGCACUUCAUACGUGCACGUUUAUUUAUUGUUAUCCCAUUUUAUUUUUAUUUUCGUGGGCGUUUCCCACACCGCCUUGUAGGAUUAGGAUCGAUCGCCUUGGGUAGGCGGAUGGUGUGCACUGCGCCUAUAGCGCUACCUAAGGGAUCACUCGAGCCACCGAUCGAAGGCCUUGGAAGUGAUGACCCUUUGCCUUUAGGUCUGAAGGUUUGGGGACCUUUUAAGCCUUAUCGAGUCUAGUCGCAUUAGUGAACCCCAGCCUCAUGCAUCCAUGUUAGAAUUUUCCUAGGUUAGAGUCAGCCUCACCCUUUUUAAGCAGAAUUAAGCACGAGGGAAGGGGUUCCACCCCUUUUAUUGGCUUUUAUUGUAUUUCCUUUCUUAAUUGCUCCCAAUAUGUUAUGUGUACUAUCAAUUGCACUAACCAUUCUUUUGUUUUCUUGGAUUGCAUUCAUGGGCCUUAGCAAUAAGAGGCCUUUUGGCACUCUUUUAGUGACUUACCCACUAGAUGACUCACAUGUUUAAAUUUCAGUUAUUACACUUGAUUUUCAAUAAAUACAUUUCAUUUUUAGACCUUUUCCCCCCGAUGUAUUAUUUAUGUCCUUUAGGCCAUAUUUGUCACAUAUUUACAUCGCUUUAAUAAAUGGCAUCACGCAUAAACCAUAGAAAGGGAAUGCCACAUAGGGAAUCCCGUGUUUAGGAAUAAGCCACCUUGUGUCUCGGAUAUUUAAUCCAGUGAGACUUGCACGUUUACAUUUUGUACCAUCCAAAAGGGUAGUGCACAAGGUAAGGUAGGAUCCGAUCAUUUUCAUAGUGUGAUCUUUGAAAUAUGAGCGUCUAAUAAUCACUUUUUGGCCAUUUUAUCAAAAAUUGGUAAAAAUUCCUUGCGUGAAGGACAUUAAUUUGAAGAAAUUCACAAAUGAUUCCUCCUAUUGAGACGAUAAAUAAAUUGAGGCCAAAAUUUGAUUUUUAGAAGGUCAUAGACUAAUGCACCUCAAUAAUUUUGAAAUAACUAAUGGCUGAACAAUUCAACCAAUCCAUUUUGCCAAUUCAUUCAUUCAUUUGACCAAUUUACCCUUUUUAGGGUCACCUGGUCGAUUUUUGAAUAAAUCGUCAAUUCAUUUGACCAAUUUACCCUUUUUAGGGUCAUUUGACCAAUUUACCCUUUUUUAGGGUCAUCUGGUCAAUUUUGAAUAAAUCGUCAAUUCAUUUGACCAAUUUACCCUUUUUAGGGUCAUGUGACCAAUUUACCCUUUUUAGGGUCAUUUGACCAAUUUACCCUUUUUAGGGUCAUCUGGUCGAUUUUGAAUAAAUCGUCAAUUCAUUUGACCUGUUUCCCUUUUUAGGGUAAUCCGAUUGAUUUUUAAUAAAUCGUCAAUCCCGUUUGAUCAAUUAGGGUUUCAAUGUCAAUUUCAAAUUGGGAAAUUUAGUCGAUUUUUGAGAAAACCAUCCAUUGCAUCCAGCCAUUUGAUCAGUUGGAGUUUUGACCCGUGUUUCACUGAGAAAAGUUGUCAAAACAAAUUCCAAUUUCCUCGAUAGGAAGUUCGUCAAGGUCAAACCCAUGCAUUUGUGAUCAAUUCAUUCGGACAUUGUCUUUAUUUUGACAAAUGUCUUUCGUCUCUUCAAUUGACCAAAUUUUUCAAAAUUAUUUUUCACUCAAUUAGUUGAUCGGAUCCAUCAGGUAUUGUAUAGUGCCUGCUCUGGAGGAUUGCAUUUUCAUGCUAGGCCUACCCUUGGCAUAAAAGGGUUCCCCCAUAGGACAUGCAUACCGAUUUUACAAUUUUUGCUUACUAACUCUGGGUAUUUUUCUUUUGUUUUCCCCCUCCCCUGCAUUCAUAAAAAGAAAAAAAAUGCUUCAAUAAGGUGAAAAUAUUUUUCUAUAUCUGAUGAUAAUUUGGAUCUAAUAAAGUGUCAAAAUUGCAAGUAUUGUGUGAUUUUUUGGGCAGAUCCUACAAUGAAAAAUAAAUGACCUAUCUGGAAGCUCUAUGCUAAAGCCUCUGAGAGAUUUUGUAAUUAUUUCCGAAGGAGAAAUUCUGUUUAUUUGAUUUGUUAAUACAUUUUGUUCCAAAAGAAAAUGAGAUGAAAAGUGCAUAUGUGGAGCUCUUUACAAGUUUCUCUUUUCUCAUUGUAUUAUAAUUGAACGACAAAUUUUGUUUUAAUCUUGCUAGUAAUAAAGUUUUGGACAAUUAUUGUUUUAUGUAUAUUCAUGUACAUUUCAUUCUUUUGCUCAUUGGAGAUUUCACGAUGAAUUUUAAGAAAUAAGACCAAAUUGAGAUUUUUUUGACCUCUGGCCUGAAAAUUCACAAGUGUCUGCUUUCAAAAAUCCUUACGUACACCAGAUUGUUGAUCCGAGUCAUCCAAUAAGAGUGCUAAAAAAAACAACAACAAACAACAAAAAAAAAAAAAAGGGGUCACUCAAAAGGCCCAAUGAGAUACCUUUUCUCCUUCAUUUGACCCCAAAAUAAAAUCAGUCACAUUGAUUGAUAAAUCAUAAAUUGGGGCAAUCUUUGCUUGAAAAUAUCCAUUGUGUUUAACCGAUUCAAUUCACAUAUAAGUGAAAGCAAAAAUGUGCAUUAUUCUUGUUUGUUUUGAAAAGUUGGAAUGAUACUUUGAGCAGUCUUUUCUCUAUCUAUUCAGAGUUUAUCAUUUGCUCUCCCGUUUGAGCCUUUAAAAGAAUAAUUUCGUUUCAAAUAAGCGCCUUGAUGAUCACUACCCUACAUGGAAAAUUUUCAAAUAUCAAAAGGGAGUGGAUUUUCAAUGAGCAUUGCGUUACUCUGAUUGUCAUGAGGUGUAAGAAUGAUACUUUGGUCAUCGUUUCUACGACCUAAGCACCAUUUAUCCCUUGCAACCUCAUUUGAGCAAAAAGAAAUUGGUGGUUCUUUUCGAGUGCACAUAUGAUCGCACCCCACAUUGGGGAAGGAGAUUGGGGAAUUUUGAAAUAGGGAAAAGAAAAAGGGGAAAGGGAGCCACAAAUUGGGAAAUUUUGAUUCUACUUGGGUUUCAAUUUUGAAAAGAAAAGAAAAGGGGAAAAAGUACAAGUUCUGUCCGGUGGAUCACUUAUGUUUCAUAGAUAUGAAUGAGCAAGAGUUCUCCUCAGUCAAUUAAUUCAGACACAUGCCAGAAAUUUCCCAUUAAUGAAAGUUUCCUUUCAGAGUUAUUGUAAGGAACGGAAUAAAAGUCAGGCCUUCUUCUUUUUCAAUCAAACAUUCUAUCCCUAGUUGUCCCUUUUGAGCCAUCAGAAUAAAUUAUUUCGUUUGGCAACCCUUGAGAAUCGCAAACCCCACACUGGGGCAAGUUUGAGUUGAAAAAGAAAUUUCAAGAAGUGAAAAGUGAAAGGCAAUAAAAUCAAAAACAAAAGAAGAAAAGAGAACCUCAGUUCAAAAAUAAACUGGGGCAAAUUUUGUCAAAUUUCAAAAAAAUGGCAGAAGGCCGAAAAAUCAAAAGAAGAAAGAAAAUGAAAGAGAAAAAGCCUCAAUUAAGCAUAAACUCUGGGGAAAGUCUUGAUUUAACCCUAAAAUAGGGUUGGCGCAACAAUGCGAUCUCAGAUUCUUUAAACCACUCUUGAAAUCUGCCUUCAAGUCUUAACUUUUCUAAAACACCACACCUGACCCCAUUACAAAAACCGAAAGUCCUGACUUCUGUUCUUUGCAAUGGCCCUGUCAAGAAAAUUUCUGAUGCCGAAAAUUUUAGCUGUAUUUCUGAAUUGCUUGAGUAUGGGGGCUGACGCUACUCACCAUGGAAAACCCACCAGAUCAAAGAAAAGAAAACGGCAAAGCAAAAAGGAAAAAUGAAAUACAAAAGAUUCGAUGGUGAAGUCCCUAUUGAGUGAUCAAACAAAGUUCAGAAUCUUCGAGUGCAAAAUAGGGGCAAUUUUGGAAAAAUGCGAUCUGUGGUGCAAUGUCCUUGACUUAUCCUUCAACUAUCGUUUCAAGCCACAUUACAAGCUAAUAAAGUCCAUCGUUGACUUAUUCCUUCAUGACAAUCCAAAGUGAGUAUUAUGCUCAUAAGAAAUCCAUCAAUCAUUUGUGAUCUUAAGGCUAUAGCCUGUUCCCACAUGAUUAGCUAUCGUUAUCCAUAUUGUUGCAAGCCUAUAAAGCUCAUAUGUGGACUACGUUUUCUUAAGAAAUAAGGGUGACAAACUCUUUGCUUUCACUAAGAUGUGACAUUGAAUGGAUUACAUACAACUGGGGCACAAAAAUGAGACAAAUUCUGACCUCCCAUUUCCUUAGCCAAAUCAGAAAUAAAGUCACUUGAUUGGUCCUGAAAGAUGAGCCAACCAAAAGUGGUGACCCGUUACCCUAACACCAAUGCUAAAAGUGAGGAAGAAAUCUUCUUGAAUUUGGUGUUACUUCGAGGAAUUCAUCAUGAAAUUUCUGCAUGAGUUCAAACUUGACGUUUAAAGUUUCUUCACAUUGUUGUAUAUGUGCAUUCUUUUCUAAAUUUUAGAAAGUGCGGUUUUUCUUUGUUCAAAUAAAUGGGAAAUCAUCUGAACGAAUUUUUGCAAUCAAGGGAGCCCACACUGGGGCAAAAUUUUAUUUGUAAGAUUUCAUGAAAUAAGUCCAUACUGGGGCAAAUUUUUUGUAAUACAUUUGAGGUUUUUGUCCAAAAAUCAAAUAAUAACAUUUUUCGGAUCAAUCCCGCUGCUCUUUUCCUGGAAUUUAAGUGCAUGUCAUACUUUGAUGAACCCCUUGUACAGGUAUUCAUGGUUCAAAAUGACGAAAGGCAUCCAGUGAGGCGGAAGGCCGAUACUGCAAAGAGAAGCAAGAAGAAGGAGGGAAAAAUGGACUCGACACUGGGGCAAAUUAUUUUGAAAAAAGAUUCUCUCGAAAAAUCAGAAAAAUUCAAAAAAAAUUCAAAAGUCAAAAAUCAAGUUCAAAUUCUUGUUUCUUGAAAAAUCAAAUUUAAUUGCUUCUUUCUUGACAAAUCAAAUUCAAUUUCUUGUUCACAAUAUCACGUUGGGCCUGGAUUUCGUACCGCCAACAUUCCAAAUAUCCCGUUGGGCCUGGAUUUCAUGCCGCCAACAUCACAAAUAUCAAGUUGGGCCUGGACUUCAUGCCGCCAAUUUCACAAGAUCACGUUGGGCCUGGACUUCGUGCCGCCAACUUCCCAUUGGGCAGGCUUGGGUUUAAUCCCACUGACCAAUUCAUCACACUGAGGCAAAUUAUUUCGACAAAUUGCUCACAGUCAGGAAAAAUCAAAAAAUCAAAAAAAAUCAGAAGAAAAAAAAAGAAAAAAAAAUCAAAAAAGAGAAAAAAAUCAAAAAUCAAAUCAAGUUCAUCACGGCAGGCUCGGAUUUGAUCCCACUGUCCGAUUGUCAAAGCAUUUAUUUUCAUUGCUACUGGAGUUGGGUUUGUCCCGCCAGUGAGCAUUUCAUGAUCAUAGCCACUGGAGCUGAGGUUUGUCCCGCCAGUGAGCCUUUCAAUUUCAUCGCCACUAGCCGUUGGGUUUGUCCCACUAGUGAGCCCCUCAUUUGCCUUCACCACUAGCCGUGGGUUAGUCCCACUAGUGAGCAUUUUCCUUUUCGUUAGCCACUAGCCGUGGGUCAGUCCCACUAGUGAGCAUUUUCAUUUUCUCAGCCACUAGCCGUGGGUUAGUCCCACUAGUGAGCAUUUUCCCUUUCGUCAGCCACUAGCCGUGGGUGGGUUAGUCCCACUAGUGAGCAUUUUCCUUUUCGUCAGCCACUAGCCGUGGGUCAGUCCCACUAGUGAGCAUUUUCACUUUCUCAGCCACUAGCCGUGGGUCAGUCCCACUAGUGAGCAUUUCAUUUUCUCAGCCACUAGCCGUGGGUCAGUCCCACUAGUGAGCAUUUUCAUUUUCGUCAGCCACUAGCCGUGGGUCAAUCCCACUAGUGAGCAUUUUCACUUUCUCAGCCACUGGCCGUGGGUCAGUCCCACUAGUGAGCAUUUUCAUUUUCUCAGCCACUAGCCGUGGGUUAGUCCCACUAGUGAGCAUUUUCCUUUUCGUCAGCCACUAGCCGUGGGUUAGUCCCACUAGUGAGCAUUUUCAUUUUCGUCAGCCACUAGCCGUGGGUUAGUCCCACUAGUGAGCAUUUUCAUUUUCGUCAGCCACUAGCCAUGGGUCAGUCCCACUAGUGAGCAUUUUCACUUUCUCAGCCACUAGCCGUGGGUCAGUCCCACUAAUGAGCAUUUCAUUUUCUCAGCCACUAGCCGUGGGUCAGUCCCACUAGUGAGCAUUUUCAUUUUCGUCAGCCACUAGCCGUGGGUCAGUCCCACUGGUGAGCAUUUUCACUUUCUCAGCCACUAGCCGUGGGUUAGUCCCACUAGUGAGCAAUUUCAUUUUCGUUGGCCACUAGCCGUGGGUUAGUCCCACUAGUGAGCAAUUUCAUUUUCGUUGGCCACUAGCCGUGGGUCAGUCCCACUGGUGAGCAUUUUCAUUUUCUCAGCCACUAGCCGUGGGUUAGUCCCACUAGUGAGCAUUUUCAUUUUCGUCAGCCACUAGCCGUGGGUCAGUCCCACUAGUGAGCAUUUUCACUUUCUCAGCCCACUAGCCGUGGGUUAGUCCCACUAGUGAGCAUUUUCCGUUAGCCACUAGUGAGUCAGUUUCAUUUUCUAGCCGUGGGUCAGUCCCACUAGUGAGCAUUUUCAUUUUCGUCAGCCACUAGCCGUGGGUCAGUCCCACUAGUGAGCAUUUUCAUUUUCGUCAGCCACUAGCCGUGGGUUAGUCCCACUAGUGAGCAUUUUCAUUUCUCAGCCACUAGCCGUGGGUUAGUCCCACUAGUGAGCAUUUUCAUUUUCGUUAGCCACUAGCCGUGGGUCAGUCCCACUAGUGAGCAUUUCAUUUUCUCAGCCACUAGCCGUGGGUCAGUCCUAGCCGUGGGUCAGUCCCACUAGUGAGCAUUUUCAUUUUCGUCAGCCACUAGCCGUGGGUCAGUCCCACUAGUGAGCAUUUUCACUUUCUCAGCCACUAGCCGUGGGUUAGUCCCUCUAGUGAGCAUUUCAUUUACCCCGCCGCUAGCCGUGGAUCAGUCCCACUAGCGUGCGUCCCAUGAUUUACAUUUCUGUCUGGGUCUAUCCCAUUUAAAUUUCUGUCUGGGUCUAUCCCGUGGGUCUAUCCCAUUUAAAUUUCUGUCUGGGUCUAUCCCAUUUAAAUUUCUGUCCGGGUCUAUCCCGUGGGUCUAUCCCAUUUAAAUUUCUGUUCGCGUCUAUCCCGUGGGUCUAUCCCAUUUACAUUUUUAUCCGGGUCUAUCCCAUUUAAAUUUCUGUUCGGGUCAGUCCCGUUUAAAUUCCUGUUCGGGUCAGUCCCGUUUAAAAACUCCCUUUAAAUUCUGUUCGGGUCCCGUUUAAAUUUCUGUUCGCGGGUCAGUCCCGUUUAAAUUCCUGUUCGGGUCAUCCCGUUAGUCCCGUUUUAAAUUUCCUGUCUCGGGUCAGUCCCGAUUAAAUUUCCUGUUUAAUUUUCUUGUCUAAGUCAAGUCCCAUUUCACAGUUCGAUAAAAGGGGUCACUCCCCGUUUCUAAAGCCGUCCAUUUGUUUGAGACAUUUUCACAGCCAAAUAACACAGGUAAGUAUUUGGUGUCUACUUCUUUGUCUCAAGUUUUUCAAAACUCAGACAAAGAGGGGCAAACAGUAGACACCAAAUUUUUGACUUCAUUUUUUUUUGUUAUUAGUUUUAUUGAUAUUUAUUUUAGUUUGGUUUUACUAAUCUCUUUUUUAGACAUUUUAGCAUUUAAAAAAAAAAAGUCAAAAGUCAAUCAAAGGGACAAAAAAUGAGACACAUAAGCCUACUUUGGGGUUUAAGAUCUUGGCCCUUGAUAUUAGGUUUAGUCUUUGGAGGGGCCUUUAAGAGGCCAAACAGCUGCAAGAAAAAAAAAACCCGAGAGGAGAAAUAGCAAAAAGAGGCACAACGGAAAAAGGGGCUGAGGAGAUAAGGAGAGUGGGACAGCAGGGGAUGACGGCCAGGUCUUGAGAGGGAGGAAAAACAACUAAAAAAGUGGGAAAAUCUGAGGAAGAGAGGCGGGUGAGCUGUAAAACAAAAAGAAAAUUGGGAGGCAUCUGAUAAAAAAGAGGAAAGAGGGCUUCAGCGGAACAAAAACGGGGGGACGAAGCAAAACAGAGAAGGAACAAUUAGAGGAAGGGCUUCAUCUGGGGGGAGAGCUAAAAAAAAAAAAAAGAAAAGAAGAAGCUAGAACAGGGGCGGCGGACAAGGCUAUUGGGGGAAGUUUUCUGGGGAAGAAGAAAAACAAGCGAGGGAGAGUAAAAAUAAGGGAAAAGGAAGAAAGUGGCGGCGAAGAUCUUUUGGGGGAAAACAAAAAUCAGAGGAGAAAGACUAGGAGGAGCCGCUACCAUCCCGCUAGAAUCAACUAUCGUCGCCGCCAUUCACCACCUGCAGAGCUUUGCUGGAUUCAGCCGCGUAUUCUCUAUCACCAACAUGCUCAAGCAAAUUGAGCCACUCGGCACCUCCAUCAUCUCCAAAUGGGUAUCCGAUGCCGCCAAGAACUCGGAGAAGCGGACCAUUUCUACUAUGCUGGGACCUUCAAUCAGGAACCACCGCCGCUCAUUCCGCCACCACCUUGCCGAACCCCCCUAUUGUCACCGGCAAAGUUUCACCUUGCGAACACGGUAAGCCAUCCUCCCUCUUUGAACUUCAGUUUGGAUAUUUUAGUUUAAACAUCGGGAAAGCAUGUCUGCCGUGCAUUUGGUCAGUGCCAAUUUCAUGUUGAUUGUUUACAAUUUUUAGUUUGUAUGCGUUUAUGUUCUAAGUUGAACUGAAACUUCUUGUUGUUUGACCAAUUUUGGGCUGAUUAUAAUCUCAAUUGAGCAACGUUCUGCUGGAAUUUUUAUGCCUAUUCAAUGUUUGAUAAAAUGCCCACCCGAGAGUUGGUUUGAGUUUGGUGUUUUUUGAGCCUGGCACGUUGUCUUAUAAACCUCUCCUUCAUCGUUUUUUUAUUUGGUUGUAUAGAGUGCUCAGCUUUGUUUCAAAAUUUCCUUUGGUUAUUCGUUGUGAGUUUGCCGGUUUGUUAUAGUAUUAAACAUUACUAGGUAAUGCUGGAACGUUAGCCGCGCCAAAUUUGGGUCAUUUUGUUGUUUUUAUGUUCAGUUUCAUUAUUGGAUUUAUUGUGAAUAAACUGUUGCAUUUGGAGGACGAUUAAUAAUACGGGUAGAACGCCGUAACAUUGAGCUUUUGGGGCAUCUUUAUGGCUUUGAUCUUGCCCAUACAAUGUUUUAUCAUUGGUUUCUUAUCAAAAAAUGGAAAUCUGGAGUCUUUGUGUGAAGUGACAAAAGCUGCAUUUUAUGCUCACGUUUGUUGUUUUCCUCUUUCCGCAAUAGCCACAAAGUUGGGUUUCAUCAUCUUGUCUGUACACUCAAACUUUGGCUUCAAUAAUGAUUAUAGAAGAUUUCAGAGCAUGUUUGCUGAUGAAUGUCCAUGUCUGCCGUCGGCAUGUUGUUUCAAACUUAGCGUCGAGUGUUUGUGGCUUUUUCUGUAUGUUAAUUAAACUGUAUUCUUUUGGGUUUGCUGUAAAUUGCAGGGCUGAAUGUAGCUUUAAUUAAGUAGAAGAUUAGUGAAAUUUUUGAUGCUCCUAACCUGUUCGACAAAAUGCCUGACUGAAAAUCCUUAUUGACAGAAGUUUCGUUUGCAUUUUUUUCUUUAUGUGAAAGAACCGGCUAAGUCAGCAGAAUCAUUUCCUUGCAUAUGAGAAAUUUCGAUGUGUUGCAGUUUUGCAUUUUUUUUCUGGAAACCAAUUUUGGAAAUCAGUCCCUGCAUUUCUCUUUAAUUGUACUAUGGCCCUGGACAUUUUCAACUUCUUUCAAUUCGGUCCUUACUUUAAUUGCAAAUGAGUCCCUGAACUUUAUUUUUCUUUAAUUUUGACCCCAAGACUUUAUUAAUUUUUGCAAUCAAGUCCUUUCUUCUUUUAACUUCUUAAAUGUGGGUUGUUGACAUGAUUUAAUUGAUUCAAAUUCAUGUUUAUUUUUUAUCCUUUGUGAUUAUUUGCCAAAUAAAUUGGUACCUUGACCAUUUCUUUUAUUUUGGAGGAUAAAUAAGUUGAUUUCACUCCAUUAGAGCUUCAUUUCAAGGGAGGUAUAAUUUCUUUUAUCUUUUUGUGUCUCUCCUAUGUGAACCAACGUGCUACGUGAGAAAUACAUGUCUACUUUGCUUUCCUAGCCUUUCUUUAAUUUCUUUUAUUUAUGUCAUUUACUUUUGCUUUUUAUUUAAGUUAUUCUUUAUGGGGUAUGUGUACACCUCUUGACUUGUAAUAGUUAGGGAUUUAAUUAUUUUAUUCCUCUUCCCCCUUUUAGAUUGUAGUAGGGUUUCCCUAAUGUAAUAGAUAGGGCAAGGAGGAGCAUUCAAUGAAGACCUAUCGAAGUCAUGUGCCUAGCUAGCAAAUGUAAUAGUUAGGGCUUUAAUUGUCUUAUGUGUCUUGCAUGCUUAGUUGCUACGUGUUAAUUUGCUUUGUUAGGGCCUUGCAUCUAGUCGAGCAUGCUAAAUGUUAUGUGCUAUGUGUUUAUAAGUGUUUGGCAUGUCUACUCGCUUUCCAUAACUUGAAUGAAUGUGAUGGAUGAAUGUACGUUUCCACUAGUCCAACGCUAGUCGGAAUUCAUUGAAUGGGCUAGUCCAACGCUAGACCCUUAGGGAUUUCCCCUCGUUAGUACAUGUUUGCAUGUUCAUUACAUGUCAUGCAUUCUUUUAGUUUUUCUAUCAUUUGGCAUGUCCCUCUAAUCCCCUUUCCCCUCACUUUAGGUCUUGCAUCUCAUGCUAGUUAGGGUACAUUUGCCUGAAGAGUCCCCUUCCGAUAAGGAAAACGAGCGAGUGUGGCUACUCGAUAGCCUUAGCACGCUAGUUUCGCCUUCUAAUCAAAGGGAAAAUCAAAGUCGAAAAGUUAGGAGUCCUUCCCGUACCCGAUUUGUUGCAUUCCUCUAGGGUCAUACUUUCAUUUUAUCACAUCCAUACACUUUUAACCACAAUUCUGCACAUUUCUCAAACCAUACUUUUCUACUACAUUUUACCUAUCGCUUGCUUAUUUUCACUUCACAAAUGAAAUUCCACUUUACCUUAUAUAUCUAUUACUCUAUUUUCAUACAUUUGCACACACAAACACUUGGAUUUUUCAUACAAUUUCACACAUGCACCUUUUCAUACACUUGCACACAAACACUUGGAUUUUCAUACAAUUUCACACGUGCACCUUUUUAUACACUUGCACACUUGCACUUUAGCCAUCAUUUGCAUUAAUCGACCUCUAUAAGGUUUUCCUUUAUUGGCCGCCACAAUUCAUGUGGUUGGGACCAAAAACCUUACAAGAGACAUUUUAGAAUUUAGGUUUACAUUUUUUCCUUCUUUUUGCAUUCAUGUAGUGCAUCCAAAUGUAAUAAAUUCUUUGGUUAAAAUAAGAAAAACUUUGAUUAAAUCACGCAACUAGCCUUGGCUAGGUCGAAGGGGUGCCUUGGAUUUUUAUCCUUGCCUUCCCCUUCGUCAAAUGUGACUCCCGAACCUUUUUCGUUGGUUUACGUGGAUUAAGAGUCGUUUAAAAGGGGUUUCUUACUACUCUUUCCCAUUUUUUCUUUAAAAUGGAUAGUUUUCCAAAAGACGCAUGGAUAGUUUUCCAAAAGACGCAUGGAUACAAAUUUAUUGGAGAUUUGAGGAGUUAAUACUCGACUCAUGUGAGGACUCGUAAAACUCCUAUUAAAACCCUAAUUUGAGCUUAUUUAAUUAUUUACUUGUUCAUUUAUUCCGAAUAUUAUUUUCUAGACCUAUUGAACCUAAUUACGUGGAAAUAUAGCUUCGUUAUAUUUUUAAAGUGACUUGUUUCAAGAAUUAAUUUCCUGGAGUACGUUUAGUAAAAAUAGUGAAUAGUGCUUGGAGAUUUUAUCCGCGUAGUAGCACAAUAAGCUUGGAAUAUUGGAGACUUAUACAAUGGUCCUAAAAUAGGUAAUCUUAUGAAUAAAUACUCAAGUGAUAGUUAGUAGUGCAAUUGUUAUAAGAAUUUCUCGGAAGUUUCGCGUUAUAACGUUAAAUUUGACGGUACGCGUUUUCACAUGCGCGACUUUAUUUGAGGGACUUUAGACCCUUAUUUCGGGACAAUUAAGAGUGGAUAAUACUUACAUGAAUAUUAAUGCAUUGGAGGUUUAGUGCACUAGUGAACCAAACACGCGAGAAAAUCGAGCCGUAAUCGCACCAAACGGCCCCUAAUGAGAGUUGACUUUGGAGUGAAUUUACACCACUCAUUUAAUCUUCUCUUGGAAGCUAACUUGGAUCAAAAUUCACUCUCUCUUCUUUCACCAAGAGUGCCGACCAGCCUUCUCUCUCUCUCUCACUCUCUUGCUUCACAAUUUCCUUCAUCAAAUCAACCCAAAACCUCAACCAAUCUUCACCAAACUUGAAGAUCAUCUAGCAAACUACUUGGAGGUUGGAUUUAGCUAACUAAAGGGCUGCGUUUUCACGGUUUCUUGGAGCUCUUGAGGGCUGAAAAUUUCUGGGUUAAGGCACUAAGGAGGUAUAACUUCAGCCUACACCUUAAACUUGGAUUAUGAUGGUAGAAAUGCAUCUUUAAGCUAGUGCAUGCAUUUGGUUAGCUUGUGUAUGGUGUAAAAAUGUGAUUGUGGGCUCUUUGAAUUCGCACACUUGGGUUGUUGUUGCUGAUUUGAUGAUUGAUGGUGGUUAUAUUGUUGGUUUAGUGGUUAAAAUGAUGCAUUAGUGGUGGGUAAUUAGUAGAGACUUCAUUGGGUGUAAGAAGCAAAAACUUCCGAUUUUGCCCCUGCCAUGUUCGGCCAUUUUGAGGCCAAUUUUUAAUGGUCUAACGGCUUGAAUUGGAUGUUUAUAGGAUGUAUUAGAUGUGUGAAAAUUUUCAUUGGAAAAUAUUGAGGUUUGAUUGAGCAAAUGAAUUUUUCUUGAGAAACUAGCAAAUCUGGAAAACUGUUCGCGUAUGAUUCUGACCAGUGGUAGUAUUUUGGCUAUAACUCUGUCCUCGGAUGUCGAAAUCAUGUGCUGUUGGUGGCGUUUGAAACUAGACAUUCCUGGCUUUAAUUUGGUAUAUAAUGCACGUUCUGAUUCUUUGUGAGUAAGCCAAACCAAAUGUUUUAAGUUCACUGUCCUGUUGCUCUGUUCAUCUGGAAUGAAGUGUUCAGGCAGCAACUUGAUGCCCGAUUUUGAACCAGAUGGGUGCCGAAUUUGGAAACGAUUUCUUUUGUGAUAUUUUAGUCCUAUGAAUGUACUUUCCAACGGUGUAAGCCAUACUCGAUUUCAAGUUAUAUUGACUGAGUUGUGACUGAAACAAGUGGACUGCUCUGUUUUGGAAAAACCCUAAUGUUGGACUGGUUUGGAACAAGAUCUUGGAGUGAACUUGUUAAUUGAUGUUCUUGAUACUAAACACUUACCAAAGGCAUUAUGGAUGUUUCUUAGGCCUUUAUUUCACAAAUGAACCAUGAUUGGAUCGUUUGCUUGAUUAAACGUUCUGAAAUGGGUAAUGAAAGUCUCAAGGCAGAUUGCCUUAUAAUUUUCCUGAACUUUGGUUGACUAAUUAACUAUCUUACCGAAGGUAUUUUUCCCUGAAAUUUGAUAGAGCGGUACCAUUCAUAUGGGAGUAAAAUACUGCCAAUUUUGGUACCAAUCCAAGUUCGUUUCGAUACCCAAUUAAAUUACUAAAGUUAGAGGUUCAAAUCUGGAAAUUCUUCUCCAGUCUUGAAUUUCCCCAACUUUGAGCUACCGUAUCUCGGUACUCGAAACUCCGAUUCUUGAUCCGCUUGUUUUGUUAUAAACCUCGCUUGCAACUCUAAUUGAGUGAUAAAUUUCAGAGGCUGGUUUACAACGUGUGAAUCGUGCCGAAUUUUCAAAGUUGGCCGAAAUCCAACUUAAUUCUGCCUUGUAAACCAAUCCUGCAUCUUCAAGCUCAUUUUUGAACACUUUCCACUUUGAUUCAUGGAAAAUUGUCUUCUAGGAACUUAUAGUACUUUCUAGGAGGUUUCCAACGGUAUAAAGUUUUCCAAUUCUCAACUUAUGCCGAGCGAGUUACGAUUUUUCAAAGAUUUAGGAUAAAACUGAAAUUUCUCAAUUUUCAAGGCAAAGGAGUUUUUCCAAAAUUCUUAAUUCUCUUAGUAUUAUUCAAACGUUUUGCCCUCGCUUUUCGUGAUAAAAACUCAAAUAAUAUUGUACAUAAUAAAAGGCUAGUUGAACCUCGAUUUGCGUGUAAUUGAGGUUCCUUUUGUGAAAUAAUCUUUAGAUUGUACUAGAGUACAAUCUUCCUUGAUAAGUGGGUUAUUUGUGUGAUUAUCCGCUAUUAAUUGCCAGGCGCACAAGGAGACCUUCAAGAGGAUCUCACUGUGGACACUUGAAUCUCUAAAGAAUAAUCCCUAUUGAAUUGCUCGGUGAGUGUCAAGUGUGUGAAUUAUUGAUACUUGCUUAAUUAUGGUAAUUGUUGGGAAUUUUAAAAAAAAUAAGGGCGGGUGCGUACUUUAUCGCACUCGUUCUAAUUUCAAAUGAAUGAUUGAAGUGUAUUGAAUGAAUGAAAUGUAUUGAAUGAAUGAAUGAAAUGAAAUGUUAUGUCAUGAAUGCAUGUGUCGUUGGAGUGAACCUCCUCGACUUUCAAAUGAAUGGGGGACGCCCAAACUCAUAGGCCGACCUUGGACUCGAGCUGGCAAUGGGCUUGGUCGGGAACCUAGGCGAGCCAUGAGAUAUAUAAGCUCGACCUAAUAAGAGGUCUUGCUUGGCAUACUCGUAGAGUAUCGCCUUAUAAUAGACUUGUGGGCCCUUGGGGUGUACGGUGGACGGAGGGAAGUAAGUGGUGAUCUACGGAAAUGGAAAUACUGACCCGGUUGACAGGAGGGUCAACGCGGGAAAGUAUACGAAUGACAUCAGCAGAGUGAGUGGAACUUAGCUCCUGAGAGCUACUAUAUCCUUGAAUUGUUUCUGAUUACUUUUCCUGUUCGAAUGGUUGAUUAUUGAAACAUCACGGUUUUAUGCAAUAAAUUUGGGAUUGCUAUUUGAACAAUGUGCUUGCAUAUGUGUUCUUGGCCUCACGAGCGUUUUGCUCACCCUGUAGAUUUGUUUUCCUUAACAGGAUUGGACUUGGAGAAAUAUUGGAGAAACCCCUCUUGGCGUACUCUUGUUUUUAGGGUUUCCGUUGCACUUUGGGGCUAGACUUGUGAUUGAUAUAUAUAUAUUUUGAAUAUUGAUGUAUUUCGAGAUUCCGAUGUAAUGAUUGGGCAGAUGUUGAAUAUUGAUAAGCUUGAAUGCUUACGCACUGAUUGUAUUUAUGAUAUUUAAUCGUAACGUCUAGUAUUGUGUUAAGCUUGAACGGAAAUUGCUUGAGUCCUGGCGAGAGCUGGGCAGGCGUCCCGCGGAUACCCUUUGGUUCGCCUUAGGGAGAAGUGGGGGCGUCACAAAUUUUCCUAAUUUUAUAUUAUUCAUUUUAUUUUCUCGCCUGCAUUUUGUUUUCUUCAUUAUACCCCACUAUUUCGAUUUCUCCAGAGAUUUUAUAAGUAAAUAUAGUUUUUAAAUCAUUUUCCUAGUAUUACGAGAAAUAAAAAGGGUACAUUGGACGUGGGACCCGUUGGUGGCGUUAAGUGCGAUAAAUUCGACCAAUUAGAUUACUCUUUGUAUACCGGGAUUAAUUUAUUAGGUGUUAAGAGAUAAUUAGAGGUUACUUAGAUGGUUAAUCUUGAAGAGACAAAGGCAUAAGAAUAAACUUAAAAAGGGCCAAGUGUCGCGAUCCGAUUGGAAGUAGUCUUGCCUAAGUUUUGCCUAACUUUCCUUAACUUUACUAAAGGACCAAUUUUGACCCAAAUCACCUUCAUUUCAUAAGCUCCUUGGCCAAAUUCAUCUAGAGAGAAAAGACAAGAAAGCUUCAACCUUUCAUCUUCUAUUCUUGCACAAAUCUUGAAAAUCAACCGAUUAAUUCUUGAAUUAGUCUACAAAAUCAACUUGCUUAGGAAGAUUGAAGGUAGUGGUGGGGUGAUUAGAAAAGGGAAAGGACUAAUGUGACGGCCCCACCUCACCCUAGGGCGUACCAAAGAGUUCGGCGGGUCGCCUGCCCAGCUCUCGCCAGGACUCACUCACUCGUAUCAUGUAUAUACAUCCAUAAACAAUAGAUGCUCAAGUAAAAGAUAAGAAACUUCUACACACCAGAAGUCUUCAAAGUGUUUACCAUUCAAGUACAAACAUCGAAUAUACGAGGGUUCUCAUUCCUCAUACCACGUAAAUUGUUUUCCUUAGCAGGGGAAGGCGAGCAAGGACGAGAGUUCUGUAUAGUCUAGUUGAUCUAGUUCUUUGGCCUUGCAAUGGUUCUCGCCCUAGUGCUUGGCACGGGCACAGUUGGUGGUAUCAGAGCCAUAUGCCGACAGUUGGGACUUUAAGUCCUUCGUCUGGAAAAGCCCCGAGCCUCUCGUUCGUGAAGAGUCACGAAGCGAAACUCUCCGUAGGGGAUGCCCGCGUGCGGGUGGCAAGCUGAUAGGUACCCCGUGAUGUGACCCUGAGAACUGUCACAACUAAGCCAUCACCUUUCUUGAUAUUUCAAGGUAUCAUGUCAAGCCAUCCUUUCUUUGUUCUUGAUUAUGUUAAAUUAAUGACUUGUGAUGGCUAAAGAGAUGUUUUAGUGGAAGAUUUUGUGAUUUUUGGUGGAGAUUGAUGGAUUUUUUAUUUUAUGCAUGAUUUUUCUGAUUUCAUAUGUCAAGUGUUGGUUAACCAUGGAUUAAUGGUUUGUUAUAGUGUAAGAAGGAGUUGGUAUGUGUUGGAAAUGAUUGGUUGUGAAAAUUUCUGGUUUGGUGUGAAAAUUCCAGAUUAGGGUUUCAAGUAACCCUGUUCUGCCCGGUUCUGUUCGGCCAGUUUAGAGGCUGAAUCAGCCUUAGAUCAAAACAUGAAAGUUUUAGAGAAUGAUGUUUUAUAGUUUGCUGUAAAUUUUCAGCCCAAUCUGAGCUUGGUAGCUUGUGAAAAGUUGGAAAUACCCAGACUGGCCUAGGUAGGAGUUCAGCGAACAGGGUUGUCAUUUCACCAAAUCUGACCGUGACUUUUCACCCUGAUCCUUACCGAAUUAGAUUUUUACCAAAACAUAAAAGUUGUAGCCAAUGGUAUAAACUAGUUUCCUACAAAAUUUCAGCUCGAUCCUGGCACUGUAGCUUGUGAAAUGAUCGAAAUACCCUUGUCUGUCCAUGAACCUUGUUUCGCGCCCAGAUUUCUGUUUUGGUGGAAACUUCGUUUUUCUUUUGACCCUGAAAAUGCAUGAUUUGGCUUUGGAGGUCUUCAUAAGAAAUGUAGGUAUAUGUCUUAGCUUUCCAAAGGCUCUAGAAUCACCUCGUUUCGACUUCGAUAGCCUGAGUUAAUUCGUUUACGUAUAAGGUAGUUAACCAGCCCGAAUGUGAGAUUCUGGUCUGUAAAUGGCAAUUUUGACUUAGAUACACUACAAAUUGGACUGAGUGUUCUUCAUCAAAGUUUUAGCUCUUUGUCUUAGCUUUGAAAUGGUAUAAAUUGUACCCCAAUCUGAUAAGCGUAGCUUCAGUUGUGUCUGUUCCGCUAAGAGACAUCAAACCUGCUAUUUAGCUUUUGUCUUUAAAAACUCGAUUUCUAGUUGCAUUCCUAGGCUUGCUUUGUGCUUGGAUGAACUUGAGCCUAGUUGAAGGGCUAUUGUAUUGAGAUUUCUUAUGUGUUGAAUUGGACUGACUUGAGGAAAGACAAUGAAGCCAUGAUGGCUAGAAAAGUAAGCAAAUUUAGGGGGAAUGCUGUCCAAUUUUCUAGGCCGUUUGGUUCCUUUAAGUUUGAGUUGAUCUUAGUAAAAAAUGAAGGGUUUUGAGGGUUGUUUGUAACCCUAGGACCAACUGUUAUCUUUUGCUCAAAAGUCAUAUUUUAUUCUUUUAUGCUAGUAUGUGACGACCCCACUUCUCCCAAGGGCGAACCCAAGGGUAUCGGCGGGCCGCCUGCCUAGCUCGCGCCAGGACUCAAAACUUAAAGUUCGAAAGAGCACUAAAUACAAUAUAUACAAUCCAAAAGUUAUAUUUACAUCUUCAAAAGUAACGAGUCAAACCACUCUAAUAUACUACAACCACAACCAGCAGAAGAUAGACCCUAAGAAGGGUCCUUAUACAAACCACCAAAACAAAACAAACAUCCUAACUGUCCAACUAUUACAAACUAGACCUAACUUUACUAGCGGCAGAGUCCCAAAGUUCCCCGCGUCGUCCCCUGCUAAGGAAAACAAAGGAAACGAGGUAAGCUGGAAGCUUAGUAAGUAAACAGGGGUAAAAGCGUAAAUUUCACGUAACCACAUUUACACAGUAGGAGUAAAGCAAAAGCAGAAAAGUAACAUCACAUAAUAAGGAUACAGGUGGCUCCAAAGCCAAUUCAUAUGCCAUGCGUGAUCUCCUGCCGACACUCCGUCGACCACACUUAAUAGUCCGUAGAACUUCACUUGUACACCCACCGACACCUUAUCACCCUCACUGGCCAGUCACCUCACAAACUUGCCCGGGCGAACGAAAUCACAAACUUGAGCUUGAGUCACAAGCUCGGGUCACAAACUUGGUCACCUUCUCGGUGAACCGGAUUCACAAAAUUGGUUUAUAACAUGAACCUACAAACUUGGUGACCUCAGACCAAGUUGGACUGACUUCGACCAAGCCCUAACCGGCUCGAAUAGUCCAAACAGGUCUUAGAUCGGGCCCACGAACUCACAAACUUCACAAAAUUCACAAACUUUACUCGAAAGUCGCCCCGAGCCACAAGCUCAAGGGUUUUGGUUCCAAAAGGUUCAUAUACAUAUGCCAAGUACAAUUAUACAUUCAAAUUAGGGUUUAGGUCGAGUGCGAUAAAGUACACCCUCGCCUAAGUACCCUUUUCACGUAUCUCAAACACAUAGCAAAGAAAACACAUCAAACUGGCCUGAAUACUUACUCAAAAUACCAAAAGUAGUACUAAAGCAAAAUCGCUUCGCGCGUUCGCUAGUAGUGGGCCCCACCGGCUCCGCCUAGCUCACCGCUGUCUGAAAUGGAAGAUUUUAUCACAUUAUGUCAUAAACGGCCACUAACGUGCCCAAAACAAAUAAAACAGCAACAUCGGCACACGCAAGUACGGAAACGGCGGAAAGGGCACACGCACGCGUGCGGAAAUGGCAAACGGGACGGCCAAAUCUGCCAUCUCAAACCGUUUUGGUCAAAAAUUAGGCUAGGAGUGUCGGAUCAAGGUGGGUUAGACACCGUUUCGAAGCUAAGAGGAAGAGCUACAACUUUAAUUUAGACAUCUCAACCCAGAUCUCAAUAGGUAUAGGUCAAAAAUGCACGAAAUAGUGCCAGCUGUUUCAUUACGGUUUACCAAACAGGCCCUGUUGGCAAGGCCGUAACUCACAGCUCAGAAAUUGAAAUCAAGAAAUUCCAGAGGCGUUAGAAAGCUGAGACAUAAGGAUAAAACUUUGAUGUUUUGGCCAAGAUCUGAAUUCACUCAGAAUAGAACGAAAAUCGAGUGCCAAAAUACCCGUCAGAACUGUCCAGAUACAAGGCAGUUCUGACGAUUGAUAUUGUUUGGGUCAUAACGGAAGCUACGGAACUCAGAUUUCGACGUACUUUAUACCAUUUCGAAGCUGAGACCACGAUCUAAAUUUCUUAUGAAGGGAUCAACACCCAAUUCGCAAAGUAUCAAAACGGAAAAACCCACGGUCAGAAGCUGAAAUUCCAAACGUACACCAAGUAAUGUCUAAAACAGGCCUGAGGUUUUUGUCCAUAACUCAGAGUACACUAAUCCAUUUGACCUGAGAUUUUACAGGUAUAUUCAGGACUCAAGGUGCUACAAUGUUGAAGAAGACCACUCAAUCUAGUUUCGAGUAUAACUCGGUCAAAAUGCAGUACAAUAUCCCAGAACCGCAAAACAGGUUCACAAAACGUAGUCUAGCGUAAACAUCAUAACUUAGCCUACACAAGUCUAAAUCCAGAAAUUCCAAAGCCAUAUGAAAGCUUAGAAACAGGGCUACAUUUCAUCAGAAGACCACAACAAUCAAUUCGGAAGCAUUCCUAGCCAAAACAACCCAUUACAAUCACAGUUUUCCAAUUCUGGGUAAACCAGAACAGCAAUAGUAAUUUCGACUUAUCUCACUCUACACUACUCCGAUUGACCUGAAAUUUUGUCAGCACCUCUAAAAUGUCAUUCCCUACAACCUUUAUGUUUUAAUCCAAGGCCAAUUCGCCCUCUAAAUAGGUGCUAAAAAUUCGGACAGAAAUGUUGAACUUUGAAACCUAAUUUUUCCAAUUUCUUCCAAAACAGAAAUUGAUUGUAAUUACUCACUUUUUCCACCUCCUAGAGUCAUUAAACAUCAUUUCCAAUCAUCAUAGAUAACCACAUAAUCAUGCUCAUAUUAAAACAGAAAAAUCUCCAAAAAUAAAUAAGCUUCAUCAUGUCAACCACAAAUCAAGAAAUAACCAUAAUAUUGCAUCUCAUAUCACCACUAAUCAUGAUUAAAGCAUCAAUUAAGGGAGGAGGGUGGUUCUUCAUAACUCACCUUAGAACAAGAGAGAGAGAGUAAUAGGUCUUCUUGGCUUUCCAAACAAAUCCACACAACACCUUACAAGCACUAAACUAAGAGGUUUUAUGGAAGGAAUUCAAGAGAUUAAACGGUUAAGUUGUUGAUUUGGGCAAGAUUAGAGCAAGGAAUUGAGAGAGGUUUUUCUUCUUUUGCUUGGAGAGAGAGUCAGCCAAGAGGGAGAAAAGAAUGAGGAAUUUUUUUGUUAUUUUUGGUGAUUUAUUUGGUCAAAAUAGAAAAAGGUGAAUAGUGGUCUUAUGGUAAGAUUAAAUCUUAUGGUGACACUUGUCACCUUUUAUUAAAUAUCUACCUAACUUUUCUCUCUCAUAUCAAUCCAAAUUACAACCUCUACUUAUCUCUUAACACCCGGUAAAUUAAACCCAGUAUCCGAAACUUAACCUAAUCGGCCGAAUUUUUCCGAACUUUUCGCACUAGUGGGUCCCACGUCCGAUAUACGUUCUUAAUUUCUCAAAAACUAACUAAUACUAGAAAAAUCAUCUAAAAACUCUAUUUAUUCAAUAAAAAUUAUCAGGGGCAUUUUCUAAUAAAGAAAAUGUAGAAAAACGGGUUUUCAAUCUUAACCGGAACUUAGGGUUUAAAUCUUAAUCCCUACUUAGGGUUUUCGAAAUACUCCCAAAACCAAACGUUACCGCCCAAUUAAUGAAUAUAUCAACGUAGAACGAACUGGGGCCUCACAUAGUACCUAACCUGGAAAGACGUACGACGUGUAGUCGAGCCUCACUUGUACAUUCCGUUCACUCGAUUUUGGAUGUGAAACCUUCAAUUGUUUUACUUUGAUGAUUUUAGGGUUUCUUGGUGAUUAAAGCCAUUUUGAAGUGAAAACUUUUGAAGUAUCCGUACUUGGACCGGUGAGUGUACCACUCCCCUCACUUGUUGUUUAACUCGAUUUCUGUACAUGCAAUCUGUGAUAUGAACGACCGAACUAUCUGUUUAUUUUGUUUGAGACGAGGGUGUACUUUAUCACACUCGUUCUCUUGUCUGUUCAUAUGCCAAUUUUUUGUGCGAAUAUGAAUCUGUUAUCUGUAUCUGUAUCUGUAUCUGUUCUGACGUCGUUUGGAGACUUGUAUCUAACGACCUUUCUGUGACCUCUGAGCUCAAUACCUGUGGCUAAUUACUUGAGUCGGGCCGGCAAGGGCCUGGUCGAUUAGAUAACGAACCACGGUAGUCUAUUUUGGGAUCUUUGGGUAUUGAGACCCUUGAUUCCGGUGUACUUGAGUAUUACCAUUUCUGAACUGAUUGGAGUUCGGGCCCGGUACGGGUAUGUGAGGUGGAAGGAAUCGGAAAAAGUGGAGUCUACGGUAUUGGUUACUCUUUUAGCGUUGACGGAGUGUCAACUAUUAUUUCGAUCAAGCUUCGGUGAAGCAAAUGGAAUUUGGCUCCUGAGAGCAACCCGUAUCCUUUCUAUCUAUGGUGUUUGUUCAUUUCUUUAUUUGAUUCGCAUAUGUGACUAAUUGAAUAUGAAGUUCCACGUUUCUUACUUGCUAUUAUUUUGGUACCUCAUUGAGCGUAAGCUCACCCCCUUCCCGUUAUCUUUGUUUUCCUUACAGGAGAUAAACUUUGAAACCACGAUUUUGGAAGAAAAGGGUUCCAUGUUUUGAAACCAAGAUUUUUGUAAGAAAAGAGUUGAGCUAGUUGUAGGACUUCUCUUGUUUAUGCUCAUUUGUAAUCGAAACCCUAAUUGUAUUUUGUGUAGCAUGAAUACUUUGGCUUGUAUUUUGGUUCACUUGUUCAAGACUCCGACAUAAAAAUAUGUAUAAGUGUUUAACCGACGUUCCGUACUUCCGUAUGGUUUGGUAAGCUCUGUUGUAACUGUUGGUGGUCUGAAAUUGUUCAUUUUCCUUAGAUCCUUCCGCGCGUACUAUAUUGGGUUUGUGUGAAUCGACUCCGUAGUCCUGGCGAGAGUUGGGCAGGCGGUCCGCUGAACCCUUUGGUUCGCCUUAGGGUGAGGUGGGGCUGUCACACUAUUUGGUUACUUGUUUAGCUACCUAUUGGCUCUUUACUAAGUGAUAAGAUCAUAUAUAAGGGAUUGGAGUGAUUUUUAGUACUUGACUAAAUUUGAAGGACUAUUUUGACUGGAUUAGUACCCGUUGGAAUGUCGAGGACGACAUUCUUUUAAGGAGGAGAGAUUGUGAUACCCUAACUUUUAGGAUACUAUUGUUGUUUAGUCUCAAAGAGGAUAUUACGAUUUCUUUAUUUAAGACAUUAUUUUGUUUUAAAAAUGAGAAACCCUAAAUUCUAGAAACCCUAAAGUCUAAUAAAAAAACUCUAGUUUACUUGUGACUAACCGAUUUUCUUAAAUCUCUCAUUUUGAAUCGAAACCCUAAUUGUAAUCACUGAAAUUGUAAAAUCCCUCAUAUUUUCUUAAAAUUCCUUUUUAUUUGGCAUUUAUUCCCUUAUCAUAGCUAUACUACUCAUUUUACAUCCCCAAUGUUUAGAAUAACGAAUAAAAUUAAGAGUUUUCCCUUUUGCAUUCAUCGUUAGGGUAAACUAAGAUUUUUACGCCUAUCCAUAGUGUGACUAUCCGGUAUGGAGAGUGGAUCAAAUUUGGUGAUUAAGAGUGAGUUAUAGAUAAUUUUAAGUGUGUGAUGAGAAGUGAUAAUAAUAAGUUAGUGAAUUAUAAGUUAAAACCCUAGUAUACGCGAUUUAAAGAAAAUCGACUCGAACCGUUGGGUACCGUUCACUACCGAUUGAACACACCAUUUGACCACCAUUUUUAUCAAGUUAAUCUCCUUGUUAUUAGAGCUUAAAUAUCAGCUCAAAAUCUGAUCUUGAGGGCCGAAAUUUUUUAUUUGGAAAACAAGAGAAAAGAAAAAAUUUUGGAUUAACCAAAGUGUGACACUUGUUGGUUACUCAGAGACCUUUGACCAAGCCAAUUUUCUUUGCUUCUUAUCUUCACUUUGGCUCCAUUUCUUCACAAUUUUUCCUUGGUUUGGCCGAGAGCAAGAGAGGGAGGAAGAGUGAAGAGAGAUUUCCAUUUCAACCUUGAAUCAAGCCUUGUGAGUGAAAACAAGAACAAAUAAACCGAUUAACUUGUAAUUGGAAGCUUGGGAAGCUUGGGAAGCUUAGGGAACUAAAAAUUUCAAGGGGAAGUGAAGGAGAACACUAGCAAGCUCUGGUUUUGAGGUAAAAUGACUGACCACUCUUUUCUUUUCCCUUAAUCAUGUUGGAGUUGUUUAGUAACUUGUAUUUGUGAUUGUGAUGCUUAAAUCAAGGGAAUUUGGAUGAUUGGGGUGAUGCAUUUGAGUUAGGGUUUGAAUGAUUCCCUUCUCAUACUUGUUGUAUGGAUGGUAUAUGAUGUAUAUAAGCUUGUAUAUGAGGUGGUAGUGAUGGUUUUAAGCUAGAAAUAUGAAUUGUACUUUGACUUCCUAAAUUUCCAGAAUUUAAUUUCUUGCAUACCCUGUUUUGCCCGGUUCUAGUUCACCAUGAUAGAGGUCGAAUCAGGCUUGGCCCAAAACAUAAAAGUUGUAUAGAAUUAUGUUUUAUAGUUUUUUACAAAAUUUCAACUUAAUCGGAGCAACGUAGCCUACGAAAAGAGAAAAAUACCCCUGACUGCCAUAGGUAGAGCUUCAUGGACAGUUUUGACAUUUCACAAAUCUGAUCGCAUCUGUUCACCCUGAUCCGUACUGAAUUAGCAUUUGUCCAAAAUGCAAAAGUUGUAGUGCUAUGUCUUGGCUUUCCAACGCCCUGAAAACGCCUUAAUCGGACUGUGAGAACCCGUAUUUUUGCAUUUUCUAGGUUUUAUUAUUUUCAUGGCUUGUUUUCUGCAUUUUCGUGCUUAGGAAAAAUUCUAGAUAAUUUUAAGGAGCAGAUAUAAUUUUUAGAUGAUUUUUCUAGUAUCGAAUAGGUUUUGAGAAAUUAAGAGUGUAUACCGGAUGUGGGAUCCACUAGGGCGAAAAGUUCGAAAAAAUUCGGCCAACUAGGUUAAGUUUUGGAUACUGGAAUUAAUUUACCGGGUAUUAUGAGAUAUUUAGAGGUACCAAGUGGAUAGGUGUAUGAGAGACAAAAAAGUUAGGCAAGUCAUUAAAUAAGGUGACAAGUGUCACCAUGUGAUUGGAUUGAGUUGUCCACAACUAUUCACCUUUUUACUAUUUGACCAAAUAAAUCAAAAAAUACCAAAAAAUCACCAUUUUCUUCUCUUCCUUGGCCGACCUCUUCAAGCUCCAAAAGCAAGAAAACUCUUCAAGUUUUUAGCUUCCAUCUUGCUCAAAUUCAACUAAUCAACCACUUAACCUUGUUUUUGUUCCAUAGAAAUCAUUAAGUGAGUGUUGGUGAGUUGUUGUGUGAAGUUUUUUUGGAAAGUUAAGGUGACCAAUAGCUCUCUCUCUCUUGUUUUAAGGUAAGUUGUGAAGAACCACCCUCCUCCCUUAAUUGAUGCUUAAAUCAUGCUUAUUGGUAGUAAGAGAUGCAAGUUUAUGGAUUAUUUCUUGAUUUGUGGUUGAAAUGAUGAAGUUUUAUUAUUUUUGGGGAUUUUUAUGUUUUAAUAUCAGCAUGAUUGUGUGGCUAUCUAUGAUGAUUAAAAAUGGUAUAUAAUGACUCUAGGAGGUGGAAAAAGUGAUUAAUUGCAACCAAUUUCUGGUUUGGAAGAAAUUUCAGAAAACUAGGGUUCUUGAGGGAGCAUUCUGUCCGAAAUUUUAGGUCCUAGUUAGAGGCCGAAUUGGCCUUACCUUAAAACAUAAAAGUUGUAGGGAAUGAUAUUUUAGAGGUGCCUACAAAAUUUCAGGUCAAUCGGAGUAGUGUAGAAUGAGAAAAGUCGAAAUUACUAUUGCUAUUCUGGUUUUACCCGAAUGUAAGAAUUGCGCCUGUAAUUGGUUGUUUUGGCUUGAAUUGCUUCCGAAUUGGUUGUUGAGGUCUUCUGAUGAAAUUUAUCCCUAUUUCUUAGCUUUCAGCUGGUUUUGGAAUUUCUGGAUUUGGACUUGUAGAGCCUGAGUUAUGAUGUUUCCGCUAGAAUGCGUUUUAGUGAAUCUGUUUUACGUUUCUGAUGUAGUAUCUUGCAUUUUUGACCUGUUUACACUCAAAACUGGAUUGAGUGACCUUCUGUGAUAUUGUAGACCUGUCUUUUAGAUUCGAAAUGGUGGGUCUUGUACCCUCAUCCGAUAAUCGUAGUGAAAUUGGUGCCAUUACCGUAAAAUGAUGACAAAAACUGUUUUUUCAGGGCCAAAGCUAGUUACAUUUCUGAAAUUUCUGGUUUCCUUUAAUGUUUGUAUAUGCUUAUGGAACCCUAUUGGGGUCAUGUGUGGCCUUGGUUUAUGACUCGUUAUCGAGUCUCAUUGUAUUUGUUUGCAUGUUUUAGGACGUGACCGUGGUGCACAACGUUCUUUUGACGGAAGUGCAUGAAACCACAUUUGCGAGCUUGGUGAGUGUACUACUCACUUGUGUGCUAUUAUAUGGCUUUGAUAUUUGAACUUGAGAUGUUGAAUGUUAAUUGAUUGACGUGAGAGUGUACUUUAUCACUCUCACUUAUUGUUUCGCAUGUUAUUGGAAAGUUAUUGGAAUGUUAUAUGAAAUGUUAUAUGAAAUGAAAUACAUGACUUGGUGUCGUUUGGAAGAGUCUCCAACGACUACAAUUGUUAUCCUUGAGCUCAACCCCAUUGGUAAUUGAUUGAAUCGAGCCGGCGAGGGCUUGGUCGUGCCAAUUAAUGUGCCUUGGGGCAAUGUUAUAUGGAAUCUUGUAGUAUGAGAGACUCUCGAUUCCGGUUUACUCGAGUAAUACAACAAUGCAAGUGUUUGGAUUUCGGCCCCGGUUGGGGAAUGUUAGGUGGAAGGAAUGGAAGUAAAGUGGGGUCUACGGUUGGUUAUUUUUGAACAUUGAUGGAGGGUCAAUGACGUUCGAUCAAGAAAUGCAAAUGAGGAAAAGGGCUCUUGAGAGCCAUCUGUAUCCUUUUAUCACCAUAUUUGACGUGUGCCUUUGCUUAUUUUACUAUAUUGAAUGAAAGCUUGAUGCUUAUAUGCAAUUGGUUGCGUAAGUGAUAGUAUCUCACUGGGCAAUUAGCUCACACCGUUCCUUUUGUUUUCCUUACAGGAAUAUGACUCUUUUUGGAAUGAAUCUUGAUAGAUGGUUGUCGAAUGAACUAGAUGUAUAUUUUUUUUUGUAGGGUAUAUGAAGUGAAACCCUAAAUGUAUCUUUAGGGCCGUUUUCACUUUCAAUUUGGCAAAUCGUGUAUAUAUUCACUUUUGACAACUUUUAUAUGUCACUUUGGAUUGUAUUUGCUAAAGUUCAAGAUGUGAAUGUUUGUUCGAUAUUUGGUUGCGUUCUGACAGGUCGGUUACUAUUCAUGACCGACUCCGAAUUUCAUUUUUUUUAUUUUGGAUUAUUUUGCCCUUUUGCCUUGUUUACGUGCGUUUAUAAGUUCCGGAACGCAAUAGAUCGCUCUAAAUUGUACCGUUAGUCCUGGCGAGAGCUGGGCAGGCAGUCCGCUAACCUCUUUGGUUCGCCUUAGGGGAAGGUGGGGCUGUCACACGGACUUCGGUAACCUGAGUUAUUUUAUGCAUAGUGCAGCUAACUAGCCCGAAUGUGAGAUUUUGGUUCUGUAAUUUGAAAUUUUGACCUAGAUACACUACGAACUGGACUGAGUGGUCUUCAUCAAAGUUGUAGGUCUUUGUCUUAGCUUUGAAAUGGUAUCUUUCACACCUUAAACUGAUGACCACAGCUUCUGUUAUAAUUAAAACUAUAAAAGGUAUCAAAACUGUGAAAUGUCCGUUUGCGCCUUUGGGUGUGGACGCGCGACCGUUUUCAUUUCCGCACACGCAUACGUGCAUUUCUCAACUGUUUUUGCCAUUUUGGACCGUUUAGGACUGCUUUUAUUAUUUUGUUACCAUUCCAGCUGUUUCGGCCAAUUUCGACAAUCUUUUGGCCUUAACGUCGUUUUUGACCAUUUUUUAUUAUUUUUGACCGUUUUCAACCAUUUUCAAUCGUUUAAGUUAUAAACUGCUAUUGUAUGACUAUUUCACUUAUGUGUGUAUAUAAUCUAUCAAUACAGACUGUGCGGCUUUUGACGGUGACGGCCAAGCUCAGUGAAUUGUAUCGUUUUUCAUGACAAGCUUUAUCAAGUGAGUAAUUGGGUUGUUUAUUGACGUGAAAUUGUUAAAGGGCUUUGGAUAUAUUGAAUGGGUACUUAGGUGAGGGCAUACUUUAUCUCACUCGACCUAAGCCCAUCCUUUGUUUUGAUUUCAUAUGUGAGAUUACAUGUCUUAUGUUGUGUAUCACCCUUAUGUGAGAUUACUUGAAUUGAACCCCAUUUGCUGUGUGCUGUUUGGGGUAAGUACUUUGUUGUGUACUUUGUUGAGAGAUAUCAUCUAUUGAGAGAUUGAAUAUCUUAGGACUUGGUUCCAGUCCGGUUCCAUAGGUAGACGGACUAUUCGAGCCAGCCGGAGUUUGGUCGAAUUUAGUUCCAUGCUAACCUUGGGAUUUCAUUCUUUGUUAAAACUUUGAUGAAAGCUAAGUGAUUUUGUUUCGCUCGAGCUGCUGUGUGCUGUUGACUGGCCAGCGGGGGUUGAUAAGGUGAACGGGGAAAGUUAUGUGGAGUCUAUGGACUAUGAGUACUUUGGUUGAUGGAGUGUCAACAGGCGUUCAAACUCGGGGAAUUGAACUAGUUUUGGAGCCACUCAUAUCCUACUAUUGUGAUGUUACAUUUCUGAAUUGAUGUGAAAUAUUUGGAUUUAUAUGUUUAUCUGGAUGUGCUUUUACAUUUUUAUCCCAAGUAUUCACUAAGCAUAUAAUUUCCCCGUUCCAUUUGUUUUCCUUAGCAGGGGACCGACGCGGGGAUCGUUCGGGAAGGUGUAUAGACUUUUGGUUAUAGAAUAGUUGACUUUGUACCUGUUAUAAGUUGACUAGUAAGAUAUAUAGAGUUGUCGUGGUGGUUGUAGUUAUCAGCUUUCUAGGGUUUACUUUCUGGAUUCUCUGGUAUUGCUGAAGAUGGUGAACGGCGAUGGUGGAGUUCCUUGGAGAUUAUGGCUUACUGUCUCGCGUAUCAAAUCUUUGGUGCUCGGACGCUAGAUCACUUUCACUCAUGUUUACAGAGAGGCAAAUGCAGUUGCUGAUGCCCUGGCGCGCCUAGCAAGCACCACGCAUGUUUGUCAGUCCUUUCCCCCCUUCCCCCCACGCAUGUUUCAAUUUUCUCUAAUGACAAGCUCCUCAAAGUUAAAUCAAUUUGUAGGAAUUCCUAUGCCAACCAAAACCAUUCCUUCAUUUAGAGGUUUCCUGCUGUUCAAUUGGCCCAAAAUUUUCAAAUUGUUUUCCAAUCAACUGUCAAUGAGUUGAUCGGAUCCAUCAGAUAUGGUAUGGUGCCUACCCUAGAGGAUUGCAUUUUCAUGUUAGGCCUACCCUUGGCAUAAAAGGGUUCCUCCCAUAGGACAUGCAUACCGAUUCUGCAAUUUUGCUUACUAACUCUGGGUAUUUUUUUCCUUUUAUUUUUCCCCCUCCCCCUGCAUUCAUAAAAAUGUUUCAAUAAGGUAAAAAUAUUUUUUCUAUAUCUGAUAACAAUUUUUGAUCCGGAAAGUGUGAAAAGUAUUACUUGACUCUUGGGCAGACCCUACGAUGAAAACAUGAAAGAUCUAUUUGGAAGCGUUAGGCUAAAGCCUCUAAGAAAUUUCAUAAUUGUUUUUCAAAGGAAAAUUCUGUAUAGUUGACUUGUUAAUACAUUUUUGGCCCAAAAGAAAAGGAGACAAAAAGUGUAUAUAUGUGGAGCUCUUUAGAAGUUUUUCUCUUCUCAUUUGUAUUAUAAUUGAACGAGAAAUUUUGUUUUAAACUUUUUCAGCAAUAAAAUUUUUUUGGAUAAUUAUUAUAUUCAUGUACAUUUCAUUCUUUUGCUCAUCGAAGAUUUCAUGAUGAAUUUUGGGAAAUAAAGCUAAAUUGAGAUUUCCUCAACCUCCAGCCCGAAUUUUCACGAGUGUAUGCUUUCUAAAAUCCUUACGUACACUCAAUUGGUGAUCCGAGCUAUACAAUAAGAGUGCUCAGAAUUUUUUUUAAAAAAAAAAAAAAAAAGAAGGUGUGCGGUCACUCAAAAGGCCCAAUGAGAUACCUUUUCUCCUUCACUUAACCCCAAAAUAAAAUCAGUCACAUUGAUUGAUCAAUUGCAAAUUGGGGCAAUCUUUGCUCGAGAAAUGCCCACUGUGCCUAAUUUACAUCUAAGUGAAAGCAAAAAUGUGCGUUAUUCUUGUUUGUUUUGAAAAUUUGGAAUGAUACUUUGAGCGUUCGUUUCUCUACCCAUACAGAUUUUAUCAUUUGCUCUCCCAUUUGAGCCUUUGAAAGAAUAAUUUCGUUUCAAAUAAGAGCCUUAAUGAUCACUACCCUACAUUGGAAAAUUUUCAAAUAUCAAAAGGAAAUGGAUUUUCAAUGAGCGAUUCAUUACUUUGGUUGUCAUGAAGCAUAAGAAUGAUACUUUGCCCAUCGUUUCUACAAUCUAAACACUGUUUUACACCUUGCAUCCUCAUUUGAGCUAAAAUCGGUGGUUCUUUUCAAAGCACCUAUGAUCGUACCCCACAUUGGGGAAGGAGAUUGGAGAAUUUUCCCAAAAAGGAGAAAAAGCAAAAUGCUAAAAUUAAAAGAAAGAGAGAACCCCGAAUGGGAAAAUUUAUUCUACCUGGGCUUCAAUUUUGAAAAAAAAAAGAGAAAAGAAAAAAGAGAAAGAGAAAAGAAAGAAAAGUUGUCUGGCGGAUCCUCUAUGUUUCACGGAUAUAGAUGAACGGAAGUCAUCCUCGAUUAAUUGAUUCAGAUGCAUGCAAAAAAUUUUGUAUUAAUGAAAAUUUUCCUUUCAGAGUUAAUGUAAGGAACGGAUUAAAAGUCAGGCCCUCUUCUUUUCCAAUCAAACAUUUUAUCCCUAGUUAUCCCUUUUGAGCCUUCAGAAUAAAUUACUUCGUUUGGCAACCUCUGAGAAUCGCAAACCCCACACUGGGGCAAGUUUCAGUUAAAAAAGAAGAAAGGUCUUAAAAGGUGAAAAGUGAUAAGGCAAAAAAAUCAAAAGACAAAGAAAGAAAAGAGAACCUCAGUUGAACAUGAACUGGGGCAAAUUUUGAAAAGUUCAAAAGAAUGGCAGAACGCCAAAAAGAAAAAAAAAAGAGAAAAAUGAAAGAAGAAGACCCUCAAUUGAGAAUAAACUGGGGUGAGUUCUGAUUUAAUCCUAAAAAGAGGGCUGUUACAAUAAUGCGAUCUCAGAUCAUUUAAACCACUUUUGAAAAUCUGCUUUCAAACCUUAACUUUUCUAAGCACCCUACCAAACCCCAUUACAAAAGCCGAAAGUCCUGACUUCUGUUUCUUUGCAAUAUCUCUGUCAAGAAAAUUUCUAAUUGGCAAGUGAUGCUUGUAUACUGAUGCCAGAAUUUUUUUAAAUGUAUUUCUGAAUUGAUUAGCUGUGAAGUUGACAGUACUCAUCAUCUGAAAAUCCGCCAGGGCACCUUUGAAAAGAAAGGAAAAGCAAAAAGCAAAAAAAAUAAAUGCAAAGGAAAUGGGAAUGAUCUGAUAGUCCCUGUUAAGUGAUGACGAAAGUCACCAAAUCUAAGAUCUUUAAGUUCAAAAUAGAAGCAAUUUUGGGAAAAUGCGAUCUACGGUGCAAUGUCUUUGAAAGUCUUAUGCUUUAAACUAUCGUUUUCAAGCCGCAUUACAAGUACAUAAAGUCCAUCGUUGACUUAUCCCUCAUGACAAUUCGAAGUAAGGAUUAUGCUUCCGAGGAAUCCCUCAAUCAUUCGGGAUCAUAAGGUUAUAACCUGUUGUUACAUAUUUAGCUAUCGUUUCCACCCAUAUGUUACAAGCUUUUAAAGCUUAUAUGUUGACUAAGUUUUCUUAAGAAAUAGGGGUGACAAACUAUUUGUUUUCACUAAGAUGUGAUAUUGAAUGGAUUACAUACCAUUGGCCACAAGAAUAAGACAGAUCCCGACCUCCAAUUUUCCUUAGUCAUCUCAAAAUCAGAAAUAAUACCCACUUGAUUGGUCCUGAAAGAAGAGCUAACAAGAAGUGGUGACCCAUUACCCUAAGCAUCAAUGCUAAAGUGAGGAAGGAAUCACUUGUAAUUUGGUAUUAUUUUGAGAAAUUCAUCAUGAAAUUUUCUGUUAGGAAGCAUAGUUUCUUACUUUGUUCAAAUAAAUGGAGAGUCAUCCAAACAAAUUUUUGCAAUUAAAUGGUCCCACACUGGGGCAAAUUUUCAUUUGAAAGAUUUUGCAAAAGGAGCCUACACUGCGGCAAGUUUUUAUUUGUGAGAUUUCGUAAAAUGGGCCCACACUGGGGCAAUUUUUUUGUAAUACAUUUGAGGUUUUCGUCUAAAAAUCAAAUAAUACAUUUUCAAAUCAAUCACGCUGCUCUUUUCAUGAAAUUUAAGUGCAUGUCAUACUUUGGUAAGCCCCUUGUGCAGGUAUUUAUGGCUGAAAUCGACAAAAAAACAUCUGGUGAUGUGGAAGGCUGAUGCCGAAGAAAGAGAAGAAAGAGGAAGCAGGGCCCGACACUAGGGCAAAUUAUUUUUGAAGAGAUUCUCUCAAACAAAAAUCCAAAAAAAAAAAAUUCAGAAAGGUCAAAAAUCAAAAAUCAAGUUUAAUUUCUUGUUUCUUGACAAAUCAAAUUCAAUUUCUUGUUCACAAUGAACGUUAGGACCGGGUUCCAUCCCGCCAACCUCGUCAGGACCGGGUUUUAUCCCGCUGACCAAUGAACUUUGGGACCGGGUUUCAUCCCGCCAACCUCGUCAGGACCGAGUUUUAUCCCGCUGACCAAUGAACGUUGGGAUCGGGUUCUAUCCCGCCAACCUCGUCAGGACCGGAUUUUAUCCUGCUGACUAAUGAACUUUGGGAUCGGGUUUCAUCCCACCAACCUCGUCAGGACCGGAUUUUAUCCCGCCAACCAAUGAACGUUAGGACCGGGUUCCAUCCCACCAACCUCGUCAGGAUCGGGUUUUAUCCCGCUGACCAAUGAACUUUGGGACCGGGUUCCAUCCCGCCAACCUCGUCAGGACCGGGUUUUAUCCCGCUGACCAAUGAACGUUGGGAUCGGGUUCCAUCCCACCAACCUCGUCAGGAUCGGAUUUUAUCCCGCUGACCAAUGAACGUUAGGACCGGAUUCCAUCCCGCCAACCUCGUCAGGACCGGAUUUUAUCCCGCUGACCAAUGAACAUUAGGACCGGGUUUUAUCCCGCCAACCUCGGCAAGACCGGGUUUUAUCCCGCUGACCGCUUAUAUCACGUUGGCAUCGGGUUUUAUCCCGCCAACCUCGGCAGGACUGGAUUUUAUCCUACUGACCGUUCAUACCUCGUUGGGUUCGGGCCUAAUCCCACCGACCAAUUAUCAAGGUAGGCUCAGGUUUAAUCCCAUUGACCGAUUCUCGAGACAGACUCGGGUUUAAUCCCACUGACCAAUUCAUCACACUGGAGCAAAUCUUUGGAUAAUUUUUCGAGUAAGUCUUAUGCAGUUUUUUCACACAUACCAGCAUUUUAUUUAUCAUUGCCACUAGCCGUUGGGUCAGUCCCACUAAUGAGCUUUUCAUUUACACUGCCACUAGCCGUUGGAUCAGUCCCACUAGUGAACCUUUUAUUUUACACUACCACUAGCCGUUGGGUCAGUCCCACUAGUGAGCCACUAGUGAGCCUUUCAUUUUGCACCGCCACUAGCCAUGGGUCAAUCCUAUUAAUGUGCAUUCCGAUUUUUUAAAUUUUGUUCGGGUCAGUCCCGUGAUUUUAAGUUUUGUUCGGGUUAGUCCCAUGAUUUUAAAUUUUGUUCGGGUCAGCCCCAUGAUUUAAACUUUUUGUUCGGGUCAGUCCCAUGAUUUUAAUUUUGUUCGGGUCAGUCCCAUGAUUUAAAGUUUGUUCGGGUCAGUCCCAUGAUUUUAAUUUUGUUCGGGUCAGUCCCAUGAUUAAAUUUGUUCGGGCCAGUCCCAUGAUUUUAAAUUUUGUUCGGGCCAGUCCCAUGAUUUUAAUUUUGUUCGAGUCAGUCCCAUGAUUUUAAGUUUGUUCGGGUCAGUCCCAUGAUUUUAAGUGAUUUUAAGUUUUGUUCGGGUCAGUCCCAUGAUUUUUAGUUUUUUUCGGGUCAGUCCCAUGAUUUAAACUUUUUGUUCGGGUCAGUCCCAUGAUUUUAAUUUUGUUCGGGUUAGUCCCAUGAUUUUAAAUUUUCGGUUCGGGUCAGUCCCGAUUUUAAUUUUCUGUUUGGGUCAGUCUCGAUUUUAAAUUUCUCGUUUGGGUCAGUCCCAUUUUAAAAUUUUUUUGUCAAAGGAGUCAGUCCCCAUUUUUAUAGCAUCAGUCGCUUGAGUCGUUUGCAGCCGAAUAACGCAGGUAAGUAUUUGGUGUCUACGUCUUUGUCUCAAGUUUCUUCGAAACUCAGACAAAGAGGGGCAAACUAUAGACACCAAAAUUUUGAUUUUUUAAUUUUAUUGGUUUAAUUAAUUUAAUUUUUUGCUUUAUUUGUUUCAAUUCUAGGGUUUUUAUUUUAUUUUAUUUUUAUUUUAUUAUCCAUUUUGCUCAUUAGUCUUUUAACUUUUAUUUUAAAGUUUUUAGUAUUAAACUUUAUCGAAAAAAGAAAAAAGAGAAAUAAGAAAAUAUGCAAAAUAUAAUAAGGGAAAUGUGUAAAAUAGGUGAAAAUUUGCAUGCUAGACAAGUGGAGAAUAUACAAUAGGAUAAGUGUCCCUUUUAUAUUGGGACAUGUGAGACCCCGAAAAAUUUCUUAUUUUUCAGGCAUUUAUUUUGGGCUUUUGGGCCUAAUUUUUAGGGUUUUCUUUUGUCUGUGGGUUUUCUGGGGAAUUUUAUGAGAAAAUAUGAAUUUGGCAUCAUUUUCUGGGAUUAGGUCAAUUUCUGUGCUAUUAAGGGUGUACAGUGGUUGCGGGACCCACUAAGACGAUCGGUACGGUAAAAUGUAGCUUUUGUAAAAUUUUAUAUACAGAGUGUUUAUUAUCUUGGGUUAUGAGUUAAUUAUAGGUUAGUUGGUCUAAUUAAGUAAUGUAAGACAAUAGGAAGGGAUAAGCUUGAAAGGCCACAUGUCACAUUUUCAUUGGAGGUUGAAUUUUGACUUGUCUUACACCUUUACUAAAAUAAAUUUUGACCAAAAUUCUUCAUCAUUUCCAUCAUCUUGGCCGGCCAACUAGAGAGAAAAAAAGAAAGAAAGCUCUUCAACUCUUGCUUCAUUUUCUUGCCCAAAUCUUGGAAUUUAACCAUUAAUCUUCCAAAUCUCUCCAUAAAACCUUCUUGCUAGGAGUGUUUGAAGUGUUUGGUGGUUUUUGUUUGAAAGGAAAAGCUCUCAUCUACCUUGUAUCAAGAAAUUGUAAGGUGAGUAAAUAUGGAAUUGUUUCUUUGUUGGAUGUAGGAUGAAAUUGAUAAGUGUUAGUGGUUAAAGAUGUAAUUUUGUGGGUUAUUUCAUGACUUAUAGAUGAGUUGUGAUAAUUUUCUAUUUAUUGGGGAAUUUUCUGUUUUAUAUGGUUUCUCAUGAUUAACUAGGAUGUGAUGGUAUUGUAUUGAAUGAUUUAGAGCCUAUUUGUGGUAAUGGUAGUUAAUUGUGGAAAAUUUCAGCAUUUGUGAGAAAAUUUCGAUUGUAGGGUUUGAUGAAAUUGGGGCUUUUCCAUGUAUGGUUUUCAUGUUAGCAAUUGAUGUGUAUAUGAUUGUAUUGUGAUUCAAAUGGGGUGAAUGGACUAGUUUAAGAACCAUAAGUGUAAUGGUAUAAGUUGGGUGUUGUUCACUAGGUUGGAAAUGUGAAGAAAUUAAGGGGAAAUGCCGCCCAAUUGGUUGGAAAUAUGGGUGGUCUUGAAUUGAGAAGGAUUUGAAUAGAAAUGGAAGAAUUGGGGAGUUUGUUCACAUUCCACACUUUCGUUGCUCCAUUUUUAUUUUGAGUAACUUGUGUUAGUAGGAUAAACUUAUACGUUGACUCGUGUUUGAGUCUCAAAUAUGUUUUCUUGCUUGUUUUAGGUCGUACCGGUGGACCGGGACCUACUCCUGACUCGAACGUGUGAUUUACUUGAUUACUUGGUGAGUGUAUCAUUAAAUGGUUGAAUGCACUUGAUAUGUGACUUGUAUGGCUUGAAUAGGUCAAGGGUGUACUUUAUCGCUUUUGACCACUUACUGGCAUUAUUGUUACUGUUAGACUGUGAAAUUUCAUGUAUAUAUGUGGUUUGAUAUUUGCUAGGGCCAUGCCCUAUUAUUACUGUGAAAACUGAGCUCUUUCCCUUAGGCCGUUAUUCGAGUCGAGCCGGCUAGGGCUUGGGCGAAUCGUUAACGUGCCUUUGGGUCACUGAUAGUCGAGUGGAGUAUUCACUCCUCGACCUUAUGGUAUACUCGAGUAUUACCUUUUGUAACUGUGAGGUGUGCGGGCCCGGUAAGGGUGUGAUUGGUGGAAGGAAAUGGUGUAAAGAGGUGCCUACGGUUCUUGGUUUUCUCCAAUGGUUGACGGAGUGUCAACGGAUAUAAUCAAGUAUGGAAAUCGGAAAAUGGCCCUUGAGGGCCGACUGUAUCCUUUUAUAGAUGAUUGAUUGAAUGAAGACACUUGCGCAUAUGUAUUUGUUAGCAUGCUUCAUUAUUUGUGAAUUUGGUACCUCACGAGCGUAAGCUCACCCCCGUCGUUUUGUUUUCCUUACAGGGAUACUGUGGGACCCAAGUUUUGAGAAAUAUGGGUUGAGCUAGUUAUGUAACUAGUUUUGAAUAGCUCCUCGUACACUCGAAAACUUUGAUGUAUUUGAAUUCAAGUACUUUUGAAGUGUAUAAUUGAACCUUUCUUAUGUAUAUAUGGCAUGUAUAUAUGGCUUUAUCAAGUCUUGGAUAAACUGCAUUAUGUAUUUGAUGGGUUUAUGUGAGUAUCGGCUGCGAACGAAGGAAGAAAGGAUUUUGGCAAAAACACUGCCCAGAAUCCGGCCAAGAAUCCGGCCAGUUUCUGGCCGGAUACAAGGCUGGAUAUGCAGGGGAGAAAGAAAAAAAAAUUUGGUUUUUGGCUACUGGCCACAAUCCGGCCAGAGCAAUCCGGCCAACUUCCGGCCGGAUUAUCGGCCGGAUUGACAGGGGAAUUUCGACCCCUUUUGGGUUGGCCACUGCCUCAUAUCCGGCCAAGAAUCCGGCCGGAUAUCCGGCCAGAUUCUGGCCGGAUAGUGACGUGGCCGGUUACUGUUCAUCAGCGGCAAAUUUUCGUUUUUCGUCUUCUUGUCCGAUUGAAGUGCUCGAGCGCUAUACGUUCUUGUGUAGUGAUAUUAUGGUUUUAAGAAUACCUUAUUGGGAUAAAUCAUUCAUUUUGUCAAGUUUCCCUUUUUAUUAUUCAAAUGCGAUUUGAUUGCUUGCGACCCGUAGUCCCGGCGAGAGCUGGGCAGGCGGUUCGUCAACCCCUCUGGUUCGCCUUAGGGGGGGAUGGGUCGUCACAAGUGGUAUCAGAGCCUAGGUUUAGAUUAACCUGGGCAUGUUAGAAAUUUAUGGACUUGGGACUUGUAUUUGAUUGUUUUCCUAAGGGUGUUUGAGUUUAAUUACGCUUUCGUGUAGGAUGGACGCGCAUAGUGAAUCUAGUGAGACACCGACCGUGGAGCAGGGCCGUGGAGUACUUCCGUUGAUUAAGUAUCAGAUUCGGCCGAGAGGAUCAACUGUACGCUGGAGUCCGGCUAGUCGCCUCCGGCGUUGUGAGUGCCGCCAUAGGUUUGCCUGCCCCAAUACCCUCGUGUUGGCUGUGGACAAAGAAAGGAAGGAGUUAGCCAAGGAUUAUGCAAGGCUUGAAGCCGAAACAAACCAAUUGAGAGAGGCUAACAAGAGGCAAGCUGAGCGGAUUAAGGAGUUGGAGUAUGACCUGGUUGAAGGUCAAGAUAGGGUGGACGACUUGUGUACGCAACUUGGGGAGAUGCGCGAAUGUAUGGUCAAGCGGGCGAGGCAACUGAAGGAGAGGGCCGGAUCAAUGCUAAACCUAUGUGAUGACCUAUUAGGGGACGAGGGUGACGAGGGCUCUAGUGUAGGAGGCGGGGUUGGAAGUGAACCCGCCCAAGCGAGUAGGUCCUCUAGUCCCACGGUAGGCUAGGGCUUGGCUUUUAUGCUAUUUUGGGAAUUUUUGACUCUUGUAUAUAUAAGGGAUACGGAAUGGUAGGCCGGGAAGGACCCUUAGCUAGUCGCGUUGUAUAUUGGACUAGUUUUGUAUAUAUUACUUUUGUAUUGCCAUUCCGUAAGAGGCUUUCCCUGUUUGUACUUGACUGACUAUUUGGUAUAAAUGUUUGAUCUUGUUGUGAAUGCUAUGAAUAUGUGUUAUGUGCCUAAGUGUUUUAUGAAGUCAUUGUUGGGCUGAGUGUUCAUGUUUAUUGUUAUAUACAGGGGGUGUACACUUUUAUAUUAAUGCUAUAUUUAUGUGCAUAUUUUGACCCUAGAUUGACCUAGGACGAUGAAAGGUACGCGUGGUGGCCGAGGUAGAGGACGUGGGGGUAGACAGCCCACGACUGAACAGGGUACGAGAACUGAAUUGCCCGAACCAAUUCCUGAACCCCAAAUCGAUCCUAAUGUGCAAGUAGCCGCUGCUAUCCAGCGGAUGACUGAUCUCCUGGCCCAGGUGGUGCAGCAACAGGGCCCCAACCCUAAUCCACCCGUCGGCAACCCUGAAAACCCUGGAAAUCAUGUCGAGAGCGAAGAUCGAGCUCUCGAACGAUUCCAAAAAUUUUCUCCACCUAAAUUUCUUGGAGGACCCGAUCCGGACGUGGCGGAACAAUGGUUGGAGAAGAUGAUAGACAUUUUUGCCGCCCUACGUUACUCGGAGGAGAGGCAAAUUACUUUUGUGGUUUUUCAACUCGAAGGGGCCGCUCACUCUUGGUGGAGCAUUAUUCGGACAAAAUGGGAGCGAGAGCAGACACCGAGGACAUGGACGAAUUUUGUACGGGAAUUCAAUGCCAAGUACUUUCCGCCAUUGGUUCAGGAGAAAAAGGAGGACGAAUUUAUUCGUCUACGCCAAGGCACGCAAUCGGUGGCUGAAUAUGAGAGCCAAUUCACACGCUUGUCCAAGUUUGCCCCUGAGCUCAUUUUGACGGAGCAAAGGAGGGCGAGACGUUUCCUUCAGGGGCUUAAUGUGGAAAUCCAAAAGGAUUUGGCCGUAGCCCAAAUCACCACUUUCAGUGAUGCUGUUGAGAAGGCAUUACGAUCCGAGAACGCAAGGCUUCAGGUGAGGAAUUUCCAGAAUAGGAAGGGUGGAGCUGCUGGGAGUAGCUCAACUCAAGGGGAUAAGAGUACCCCUCCUAAAUUUGGAAGGGGAGUUGGAGGGGGACGGUUUGCGAGUCCGGCCAGAGGGGCUCCCUCUCGAGGAAGCCAACCCGGACGAGGCCAGCAGAGGAGUGCCUCACAAGGGAGUUCCGCUACUGUUACGCGGGGGCCGUGCGGCUUUAGUGGGAAACCAAACCACACGGAGGACGACUGCUGGAGGAAACAGAAUAAGUGCUUACGCUGCGGGAGUGCAGAGCACCGGCUCGCCAGUUGACCAGUUCAAGCCCGAGACGUGAAAGGAACUACACCGACAUCCAAGGCUACCUCAAGUCAAUCACGAGUAGAGACUGUCAAGCCGAAGGUGCCCGCACGUGUGUACUCCAUUGAACAACGGCCAGUUCCUGACUCAGCCGAGGUAGUGGAAGGUACGAUUCCUGUCUUCCACCGCCUAGCUAGAAUUUUGAUAGACCCUGGAGCCACCCAUUCCUUUGUUAACCCCGAGUUUAUGUGUGGAAUUGAUAUAAACCCUGUCACUCUUCCUUAUGAGCUGGAAGUUAGUACUGCUACGGGGGACCAAUGCUUGAUUUCUAGCAAAAUGUAUACAAAUUGUGAGAUCUGGGUUGGUGAGCGGAAGUUAUUGGGGAAUUUGAUAAGUUUAGCCAUAAAGGGAUACGACGUGAUGUUAGGCAUGGAUUGGUUGGCUCGAUACGAUGCCCAACUGGAUUGUAAGAGGAAAAUAGUUGAAUUUCGUAUUCCUGGGGAGGCAACUUUGAUGUUAGAUGUGAGGGGUAGUCUAGCCUCAUCUGCUAUGAUAUCGGGUAUUCGAGCUAGGAAAUUAUUGAGUAGAGGGGCGCAAGGGUUCCUAGCUUUUCUUAUAAACACUCCUGCCGACAAACUGAAAAUAGAAGAUGUUCCAGUAGUGAGUGAAUACCCUGAUGUCUUUCCUGACGAGUUAGUAAAUCUGCCUCCAGAAAGAGAAAUUGAAUUUGAAGUUAAUCUUCUUCCAGGGACUUCCCCUAUUUCCAAAACUCCUUACCAAAUGGCACCUGCGGAGCUCAAAGAGUUGAAAUUUCAGUUACAAGACCUUCUAGAGCGGGGUUUCAUUCACGAGAGCGGAUCACCUUGGGGGGCACCUGUUCUCUUUGUUAAGAAGAAGGACGGAACCUUGAGAUUAUGUAUCGACUACCGAGGGUUGAACAAUGUGACCAUUAAGAAUAAGUAUCCGCUACCCCACAUCGAUGAGUUGUUUGAUCAAUUACAUGGUGCGGUGGUCUUCUCAAAGUUAGAUCUUCGACAGGGGGUAUUACCAACUGUUAAUUAGAAAGGAAGAUGUGCCUAAAACCGCCUUCAAUUCUCGGUAUGGGCACUACGAAUUUGUCGUGAUGCCUUUUGGACUGACCAAUGCCCCUGCUGCUUUCAUGGACCUCAUGCAUAGAAUUUUCAAACCUUAUCUCGACCGAUUUGUCGUUGUUUUUAUUGAUGACAUAUUGGUUUAUUCAAAAACCCGUGAGGAGCAUGAACAACAUUUGAAAGAGGUCAUACAAACCCUGAGGGAGCACCAGUUGUAUGCUAAGUUUAGCAAAUGUGAGUUUUGGCUAGAAAGGGUUUCUUUUCUGGGGCAUGUGAUUUCAAAGAAAGGGAUUGCUGUGGAUCCGGCCAAGGUAGAGGCGGUAACUGAGUGGAAGAGACCCGAUAACCCUACUGAGAUCCGGAGUUUUCUAGGGUUGGCAGGUUAUUACCGGCGAUUUAUCAAAGAUUUUUCGAAACUUGCCAGUCCCUUAACCGAUCUAACAAAAAAUGGUGGACGAUUUCUGUGGAGUGAUAAGUGUGAAACCAGCUUUCAAGAGCUGAAGCAGAGAUUGACUAUGGCCCCUAUUCUAGUUUUACCUAACGGUCCGGAUGGUUUUACUGUUUACACUGACGCCUCCAAAGAAGGUUUGGGGUGCGUAUUGAUGCAACACCAAAAUGUGAUAGCUUACGCUUCCAGGAAAUUGAAAACUCAUGAGCAAAACUAUCCCAUUCAUGACCUAGAACUGGCCGCAGUUGUCUUCGCUCUGAAAAAGUGGAGACACUAUCUGUACGGAGUGACUUUUGAAGUUUAUUCUGACCAUAAGAGCCUCAGAUACCUCUUUUCCCAGAAGGAGUUGAACAUGAGACAACGCCGUUGGAUGGAAUUCUUGGAGGAUUACGAUUAAACUAUUAACUACCAUCCUGGUAAGGCUAAUGUGGUAGCCGAUGCCUUAAGUCGAAAGGCUCAAACUUCUGGAUUGAUGGUGAAGGAGUGGGAAUUAUUGGGAGCUGUUGGAGAAUGGAAUCCAAAGCUAGAGCAUAAUAGAAUAAUCUUUGGGAAUAUCCGAGUGACGUCCGUAUUUUUAGAAAAGAUCAAGGAAGCUCAAACUAAAGAUCCGACAGUUCAAAUGUGGGUAGAAAAGGUGAAGAAAAGAGAAAUUUCCGAUUUUAAUUUGAGCUCUGAAGGGAUUUUAAGAUUUCGAAAUCGAAUAGUGGUACCCAAUGAUGAAACUUUGAGAAGGGAAAUUUUGGAGGAAGCUCAUCGAUCUAAGUAUACAAUCCAUCCAAGAAGUAACAAGAUGUAUCAUGACUUGCGACGAUUGUACUGGUGGGACCGGAUGAAGAGAGAGAUAGCUCAGUACGUACAAACCUGUUUAGUAUGCCAGCAAGUUAAGGCUGAGCACCAGAACCCUUCGGGACUACUACAGCCUUUGGAGAUUCCCGAAUGGAAAUGGGAACAUAUCACCAUGGACUUCGUUUCUGGACUACCUAGAACUCAAAAAGGACAUGAUGCCGUUUGGGUGAUCGUUGAUCGAUUGACCAAGUCGGCUCAUUUCCUACCUGUGAAUAUGAAGUAUUCCAUGGAUAAGUUAGCUCAGGUAUAUUUGGAGGAGAUUGUGAGACUGCAUGGAGUGCCUGUGAGCAUCGUUUCCGAUCGAGACCCUCGUUUUGUGUCCAAAUUUUGGCAAAAGUUUCAGGAGACCUUGGGGACGAAGCUGAACUUAAGUACUACCUAUCAUCCUCAGACGGAUGGGCAGUCGGAGCGAACGAUUCAGACCCUCGAACAUAUGUUACGAACGAGUAUUCUAGAUUUCGGGGGUAAUUGGGGACAACAUAUGACAUUAGUAGAGUUCGCCUACAAUAACAGCUACCACUCAUCAAUCCAAAUGGCACCGUACGAAACCCUUUAUGGACGAAAGUGCCGUUCACCGAUAUACUGGGAUGAAGUGGGAGAGAAGAAGAUCCUAGACCCUACUAUCAUUCCUUGGAUGGAGGAUGCUCAAGAAAAGAUCAAGUUAAUCCGUCAAAGACUCCAGACAGCCCAAAGUCGCCAGAAGAGCUACGCCGAUAACCGAAGGAAAGACUUGGAAUUUGAAGUGGGAGACCAUGUAUUCCUUAAGAUUACACCAUUGCGGAGCAUCACUGCUGGCAGAGGAAAGAAACUCCAACCUAGAUUCAUAGGACCGUUUCCGAUCCUUCAACGGGUUGGAAAAGUAGCAUACCGGCUUGAAUUGCCGCCGAGCUUGUCACGGAUUCACGAUGUAUUUCAUGUAUCGAUGCUCAAAAAGUAUUACCCUGAUCCAACCCACAUUGUCCAGCCGGAAGAGAUUGAAAUUGAUGAGGCCCUUACUUACGAAGAAAAACCUGUACAAGUGCUUGAUAGGAAAAUUAAGGAGUUGAGGAAUAAGCAAAUUCCACUGGUGAAAGUGCUGUGGAAGAACCACGGAGUCGAGGAGGCAACCUGGGAGAUGGAGAAUGAGAUGAAAACCAAAUAUCCCGAACUGUUUAGUGAUUCAGGUGAGAAAUUUCGAGGACGAAAUUCUUUAAGGGGGAGAGAGUGUGAGACCGCGAAAAAUUUCUUAUUUUUCAGGCAUUUAUUUUGGGCUUUUGGGCCUAAUUUUUAGGGUUUUCUUUUGUCUGUGGGUUUUCUGGGAAAUUUUAUGAGAAAAUAUGAAUUUGGCAUCAUUUUCUGGGAUUAGGUCAAUUUCUGUGCUAUUAAGGGUGUACAGUGGUUGCGGGACCCACUAAGACGAUCGGUACUGUAAAAUGUAGCUUUUGGAAAAUUUUAUAUACAGAGUGUUUAUUAUCUUGGGUUAUGAGUUAAUUAGAGGUUAGUUGGUCUAAUUAAGUAAUGUAAGACAAUAGGAAGGGAUAAGCUUGAAAGGCCACAUGUCACAUUUUCAUUGGAGGUUGAAUUUUGACUUGUCUUACACCUUUACUAAAAUAAAUUUUGACCAAAAUUCUUCAUCAUUUCCAUCAUCUUGGCCGGCCAACUAGAGAGAAAAAAAGAAAGAAAGCUCUUCAACUAUUGCUUCAUUUUCUUGCCCAAAUCUUGGAAUUUAACCAUUAAUCUUCCAAAUCUCUCCAUAAAACCUUCUUGCUAAGAGUGCUUGAAGUGUUUGGUGGUUUUUGUUUGAAAGGAAAAGCUCUCAUCUACCUUGUAUCAAGAAAUUGUAAGGUGAGUAAAUAUGGAAUUGUUUCUUUGUUGGAUGUAGGAUGAAAUUGAUAAGUGUUAGUGGUUAAAGAUGCAAUUUUGUGGGUUAUUUCAUGACUUAUAGAUGAGUUGUGAUAAUUUUCUAUUUAUUGGGGAAUUUUCUGUUUUAUAUGGUUUCUCAUGAUUAACUAGGAUGUGAUGGUAUUGUAUUGAAUGAUUUAGAGCCUAUUUGUGGUAAUGGUAGUUAAUUGUGGAAAAUUUCAGCAUUUGUGAGAAAAUUUCGAUUGUAGGGUUUGAUGAAAUUGGGGCUUUUCCAUGUAUGGUUUUCAUGUUAGCAAUUGAUGUGUAUAUGAUUGUAUUGUGAUUCAAAUGGGGUGAAUGGACUAGUUUAAGAACCAUAAGUGUAAUGGUAUAAGUUGGGUGUUGUUCACUAGGUUGGAAAUGUGAAGAAAUUAAGGGGAAAUGCCGCCCAAUUGGUUGGAAAUAUGGGUGGUCUUGAAUUGAGAAGGAUUUGAAUAGAAAUGGAAGAAUUGGGGAGUUUGUUCACAUUCCACACUUUCGUUGCUCCAUUUUUAUUUUGAGUAACUUGUGUUAGUAGGAUAAACUUAUACGUUGACUCGUGUUUGAGUCUCAAAUAUGUUUUCUUGCUUGUUUUAGGUCGUACCGGUGGACCGGGACCUACUCCUGACUCGAACGUGUGAUUUACUUGAUUACUUGGUGAGUGUAUCAUUAAAUGGUUGAAUGCACUUGAUAUGUGACUUGUAUGGCUUGAAUAGGUCAAGGGUGUACUUUAUCGCUUUUGACCACUUACUGGCAUUAUUGUUACUGUUAGACUGUGAAAUUUCAUGUAUAUAUGUGGUUUGAUAUUUGCUAGGGCCAUGCCCUAUUAUUACUGUGAAAACUGAGCUCUUUCCCUUAGGCCGUUAUUCGAGUCGAGCCGGCUAGGGCUUGGGCGAAUCGUUAACGUGCCUUUGGGUCACUGAUAGUCGAGUGGAGUAUUCACUCCUCGACCUUAUGGUAUACUCGAGUAUUACCUUUUGUAACUGUGAGGUGUGCGGGCCCGGUAAGGGUGUGAUUGGUGGAAGGAAAUGGUGUAAAGAGGUGCCUACGGUUCUUGGUUUUCUCCAAUGGUUGACGGAGUGUCAACGGAUAUAAUCAAGUAUGGAAAUCGGAAAAUGGCCCUUGAGGGCCGACUGUAUCCUUUUAUAGAUGAUUGAUUGAAUGAAGACACUUGCGCAUAUGUAUUUGUUAGCAUGCUUCAUUAUUUGUGAAUUUGGUACCUCACGAGCGUAAGCUCACCCCCGUCGUUUUGUUUUCCUUACAGGGAUACUGUGGGACCCAAGUUUUGAGAAAUAUGGGUUGAGCUAGUUAUGUAACUAGUUUUGAAUAGCUCCUCGUACACUCGAAAACUUUGAUGUAUUUGAAUUCAAGUACUUUUGAAGUGUAUAAUUGAACCUUUCUUAUGUAUAUAUGGCUUUAUCAAGUCUUGGAUAAACUGCAUUAUGUAUUUGAUGGGUUUAUGUGAGUAUCGGCUGCGAACGAAGGAAGAAAGGAUUUUGGCAAAAACACUGCCCAGAAUCCGGCCAAGAAUCCGGCCAGUUUCUGGCCGGAUACAAGGCUGGAUAUGCAGGGGAGAAAGAAAAAAAAAUUUGGUUUUUGGCUACUGGCCACAAUCCGGCCAGAGCAAUCCGGCCAACUUCCGGCCGGAUUAUCGGCCGGAUUGACAGGGGAAUUUCGACCCCUUUUGGGUUGGCCACUGCCUCAUAUCCGGCCAAGAAUCCGGCCGGAUAUCCAGCCAGAUUCUGGCCGGAUAGUGACGUGGCCGGUUACUGUUCAUCAGCGGCAAAUUUUCGUUUUUCGUCUUCUUGUCCGAUUGAAGUGCUCGAGCGCUAUACGUUCUUGUGUAGUGAUAUUAUGGUUUUAAGAAUACCUUAUUGGGAUAAAUCACUCAUUUUGUCAAGUUUCCCUUUUUAUUAUUCAAAUGCGAUUUGAUUGCUUGCGACCCGUAGUCCCGGCGAGAGCUGGCUAGGCGGUCCGUCAACCCCUCUGGUUCGCCUUAGGGGGGGAUGGGUCGUCACAAGUGGUAUCAGAGCCUAGGUUUAGAUUAACCUGGGCAUGUUAGAAAUUUCUGGACUUGGGACUUGUAUUUGAUUGUUUUCCUAAGGGUGUUUGAGUUUAAUUAUGCUUUCGUGUAGGAUGGACGCGCAUAGUGAAUCUAGUGAGACACCGACCGUGGAGCAGGGCCGUGGAGUACUUCCGUUGAUUAAGUACCAGAUUCGGCCGAGAGGGUCAACUGUACGCUGGAGUCCGGCUAGUCGCCUCCGGCGUUGUGAGUGCCGCCAUAGGUUUGCCUGCCCCAAUACCCUCGUGUUGGCUGUGGACAAAGAAAGGAAGGAGUUAGCCAAGGAUUAUGCAAGGCUUGAAGCCGAAACAAACCAAUUGAGAGAGGCUAACAAGAGGCAAGUUGAGCGGAUUAAGGAGUUGGAGUAUGACCUGGUUGAAGGUCAAGAUAGGGUGGACGACUUGUGUACGCAACUUGGGGAGAUGCCCGAAUGUAUGGUCAAGCGGGCGAGGCAACUGAAGGAGAGGGCCGGAUCAAUGCUAAACCUAUGUGAUGACCUAUUAGGGGACGAGGGUGACGAGGGCUCUAGUGUAGGAGGCGGGGUUGGAAGUGAACCCGCCCAAGCGAGUAGGUCCUCUAGUCCCACGGUAGGCUAGGGCUUGGCUUUUAUGCUAUUUUGGGAAUUUUUGACUCUUGUAUAUAUAAGGGAUACGGAAUGGUAGGCCGGGAAGGACCCUUAGCUAGUCGCGUUGUAUAUUGGACUAGUUUUGUAUAUAUUACUUUUGUAUUGCCAUUCCGUAAGAGGCUUUCCCUGUUUGUACUUGACUGACUAUUUGGUAUAAAUGUUUGAUCUUGUUGUGAAUGCUAUGAAUAUGUGUUAUGUGCCUAAGUGUUUUAUGAAGUCAUUGUUGGGCUGAGUGUUCAUGUUUAUUGUUAUAUACAGGGGGUGUACACUUUUAUAUUAAUGCUAUAUUUAUGUGCAUAUUUUGACCCUAGAUUGACCUAGGACGAUGAAAGGUACGCGUGGUGGCCGAGGUAGAGGACGUGGGGGUAGACAGUCCACGACUGAACAGGGUACGAGAACUGAAGUGCCCGAACCAAUUCCUGAACCCCAAAUCGAUCCUAAUGUGCAAGUAGCCGCUGCUAUCCAGCGGAUGACUGAUCUCCUGGCCCAGGUGGUGCAGCAACAGGGCCCCAACCCUAAUCCACCCGUCGGCAACCCUGAAAACCCUGGAAAUCAUGUCGAGAGCGAAGAUCGAGCUCUCGAACGAUUCCAAAAAUUUUCUCCACCUAAAUUUCUUGGAGGACUCGAUCCGGACGUGGCGGAACAAUGGUUGGAGAAGAUGAUAGACAUUUUUGCCGCCCUACGUUACUCGGAGGAGAGGCAAAUUACUUUUGUGGUUUUUCAACUCGAAGGGGCCGGUCGCUCUUGGUGGAGCAUUAUUCGGACAAAAUGGGAGCGAGAGCAGACACCGAGGACAUGGACGAAUUUUGUACGGGAAUUCAAUGGCAAGAGUAUCGGCUGUGAACGAAGGAAGAAAGGAUUUUGGCAAAAACACUGCCCAGAAUCCGGCCAAGAAUCCGGCCAGUUUCUGGCCGGAUACAAGGCCGGAUAUGCAGGGGAGAAAGAAAAAAAAAUUUGGUUUUUGGCUACUGGCCACAAUCCGGCCAGAGCAAUCCGGCCAACUUCCGGCUGGAUUAUCGGCCGGAUUGACAGGGGAAUUUCGACCCCUUUUGGGUUGGCCACUGCCUCAUAUCCGGCCAGAUUCUAGCCGGAUAGUGACGUGGCCGGUUACUGUUCAUCCGCGGCAAAUUUUCGUUAUUCGUCUUCUUGUCCGAUUGAAGUGCUCGAGCGCUAUACGUUCUUGUGUAGUGAUAUUAUGGUUAUAAGAAUACCUUAUUGGGAUAAAUCAUUCAUUUUGUCAAGUUUCCCUUUUUAUUAUUCAAAUGCGAUUUGAUUGCUUGCGACCCGUAGUCCCGGCGAGAGCUGGGCAGGCAGUCCGUCAACCCCUCUGGUUCGCCUUAGGGGGGAUGGGUCGUCACAGGACAACACAUCACUUAGGGAGGGGGAGAUUGAGACACUUGUAGGUUGUUGAUUUGAAAAAGAAAAGGAGGAAAAAAAGGCAAGAAAAAACUGGAAGUGGUGGCUAGGGUUUAAAGGGGCUAGGAGGGGUGAGUUACAAAAGAGGAAGGAAACCGUAGGAGGGGGCGGAUGAAAAGAAAGAAAGAGAACAAAAAAGGGGCGAAAAGAAAAAAAGACAGAAAAAGAAGAGAAACAGGCGGCGGACGGAGAGCCAAAAGGAGAGGAGACCGAGAGAGUUGAGGGCAAAAACAGAGCAAAGGAGAAGGGCUUGAUCGGAGGAAAAAUGGAAGAAAAGAACAAGAAAAAGGGAGACAAGAGUGGCAGCUGAAUCGGGAGGAGAUUGAGAAAAACACAGCAAAAGGAAAAGAGGAAAAGGAAGAAACCAGAGAGGGAAUGGCCGGCUUGGAGAGAAGAGGAGGGGAGGCUUUUGACGGCUGGUUUAGGGAGGAAAUUAAGAAAAAGAAACCACCAAAGACUGGAGGGGUCUCCGCGUUACCGUUGAGCUCACCGUUUAGAACCGUCAGGCCAAGGCGGCGGUAGUCCCCUCUGUUGCCGCUCUGGUCAUCAAGGCCCUGAAGGAGCCCAAGACGACAGCGACGAUGAAGAACCUGAUAGAAAAUCCAAAGCAGUUACAGAUGAGCUGUGGGCAAGAAACGGAGGAACCAAAGCAGAGGUGCAAAGCUACGAUAAAAAUCGAGCAAGGAAGAUACGUCCGUAGAGUUGCCGGAACCACCAGUCCGCAUCCGCCGCUGCUCGCUCCCUCCGUCGACCACCACCAGCGCCGCCACCAUCCAGAUUCGAUUCAACCUCAGAAACUGAGAGUUCAGCUCUUUUCAAGUUUUUGAAGCAUGUCUGUGAUGCCCCGAGGCAGAAGAAAAGGGAAAAAUUUCUGGUGAAUAGUGUUUUGUGGAGAAUCCGGCCAGAAGUCGUGCAAAUUCCUUAUAUUUUUCUUAAAAUUCCCUUUUCUUUGACAAAUACCACUUUAUAAUGGCCCUACUACUCAAUCACCCCACAAUAAGUGCCAAUGAAUCUAGAAAAUAGGGUUUCACUCUUCGGUUUCAAGAUUGGAGCAAAUUAGGGUUUUCGUGAUUUUUCGCCGGAUGAAUUUUCGGUACGGAGCAAUGAUCAAAUUUGGUGAUUAAAAGUGACUCUUAAGUGAGAAAUAAUAUGUGAUUAGGAGCAAUGAGAUAAGGUUGGUGAACAGGAAGUAAAAACCCUAGUACGUGUGUUUUUAAGAAAAACGGCGCGAACCGGCGGGUCCCGCGUACUACCGAUUGAACGCACCACUUGACCACCACUUUCUUACCAUACAAGUUUAUUGAUAUUUGAGCAAAAUAUCUCCUAAUUUAAAGCUAAACUUGACCGAAAUUUGUGGCUCAAAUGCAAGGAAGGAAAGAGAAAAUUUUUGUGGUUGAGGUUAAGCCAAGUGUUGGCCAAACUUGUGGUUAGAAUUAAUUCUUAUCUUUCUACCUUCUUAUAAGACAAACUUAGCUUAAUCUCCUUCAUUAUUUUCUGCAUCUUGGCUGAGUAAGGAGAGAGAGAAAGGGAGAGCAAGAAUUGCACCAUUUUCUUCUUGAUUUACACCAACCAAGUGCUAAAAUCGAAUUCUAAACCGAUUGAUCGUAAGUUUGGAAGCUUGGGAAGCUAAGAGAACCAAAUAUUUCAAGAAAUAGUGGAGGAUCACUCUUGUAAACCUUCUUUUUGAGGUAUAAAAUCUGAUCUAUGGCUUUGAUCCUUUUAUUCUUGUUUAAGAUGUUAAAUAGUUCAUGUUUUGGGUUUGAUUACAAGUUAUGCAAGUUGUUGUGGUGAUUUUGGAUGAAAUAUGUAAGUUAGGGCUUGACUAAGUGCUGCCCAAACUUGUUAUAUAGUUAAUAUAUGUUGUAUAUAAGGUUAUAUAAGGGGCUUUGGUAGUGUUAGAAGUAAGAAAUCAAGGAAGGUUGGAUUGAAAUCAACAAAUUCCAGAUUUCUGGAAAAUUUCCCCUUUUUCUGUCCGGUUUUGUAGCCUCAUGUUAGAGGCCGAUUUGGCCUUAGGUCAAAACAUAAAAUUUGUAUAUAAUGGUAUUUUAUAGUUGCCUACAAAAUUUCAGCUCAGUCGGAGCAUUGUAGCUUGUGAAAAGAUGAAAAUACCCUUGCUCAUUUAGGUUGCAUUUCAGAGUUCCGCGUGGACAGUUUAGUCUAUUUGAUUGCAUUUAUUCAUUAUAAUCCGUUUGGAUUUAGCGUUUCACCAAAACAUUAAAGUUUCAGUGGCCUGUCUUAGCUUUGUAACGCCAUCAAGAACGCCUUAAACGGACCUUGGUAGACUGAGAUAUGGUCACCUGAAUGCAGUGCGGUCGAUUAGCCGAAUAGUUGAAACCAGGUUAUGUGAGUUGGGAAUUUGAUCAGGUUACAUUGAACAUUUGACUAAGUGACCUUCAUGAAAGUUGUAGGCCUUUGUCUAAGCUUCGAAAUGGUAUAAGCUGUGUAUCAAUCCGAUAAGCGUAGCCUCGGAUAUGUUAUUUGCGUAAAGCCCGUCAAAUCUGUCUUUUGUAAUUGCAUUUCCGCACUUGAAAUUAGCUUAAUCUUUGUUCGUGUGUUGUUGUGAGCCUAUGGAAUGGCUAUUGAACUGAAUUUGUGUUAUGGAUUUGGUUAGUGUACAAUGUUGGGUUGGAUUGAGUAGGAAUAAAGCCAUAAAUGGCUGGAAAAUUAGGUAAACACAAAGGGCAUGCUGCCCAAAUUUACACUCGAGAACUAGGAAACGAGACUUGUAACUUGUGUAAAGGUUAAGUGAUUAUCACUUGAACUAGCGAGCACCUUUGCUACUUUGUUAUCGAGGGUUAUACGUUAAAAACCUAGACGAACUUGUACCCUUGAGGAAAAGAUAUAAUGGCCAAUGUAAACUUGUAUUUCCUGGUACUUUCAACUCAAGUGUUGUUCCCAAGUAUAUAUGCUACAAAAACCUUACGAUUUGAAAAGCGAGCAAGUGUUUCAUGUGACAGCCCCACCUUACCCUAAGGCGAACCAAAGGGUUCGGCGGACCGCCUGCCCAGCUCUCGCCAGGACUAACGGUUCGGUAUAGAACGAGCUAAUACAUCCCGAAACUUACCAACGCGGGAAAAAAAAUAAAUAAAAAAAAUAAAAUCGAAGUCGGCUAUAAAUAGUAACCGACCCGUCAGAACCCAACCAAAUACCAAGCAAACAUUCCCAUCUUGAAACUUAGCAUUUACAAGCCAAAGUGGCAUACAAAAGUAUUCAAAAAUGGAUACAUGUCUGGUUUGCCAAAUCAAAAGGAAAACAGUUCCCAAAAGUUCAUUUAGGAUUUUAAUACAUGAGCUAUACAAAAGAUAUGUUCAACUAGCUCAAUUUGGCAGCCAUUUGUCAAAUCCAGUCCAAAAGUAUUUAUUUUCCUGUAAGGAAAACAAAAAGGAAUAGAAAGGGGUGAGCUUGCGCUCAAUGAGGUACCAAACAUAUAGCAGAAAAAUAAUGGCAUUUCAUAUUUAACAAAUCAGAUACACAUGGCAGAUGUAAAGUAAAGUAACUAAUGAUUCACAUAGGAAGGAUACAGGUGGCUCUCAGGAGCCAAAUUUCCAGCGCAGUACUUGAUCCAAACCGGUUGACUCUCCGUCAAAGUAUAUAGAACCAACGCGUCCGUAGACCCACUUCGCACAGAAUUCCGUCCACCAAACACCCCUUUACCGGGCCCGCUCACCUCAACGAACAAAAAUGGUAAUACUCGAGUAUACCCGGAAUCAAGGGUCUCAAUAUCCAAAGAUCCCAAAAUAGACUACCGUGGUUCGUUAUCUAAUCGUCCAGGCCCUUGCCGGCCCGACUCGAAAAACUUAGCCACAGGAUUUGAGCUCAUAAGUCACAGAAAGGUCGUUGGAUACUAACCUCCAAACGACGUCCGAACAUAUACAAAUAACAGAUUCAAAUUUUGUAUAGUAAAUUGGCAUAUGAACAGACAAGAGAACGAGUGUGAUAAAGUACACCCUCGUCUCAAACAAAUUAAACAGAUUGCAGAGCAGAAAUCAAGUUAAACAGCAAUGGAGGGGAGUGGUACACUCACAGGCUCAACUUCAAAAAGUUUCACUUCAGAUUGGCCUUAAUCGCCAAGAAACCCUAAAAUAAUCAAAAUAAACUAAUUGAAGGUUUCAUAUUCAAAAUCGAGUAAACGGAAUGCACAAAUGAGGCUCGACUACACGUCGUACGCCUUGCCAAAAAAAAUACUAAUGCAAGGGUGCAAAAACAUGAUUUUCUUGGAAACGAAAAGGUAACAUGAAGACCUAGGCGCAAACAACCCAAAAGCCCUUUGCUCAAAUCACAAGUAAAUCCAACUAGCCUUCAAGUAAAAUUUCGGCAGCAUAUCCCUUAUGUUUACCUAUUUUACAGCCAUCAUGGCUUCAUUAUUUCCUCAAAUCAGUCCCAACAUCUCACACAAAAUUCAUCUCAUUUCCCCAAAAGCCGUUCACUAGGCUCAAAGUAGUACAAGUACAAAAGUUAGCUAGGAAAUGACCGGAAUAAGAGUAAGCCUUAAAACAUGUAAACAAGUACAAUGAGACUCGAUAACGAAUCAUAAAUCAAUGCCAAUUAUGACCCCAAUAGGGUUCCAUAAACAUAUACAAACAUUAGAGAAAACCAGAAAAUUCGGAAAUGCAAUUAGUUUUGGCCUUGAAAAAAUAGUUUUUGACCUCUUUUUGCGGUAAUGGUACCAAAUGCCCUAGAAUUAUCGGAUGAAGGUGUAAGACCCACCAUUUCGAAGCUAAAAGACAGGGCUACAACAUCACAGAAGAUACCUCAACCCAGUUUUGAGUGAAAACAGGUCAAAAAUGCAAGAUACCACAUCAAAAAUGUAAAACAGAUUCACCAAAACGCAUUCUAGCGGAAACAUCAUAACUCAGGCUCUACAAGUCCAAAUCUGGAAAUUCUAAAACCAGCUCAAAGCUAAGAAACAGGGCUAAAUUUCAUCAGAAGGCCUCAACAACAAAUUCGGAAGCAAUUCAGACCAAAACACCCAAUUACAGUCGCAAAUCUCGAUUUCGGGUAAAACCAGAACAGCAAUAGUAAUUUCGACUUAUCUCACUCUACGCUACUCCGAUUGACCUGAAAUUUUGUAGGACCCUAUAAAAUAUCAUUCCCUACAACUUUCAUGUUUUGAGCUAAGGCCAAUUCGGCCUCUAUCUAUGACCUAAAUUUCGGACAGAAUGAAGAACCAAGGAACCCUAAUUUUCCAGAUUUCUUCCAAAACAGAAAUUACUUGAAAUCUUCCACUUUUCCCACCUUCUAGAAUCAUUAUAUACCAUUUCCAAUCAUCAUACAUGACCACAUAAUCAUGUUCAUAUUAAAACAGAAAAAUCCCCAAAAAUAAUAAAACUUCACCAAUUCAACCAAAACCAAGAAAUAAUCCAUAAAAGUGCACCUUAUACCACCACUAAGCAUCAAUUAAGCAUCAUUAGAGGGAGGAGAGUGGUACUUUACGACUUACCUUUAAAACAAGAGAGGGAGAGCUAUGGAUCACCUUAACCUUCCAAAUAACUUCACCAAUCACCUCAAAACCACUUAGCAAAGAGAUUUUAUGGAAUGAUUUGGAGUUUUAUUGGUUGGAUUUGAAGAUUGAGCAAGAAAUAGAAGGAAGAAAUUGAGAGCUUUUCUUUCUUUCUUGAGCAAGAACAUUCGGCCAAGAAGCUUGCAAAAUGAAGUGAUUUUUGGCCAAUAAUUAAAUGGUAAAGUUAUGAAUAGUGCUCAAAUGGCAAGACUAAAUCUUAUGGUGACACUUGUCACCUUUUUAAUGCAAGUCUAUCACUUUGUUCCCUCUCACAUCAAUCCAAAUAGCUUCCUCUAUUUAUCUCUUAACACCCGAUAAAAUAAUUCCAGUAUCCAAAACUUAAUCUAGUUGGCCGAAAUUUUCCGAACUUUUCACACUAGUGGGUCCCACGUCCGGUAUACGCUCUUAAUUUCUCAAAAUCUAUUUGAUACUAGAAAAAUCAUCUGAAAAUUAUAUUUACUCAUAAAAUUUAUCUAGAAAAUUUUUCGGAUACAGAAAGUGCAGAAAACAAACCAUGAAAAAUGCGAAAACCUAGAAAAUGCAAAUUACGGGUUCUCACACUCUCUCCCCCUUAAAAGAAUUUCGCCCUCGAAAUUUUACUCUUCAAAUUUAAAGUAACCAAUGGCCUGUACCUUCUUCAUCUUCAGAGUCAGAAGAAACGAGAUUCUUCAUUCCAGUCCCUUUUCCACUUGACGGUCCAGGGUCGGUCUUGGUUGGUUGCUGGGUUCCUUUCUUUUCACGCGCUUUACUCGGGCAAUGAGCAAUUCGAUGCUCGGCGCUCCCACAGCACAGACAUCUCCCUCCUCUUUUCCAACAAUUCUCUUCAAAAUGAUUGGAUUUUCUACAAUAGCCACAAUAUGGGAGAGGAAUUGGGGUCCGAUCUCCUUGUGAGAUAUCCCUCAGUGGUUCUUUUUCCCUUGAGUUUCCUCCCGGCGUAUCCUCCUUAAGUGUCUCCAGAAUUGUCACACCCCUCGCUCCACGACCCUUCUUCGCCAAGGGCCUACCUUGCUCACCCUGUUCUGGCAAUUUACCCCUUUUCUUGCCCCUUUUCUUGGCAUGGAAGAUCGUCCCCUGUGGCCUUACAAUUCCUGCCCUUUGAGCUUCCUCUGGAGCCCCCAUAGCAGCAGUGUUUUGUGCCAUUGCUAAAGCCUCUUCGGAACUCCCUUCGUAUUCCCUUUUUAGCUCUAAGUUCUGGUGCAAGAGCUCAAUCUUUUCGGAAUACUCGUGCCUCCAUCGCCCUUCCCAGUAUUCGGCUAGUCUUCUUUGAACUUCUAUUUCGUCACGAAGUACCACGAUCUCCUGAUACAUAUUAACCCAAUGUGCCAUUUCACGGAGUCGCUGGAACUCAAAUAAUAGCCUGCCAGACAAAUCAAUGGGUCAUAAUAAAUUCUUAUGUAGGUGUGGUACUCUUGGUCCUGGUCUUUGUUCAACGGUUGUUUCCCUUUCUGCUCUUAAUUCUUGACCUCGCUCAGUUCCACGGCCACCACCAUGACCACGACUACAUCUUCCUUUCAUAUGAUAUAUAUAUUAUUUUAUUUUAUUAUAUAUAUAUUUUUUUCUCUCUUUUCUUUUCUUUUCCCCUAAAAGGUCAUUUAAUGAAUGAAUACAAUAAAGUGACUAAAAUAACAAAAUUUAGGGCACCAAAUACCUAAAUAAGCAUAUACACACAUAAUACACCACAUACAUAUCAGGGAAACAAAUGAUCAACGACACAAAUACGUAUCAAAGCAGGCAAUGAUUCAUAUACACCAAUACGCAAACCGACGGCAUGUAGUAACAAUAUACGAGCGAAUCAAAGAAAAGGGAUAUAUCGUCCCAAACCUUGCUAAAAUAACCCCGUCCGGUCUCUUACAUCACCUAUUACCCAAAUGAAAUAUCCACUAACCUCUUGGACUCAUUCCAGUCGAACAAAGCCUAUUCAUGUUCCCAAAAUGCAACUCUCACCUACGUAACACUGCCUCAUCUCUGGAGUACUCAGGCACAAGAAUCCGAAAUAAGACAAUUCACCUCUCGGGCUGGCCAGUCCCAAGAGAAAACUAUCUACAAUCGAAAUUCCUACCAGACGUACCUAUCUAUGGUCCUCAAUUACCACGGGAAAGAUUUAAGGCCUAUAAUGUUCACAAUUCAGAGCUUAGGCUCAAACGAGCACUUAUUCCUUCAUACCUAUUCACCACUUAGUCCAGGCUCACUCCGCGCAGAGACCACGCGAAGCAGGCUCUGACACCACCUGUGACAGCCCCACCUUACCCUAAGGCGAACCAAAGGGUUCGGCGGACCGCCUGCCCAGCUCUCGCCAGGACUAACGGUUCGGUAUAGAACGAGCUAAUACAUCCCGAAACUUACCAACGCGGGAAAAAAAAUAAAUAAAAAAAAUAAAAUCGAAGUCGGCUAUAAAUAGUAACCGACCCGUCAGAACCCAACCAAAUACCAAGCAAACAUUCCCAUCUUGAAACUUAGCAUUUACAAGCCAAAGUGGCAUACAAAAGUAUUCAAAAAUGGAUACAUGUCUGGUUUGCCAAAUCAAAAGGAAAACAGUUCCCAAAAGUUCAUUUAGGAUUUUAAUACAUGAGCUAUACAAAAGAUAUGUUCAACUAGCUCAAUUUGGCAGCCAUUUGUCAAAUCCAGUCCAAAAGUAUUUAUUUUCCUGUAAGGAAAACAAAAAGGAAUAGAAAGGGGUGAGCUUGCGCUCAAUGAGGUACCAAACAUAUAGCAGAAAAAUAAUGGCAUUUCAUAUUUAACAAAUCAGAUACACAUGGCAGAUGUAAAGUAAAGUAACUAAUGAUUCACAUAGGAAGGAUACAGGUGGCUCUCAGGAGCCAAAUUUCCAGCGCAGUACUUGAUCCAAACCGGUUGACUCUCCGUCAAAGUAUAUAGAACCAACGCGUCCGUAGACCCACUUCGCACAGAAUUCCGUCCACCAAACACCCCUUUACCGGGCCCGCUCACCUCAACGAACAAAAAUGGUAAUACUCGAGUAUACCCGGAAUCAAGGGUCUCAAUAUCCAAAGAUCCCAAAAUAGACUACCGUGGUUCGUUAUCUAAUCGUCCAGGCCCUUGCCGGCCCGACUCGAAAAACUUAGCCACAGGAUUUGAGCUCAUAAGUCACAGAAAGGUCGUUGGAUACUAACCUCCAAACGACGUCCGAACAUAUACAAAUAACAGAUUCAAAUUUUGUAUAGUAAAUUGGCAUAUGAACAGACAAGAGAACGAGUGUGAUAAAGUACACCCUCGUCUCAAACAAAUUAAACAGAUUGCAGAGCAGAAAUCAAGUUAAACAGCAAUGGAGGGGAGUGGUACACUCACAGGCUCAACUUCAAAAAGUUUCACUUCAGAUUGGCCUUAAUCGCCAAGAAACCCUAAAAUAAUCAAAAUAAACUAAUUGAAGGUUUCAUAUUCAAAAUCGAGUAAACGGAAUGCACAAAUGAGGCUCGACUACACGUCGUACGCCUUGCCAAAAAAAAUACUAAUGCAAGGGUGCAAAAACAUGAUUUUCUUGGAAACGAAAAGGUAACAUGAAGACCUAGGCGCAAACAACCCAAAAGCCCUUUGCUCAAAUCACAAGUAAAUCCAACUAGCCUUCAAGUAAAAUUUCGGCAGCAUAUCCCUUAUGUUUACCUAUUUUACAGCCAUCAUGGCUUCAUUAUUUCCUCAAAUCAGUCCCAACAUCUCACACAAAAUUCAUCUCAUUUCCCCAAAAGCCGUUCACUAGGCUCAAAGUAGUACAAGUACAAAAGUUAGCUAGGAAAUGACCGGAAUAAGAGUAAGCCUUAAAACAUGUAAACAAGUACAAUGAGACUCGAUAACGAAUCAUAAAUCAAUGCCAAUUAUGACCCCAAUAGGGUUCCAUAAACAUAUACAAACAUUAGAGAAAACCAGAAAAUUCGGAAAUGCAAUUAGUUUUGGCCUUGAAAAAAUAGUUUUUGACCUCUUUUUGCGGUAAUGGUACCAAAUGCCCUAGAAUUAUCGGAUGAAGGUGUAAGACCCACCAUUUCGAAGCUAAAAGACAGGGCUACAACAUCACAGAAGAUACCUCAACCCAGUUUUGAGUGAAAACAGGUCAAAAAUGCAAGAUACCACAUCAAAAAUGUAAAACAGAUUCACCAAAACGCAUUCUAGCGGAAACAUCAUAACUCAGGCUCUACAAGUCCAAAUCUGGAAAUUCUAAAACCAGCUCAAAGCUAAGAAACAGGGCUAAAUUUCAUCAGAAGGCCUCAACAACAAAUUCGGAAGCAAUUCAGACCAAAACACCCAAUUACAGUCGCAAAUCUCGAUUUCGGGUAAAACCAGAACAGCAAUAGUAAUUUCGACUUAUCUCACUCUACGCUACUCCGAUUGACCUGAAAUUUUGUAGGACCCUAUAAAAUAUCAUUCCCUACAACUUUCAUGUUUUGAGCUAAGGCCAAUUCGGCCUCUAUCUAUGACCUAAAUUUCGGACAGAAUGAAGAACCAAGGAACCCUAAUUUUCCAGAUUUCUUCCAAAACAGAAAUUACUUGAAAUCUUCCACUUUUCCCACCUUCUAGAAUCAUUAUAUACCAUUUCCAAUCAUCAUACAUGACCACAUAAUCAUGUUCAUAUUAAAACAGAAAAAUCCCCAAAAAUAAUAAAACUUCACCAAUUCAACCAAAACCAAGAAAUAAUCCAUAAAAGUGCACCUUAUACCACCACUAAGCAUCAAUUAAGCAUCAUUAGAGGGAGGAGAGUGGUACUUUACGACUUACCUUUAAAACAAGAGAGGGAGAGCUAUGGAUCACCUUAACCUUCCAAAUAACUUCACCAAUCACCUCAAAACCACUUAGCAAAGAGAUUUUAUGGAAUGAUUUGGAGUUUUAUUGGUUGGAUUUGAAGAUUGAGCAAGAAAUAGAAGGAAGAAAUUGAGAGCUUUUCUUUCUUUCUUGAGCAAGAACAUUCGGCCAAGAAGCUUGCAAAAUGAAGUGAUUUUUGGCCAAAUUUAAUUAAAUGGUAAAGUUAUGAAUAGUGCUCAAAUGGCAAGACUAAAUCUUAUGGUGACACUUGUCACCUUUUUAAUGCAAGUCUAUCACUUUGUUCCCUCUCACAUCAAUCCAAAUAGCUUCCUCUAAUUAUCUCUUAACACCCGAUAAAAUAAUUCCAGUAUUCAAAACUUAAUCUAGUUGGCCGAAAUUUCCGAACUUUUCACACUAGUGGGUCCCACGUCCGGUAUACGCUCUUAAUUUCUCAAAAUCUAUUUGAUACUAGAAAAAUCAUCUGAAAAUUAUAUUUACUCAUAAAAUUUAUCUAGAAAAUUUUCCGGAUACAGAAAGUGCAGAAAACAAACCAUGAAAAAUGCGAAAACCUAGAAAAUGCAAAUUACGGGUUCUCACAUUUCACGAAUGUCUUUCAAAUGAAUUUCAAUUGGUUGAUUCUUGAUGAACGGAACGUUUAAGUUUCGAAUCUUACUCGUGUUUCAAAGUUCUCAAAUUGGAUUUUUAUCGCAGAUAUGGACUCCAAACCUGGAGUAUAAUUGAACGUGAAUACUUGAAGCACUAUGAUACGUUCCUCGAUCCACGGUCGAGACCCGUAGCACGUUUGCCCAAGGAUCUAGCGGGGAUGUCCUACGCUUGGUUUGCGGAACCUUUACUCAAACGGACAACUCGAUUUGAUUGGAGGUGGUAGAUGACACUCCGAUGAAGGUGAAUACUCCAGGGGAAUAGGUCGGAUGAACAAUCAAGGACAGGACGCGAGAUUGCUCAAUAACCCUUGCCAAGCAAGUUAAAGGCACGAAUUCUUUAUGAAAGAAAACGAAUGCACUAAGAAUUUUAUUAAUCAAAAGCUACCCUUAACCUUACAAAGCUAGCCUAUUUAUAGGCUAAGGAAAACAAUAAAGAAACCCUAAGUAAUCCUAAAGGGGUGGUCGGCCAUCUUAGUGUAAGGUGGGCCGGCCCAUUCUACUAAGUAAGCUAUUCCAAUAAGUGUCAAAGGCUAAGGCCCUACUCGGCCGAAUCCCUUGGAGACCCACUGGAGUCGUCAUGGGCUUGGAUCAAGGUGUAAUUGGUCCAGUGGUCUUUCUCUAAGCCCUCAAUAUCUUUGUGAACUCCAUGUUGGUCUUGGACGACUCUCACCAGGGCUUGGAGUGAUUCUUUGAACAGCUUGGCCCGUGAACGUGUGACUGGGCCCAGUGGGACUCGGACUGGGUCAUCGCGUGGGCCGAGGCCCGUGCACACAUCAGUCCCCUCCUCUUGAGAAGGAUUUGCCCUCAAAUCUGGAUCCUGCUCGUCAAGCAAUGGGCUGAGGUCCCCAACGUUGAAGGUUGCACUAACGUUGUAGUCCCCAGGCAGCUCCAAUUUGUAUGCAUUGUCAUUGACCCGUUGGAGUACCCGAAAUGGUCCAUCCCCUCUUGGGGAUAAUUUGCUUUGCCGUUGCUUGGGGAAACGCUCUUUUCUUAAGUGUAGCCACACCCAAUCUCCAGGCUCAAAAAUCAUCUUGCGGCAGUGCUUGUUGGCUUGUUGGAUGUAUUGCUGCGUGCGCUUCUCGAUGUUUGCUCGCACAGCUUCAUGUAACCUGCGUACAAAACCAGCUUUCUUUUCCCCAUCUAAGCUUGUUUGCUCAGAGGAAGGUAAGGGCACCAGAUCAAGGGGGGUGAGGGGGUUGAAGCCAUAAACAAUCUCAAAGGGAGAAUAUUGAGUUGCACUAUGCACAGUGCGAUUGUAGGCAAAUUCAACAUGAGGUAAGCACUCUUCCCAAGACUUAAGAUUCUUUUUAAUCAAGGCCCGAAGUAAAGUGCCAAGUGUGCGAUUGACAACUUCAGUUUGUCCAUCGCUUUGAGGAUGACUAGUGGUGGAAAAUAAUAACCUAGUGCCAAGUUUGGACCACAAGGUCUUCCAAAAGUAACUCAGGAACUUCACAUCCCUGUCACUAACAAUAGUCCUAGGCAUGCCAUGCAGACGGACAAUCUCUUUGAAAAAUAAAGUAGCAACAUGAGAUGCAUCAUCAGUUUUGUGACAAGGAAUAAAAUGCGCCAUCUUAGAAAAUCUAUCAACCACAACAUAGAUGGAGUCAUUACCCCUUGGUGAUCGAGGCAAUCCUAAUACAAAGUCCAUAGACAAGUCAAUCCAGGGAUGGUGUGGAAUAGGUAAUGGGGUAUACAAGCCAUAUGGAUUUGUCUUAGACUUUGCCUUGUGGCAAGUAGCACACCUACCAACCAUGCGUUCAACAUCUCUACGCAUAUGGGGCCAGUAAAAGUGCUCUUGCAACAUGGCUAGAGUCUUGGCGAUGCCAAAGUGGCCCAUGAGACCACCACUAUGUGCCUCUCGGAUCAAAAGGUCACGAAUGGAAGAAUUAGGCACACACAAUUUAUCUACAUGGAAUAGAAAUCCAUCAUGCAAAAAGUACUUUCCAUGCGGGUUCUUAACACAAGCAGCAUAGAUAUCACCAAAGUCAUGAUCAUGUGUAUAGAGUUCCUUAACCAUUUCGAACCCUAGUAACUUGGCAUCCAGAAGUGCCAGCAAUGAAUGUCUACGUGAUAAUGCAUCAGCCACUACAUUCGUUUUGCCAGUCUUAUAUUUAAUGACAUACGAAAAGGUGUCAAUGAAGCUUACCCAUUUGGCAUGUCGCUUGCUUAGCUUGGGCUGUCCCUUGAGGUACUUCAAUGACUCGUGAUCAGUGUGUAUCACGAACUCCCGAGGGCGAAGAUAGUGUUGCCAAGUCUCCAAGGCCCUCACUAGUGCGUACAACUCCUUGUCGUACGUGGGGUAGUUUAACGCAGCCCCUCCCAGUUUCUCGCUGAAGAAGGCACACGGCCUCUUGUCUUGCAUAAGGACUGCUCCAAUACCUACACCAGAAGCAUCACAGUCAAUUUCAAAGGUCUUGUGAGAGUUUGGUAAUGCUAACACAGGGGCAUGGGUGAGUGUGUCCUUAAGGGCGAGGAACGCUUGUUCUUGGGAUUCCCCCCAGUGGAACUUGUCAUCCUUCUUUGUCACGGCGGUCAAUGGGGCGGCAAUGGUGCUAAAGUUUUUGACAAAUCGCCGAUAAAAACCCACCAAUCCAAGAAAGCUGCGCACGUCAGGAACGGAUGUAGGGGUUGGCCAUUGCUCGAUGGCCUCAAUCUUGGAUUUGUCCACCUUGAUGCCCUGCGAACUCACAACAUAGCCUAGAAACACAAGCUCGUUAGUACAAAAGGUGCACUUUUUGAGGUUAGCGUAUAGACGCGCCUGUCGAAGUGCCUCGAGGACUAAUCUUACAUGCUCCAGGUGCUCAUGCUCACUACGACUAUAGAUCAGAAUGUCAUCAAAGUAAACAAUGACAAAUUUACCAAUAAAAUGUCUCAAAACAUGGUUCAUGAGGCGCAUGAAGGUGCUAGGGGCGUUAGUCAAACCAAAAGGCAUAACUAACCACUCAUAGAGACCAUGUUUGGUUUUGAAGGCUGUCUUCCAUUCAUCGCCUUCCUUCAUCCUAAUUUGAUGAUAGCCACUCCUCAAGUCAAUCUUGGUGAAAAUAAUAGCACCAUCGAGUUCAUCCAACAUAUCAUCAAGUCUAGGAAUGGGAUGCCGAUAUUUGACAGUGAUAGCAUUCACAGCCCGGCAGUCAGUGCACAUGCGCCAAGUGCCAUCCUUUUUGGGGACAAGGACCACAGGCACAGCGCAGGGACUUAGACUCUCCUUCACCCAUCCCUUACCUAACAGGCCAUCUACUUGCCUUUGAAGCUCCUUGGUCUCCUCGGGACCCAUGCGGUAGGCAGGUUUGUUGGGUAAUGGUGCUCCAGGAACGAGGUCGAUUUGGUGUUCAAUUCCCCGAAUGGGUGGUAAGCCAUCAGGGACCUCGUCAGGGAAAACAUCCUCAAAUUCCUGCAAGAGAGCCACUAUGCUUGCAGGCAGCGCCUUGUCGAGUUCAGCAACAUCUAAGAGCACAUGCUUGCAAAUCAUGAGAAGUAUAGGCUGAUUAGAGUUUACCACUUUUCUAACAUCUUUAGCCUUAAUAAUCAUGUUAUGCUUCCUAGUGGGAGGUGCGGCAGGUGGUUUGUCGCGUAGACCCCUAGGUGUGCUCCCUUGAUCCUUGGUUGAUGGCUCAGUCGUAGAUGUGGAGCCUUGACCAAGGUCGACCGCCUUGAGUUUCCUCCUUUGACGGUCUUGUUCACACUCUCUUUGCAACAGUAGUUGGUCCUCAUAAACUUGUGCAGGCAUGAGAGGUGUAAGGACCUUACGUUUGCCAUCGUGCAAAAGUGUGUACUUAUUUGCUCUUCCAUCGAAUGUGACGUGUUUGUCAAAUUGCCAGGGCCUUCCCAAGAUGAUAUGUGUAGCAUGCAUUGGCACUACGUCGCACACGAUUUCAUCAAUGUAGGUACCAAUGGAGAAGGGAAUGCGUACUUGUUUGAAGACUCGUACUUCACCAUCCUCACUUAGCCAUUGGAGGCGGUAAGGAUGUGGAUGCCUGGUAGUGGUGAGUCCUAGACUUUCAACCAUGAGCAAACUGGCCACGUUCGUGCAACUUCCACCGUCGAUGAUGAGACUACAGACUUUGUCUCCUACCUUACAGCGGGUGUAGAAUAGGUUUUCGCGUUGUAGCUGCUCAUCCUCCUUGACGCGGGCGGUUAGCACUCGUCGUGCUACUAGGCAACCUACUUCUCCUCGUGUAGGCGAGCAAGCCUCCCCAGCUGGCUCUUCUUCCAGGCAGUCAUCUUCUACUAGUUCGGGCACGUCAUCACAUUCGUCAUCAUCCGACACGAUUUCGCCAUUGUGAGUUAUCAGCAUUACCCGUUGGUUUGGACAUUGAGAUUGAAUAUGCCCAAACCCUUGGCACUUAAAGCAUUUGAUGUCCCUACUCCUAGCUUUAGGAGUUUCUUGCGGUGCCUUAGAAGUAGACCUGGACACAUCAGAAACCUUGUUAGGUGUAGAAUAGGCAUUACGGGUAGAAGCAUUACCUUGGAAACGGUUAGAAUAGUUUGAUGUUGUUGCAUUUCCAGCUUCGUGGGUCACUCUUCGUGGUUGGUUGCCUUUCCACGAGGUGGUGGUGGAAGGUUGGAAAGUACGGCCUCCUCGUCUUAAUUUCUUCCCCCAUUCGGCCUUAAUGGCAAGUUCUAGAAGGUCGUGCAUGUCCAAGUAAUGUUGAAGCUCCAAGGCAUCCUGAAGGUCAGGGUUGAGACCCCUAAGAAACCUAGCCAUUGUGGCUUCAUUGUCUUCUUGAAUGUUGGCCCUCAUCAUGGCCAUCUCGAUUUCUUUGUGGUAAUCCUCCACACUCAUGUUGCCUUGCGUGAGUGUUUGCAGCUUAGAGUGGAGAUCACGAUUGUAGUAGCUAGGAACAAACCGCUUGCGCAUUAGUGCCUUGAGUUCUCGCCAAGUCCGGACACGGGGUUCUCCCAUCCUCCUCCUCGUGGUCCUCACUUGGUCCCACCAGACGAGUGCGUAGUCGGUGAACUCCACGGUGGCAACCUUCACUUUUUGUUCCUCGCUAUAGUCGUAGCAGUCGAAGACCAUCUCGAUGCGGCCUUCCCACUCCAAGUAAGCCUCAGGGUCACUUUUGCCUUUGAAUGCGGGAACUUGUAUUUUAAGCCCCUUGAUUUCGUUUUUGGGCAUGUCCCUUGUAGGCCUCUCAGGUCGUUCAUCAUCCUCACUAGCGGAGUAGUCUUCGCCAUUUGGGUCUUUGGUACCAUGGUUACUCCGGUUAUGGGACCGAGAACGAGAGCCUCGCGUAAGGCUCCUAGACAAUUCAUCAAAACGAGUGUGUAGUGUCUCCAUCUGUUGCUCACUUAUUCGCCUGAGCUCAUUCUUCAUGGCGGCGAAUAAUAAGGAAGGAUCAGUGGUUACUUGUUGUUGAUGGUGGUGUGGUUGCUCCAUGCUUCCCUUGUUGCCCCUGCAAAGGUUAGAAGAAACAAAGAAAAUGCAAAUAUAGUACUCACUUCACUCCCUUAGUGUAUCCCUCACGCUCGUGUGUAGUGUGCAAGUCACUCUAUAAAGCUUACCAAGUACCUUACCUGUUGGUUUAGGUAGUUGAGUAAUGUUGCUCGAGUCCAAUAAUUGUCACCAACUUAUCCCCCACAAGAGUACACAAGAAUUCUUUGUUGUUGGUGAAGGGAAGGACGGUUUUGGGAAAGCUUAAAGGCGGUGGACAGAUUUGGAAAGUACGGCCAAGAAAGGAAACUCUAAGAAUCCUAAGAUGUAGGAGUGGUUUCCUAAAAAGGAUGAGAAAAUAUAGUAGGAUAUCCUAAAAUGGAGGAGAAAAUAUAGGAGAUGUCCAAGAGUUAUCCAAGUAUAUUACUUAGUCUCCUAAACGAAGUGGGAAAACAAGUUGGAGUUGGAAACUUCCUAAUUCUUCUCAAGACAGAUUCGGUUCCUCCUCUCUCUUACCCGCAAGCUUCCAGAAAUUUCCCUCACAAAAACCACCCCAAGGUCGGUGCAAAUCCCACUCACGAACCAGAAUUGGAACCCUAAAAUUUCCAGAAUUCCUCCCUCUUAUUCCUUUCCUAAGGUCGGCUACAAGAAACCUUAGAAGGCCUCUUAAGCAGCCGCCCACUAUGCUCACAACACAAACCAGAAUUGGGCCACUGAAAUUUCCAGAUUUCUUCCUUCUUGAAACCCUUCCCUAAGUCGGUUAUCCUUCCUAUAAGACUCCCUCUUCACAGCCGCGACUUACCCCAAACAAUUCGGCUCUCUCUCUACUCCAAGAACAAGAAAUUCGCCCCUCUUUCUAACAAGGCAGUUUCGGUUCUUGGCACUCCAGAAAUUCUGCUCCAAUGGACUCCCAAGGUCAAGCAAGUGAUGUUACUCAAGAAUCUCCCAAGAAAUUCACACUUAAGCCAAGAAAGCCUCGUAUGGAUGCAAGAUCUUACAAGAAACUCUUUAUUCGAAGAGAGGUGCAAGUCUUCAAGACUCAAGAUGGUCAAGAGCCUCAACGAAGAGUUGUGCAAGUGAUCAAGAAUCAAGAAGUUCAAGAAGAGGUUGGUCAAAACUUUUGAGUUCCCCCUUUUUUUUUUCUCUUGAUGUAAUUUCUGGGUUGUGUAUACGGUACAAUAAGACAGAUUUGGCAAUAAAAGUGCGGUGUUCCCUCUUGGGUUUCUUGUUACCCGAUGGCUCUCUUUUUUUUCCUCUUCGGUUCUGUUUUCUUUUGCUUUGGGUUUUUUUUUUUUUCCUCACUUGGUAAUAGACUACACCUGACCGAAUGAGUAAAACAAUCCCAGAAACAAGGUCUGCCCGAAACACACAAGAACGCACCACCCUACUCCCUCAAACUAACAAAGUUUUCCGACUUUCAAGAAAUUCAAGAGAGUGUUCAAGAACUUCAAGAACCCUACAAACCUUGCGGGUGCUAUUCAAGAUUCACCAACCCAACAAGUUUUUACCCCCAAAUCAGUUUAGACAAGGUAAGCAAACAACUUGGUUAAUCAAUAACUACUUGGACAGAUUCGGACAAACAACAAAACCCUAGCCGCAAAACCCUAGCCGCGCCUGUUUUGUUUUGUUUUGUUUUUUUUUUUAUUUUGUAUGCAGAUUCGGCAAGGCUAAUUGCUGGGCAGAAUGGAUGUCACUAGAGUAUGAAAUCUGGGCAGAUUUGGACUAACAAAUAACACACAGCUGUCCAGAAAUUUGAUGCGACAACAACAAGAACUAGCGAACAGAAUUUUUUUUUUUUUGACGAACAAAACAGCAACGGACAGACUUGCAGACUCAAAACGAACAAAUAUGGAAACGUAAAACAAAACAAAAGCAACGACCAGAAUUCUAGAGAACAAACGAAGGAAACGGCUCAACAAGUAACAAUUCGAACAGAAAAAUAUAUAUAUAUAUAUAUAUAUUUUUUUUUAACAAACAAGGCAGCGGAAAAUUAGGGAAAACUAAGACAAGACGACGGAUAUAACGGAAGAUACCUCCACCAAAGCUCUGAAGCCAACUGAUACGUUCCUCGAUCCACGGUCGAGACCCGUAGCACGUUUGCCCAAGGAUCUAGCGGGGAUGUCCUACGCUUGGUUUGCGGAACCUUUACUCAAACGGACAACUCGAUUUGAUUGGAGGUGGUAGACGACACUCCGAUGAAGGUGAAUACUCCAGGGGAAUAGGUCGGAUGAACAAUCAAGGACAGGACGCGAGAUUGCUCAAUAACCCUUGCCAAGCAAGUUAAAGGCACGAAUUCUUUAUGAAAGAAAACGAAUGCACUAAGAAUUUUAUUAAUCAAAAGCUACCCUUAACCUUACAAAGCUAGCCUAUUUAUAGGCUAAGGAAAACAAUAAAGAAACCCUAAGUAAUCCUAAAGGGGUGGUCGGCCAUCUUAGUGUAAGGUGGGCCGGCCCAUUCUACUAAGUAAGCUAUUCCAAUAAGUGUCAAAGGCUAAGGCCCUACUCGGCCGAAUCCCUUGGAGACCCACUGGAGUCGUCAUGGGCUUGGAUCAAGGUGUAAUUGGUCCAGUGGUCUUUCUCUAAGCCCUCAAUAUCUUUGUGAACUCCAUGUUGGUCUUGGACGACUCUCACCAGGGCUUGGAGUGAUUCUUUGAACAGCUUGGCCCGUGAACGUGUGACUGGGCCCAGUGGGACUCGGACUGGGUCAUCGCGUGGGCCGAGGCCCGUGCACACAUCACACUAUAUUUUGGGUGAGUGAUCCCUCGACUGUUUCCAAAGUUGCUUUUGAACUAAUUCUUGCAUUUAUUACUCCAUUGCAUAUCAUUUGGGGUUCGGGUGUGUGCCAUGACGUAAUUUGGCUCCAAUGAGUUCCUGAAAAGUCUUGUGCUUAGAACCAAUGUCUCCACUACUGUUUACACAUUCUUUGUAGCACGAUGGCUCCUUACUUUUGUUUCACGGUUACCUGAUCUAAACGAGCAUUGGAUAUUUAAGUACAAGAACUUCACUGGCUCUCGUGAGCAAUAAAUGUAUAUUUGAUCUCUGAAUCAUGACAUCAUUGAAAUACACUAUUGUGAAAUAUAUUUGCUUACUGAUUUUACUGGUCACUCGCUGAGCUUCUAGCUCACCCCCUAUUAUCUACUUCUCCCCACAGGGAUCGAAGUAAAGGAGAUCUUGUAUUUGGAUCUCUGUGUGACUGGAUGGCGUACAUCUUGUAUAGUUUAGAUUUGGUUUUGGUUUAUGUACUUUUGGGCCUGUAUAAAUAUUUGGAAUUGAAGCGGAUGUAUAUCUACAUUCUAUGCUUAGAACUAGUUUCCGCUUCGCUUAUGAUAUGUAAUUUUUGGAGAAUUGGAUGUUAUUUGUGGUUCAUGAAUGGGUGUACAUGAUUCGAGUUCCAUAGUGAGUGAGUCCUGGCGAGAGUUGGGCAGGCGAUCCGCCGAACCCUUUGGUAACUCUUAGGGAGAAGUGGGGUCGUCACAAUGUCUGCCGUGACUUUGCUUGUGGCUAUGUUUCUGUUGGGUUUUUGAGAAUUUGAAGUAUGUGUGCCUUAUGAGUUGAUUGGGUUAAAUUUUCUUGGGUUGCUGACAAAUUUCCGGGGCUAAUUACAGUUUCAAUUAAGCAAGAAUUGCUGAAAUUAUCUAUGCCCGUUUUGACAAAUGCCCGACUGAAAAUUAUGCCUGAAGGGUGAUUGGCUUGUGUCUUGUAUGUGAGGGAAAUGGAUAUUCGGUCAAUUUAAUACAUGUCUGGGUAUGGUAGUUGGUUUCUAGGACAGAAAUGAAAGUUUCUUUUAAUUUUGAUGUGUUUUCUUUGCGCACUUUUUCUGUUUUUUCUGCUUUCUUUGAGUCCGGAUUACAUAUUGAGAUUGGGAGAGGGGAAGCUUGUGCGAGUUUCAGGAAUGGUUAGAGUUGAAGUUGAACUUUCUGUUGUUUUCUAUUUGCAAAGAAGAACGAAACAGCAACUGAUAAUUUGCCCGUUUGGAGAAGACGAUUGUUUGUGUAGUUUGUGAUUUCAGUCCCGUGAUUUCCCAUUUCUUUGUAAUUUGUCUCCCCAAAAUUUUUAGAACUUCAUAAUUUCGACCCCAACGUCUUCAUGAUUCCUACAAUUAGGUCCCUAUCUUGUUGUAAUUGAACCUCUCAAGUUUCCCCUUUAUUCUGAUAUAGCCCAAAGAACUGGAAAAGUUAAGUUUAUUUCUCCCUUUUAGAUUUUAAUCAUCUUUUAAUAUGCAUGAGUAGUCUUUUAACUAGAUUAAUUCUUGUUUUCAGGAUAUAUUUGUGGCUUAAUAAUUUUUGUUGAUUUUAUCAUGUUAGGGUGCUUGUGAAACAAGUGAUUUGGGUUAAGAGGUUAUUUGUGUUUGGGUUUAAGGAAGUGGGCUUAGUCUAUUUUUGUGGGGUUUCUAGCUUGGGCUUAGGAGGUAAAAUCCCACUCUUUAGGGUUGGGUUUGUUUUGUUGGAAAGUGAAGGCUAGCCGCCGGUUUUCUUGGGGCUUUCGACCGGGCUUAGAGAGCCUCGGCCCAAACAAAUAAAAUGGCCCAAUGGCCUGGUUGAGUAAGAAUCUGGUAACUGGAUUUGCAAAUCAGUCCUUGAAUUUUUCCUUAACUAUACUGUGGCCCUAGAAACUUUAGGCUUCUUUCAAUUGGGUCCUUAUUUUAAUUGCAAAUGAGUCCCUAAACUUUGUUUUUCUUUAAUUUUGACCUCAAAACUUUGUUAAUUUUUGCAAUCAAGUCCUUUCUUCUUUUG
rnacentral:lncRNA from 1 species